rnacentral:lncRNA from 1 species
UCCGGUAGUAGAUAACUUGAACUUAAUUAAUUAAAAUGAAUCAACCGCGUGUGUUGCCGUGAUGGCCUCUUCUCGGCGGAGUCCGGGAAGUGGACACGGCGUUGGAGUUAUGUCUGCGUAGUCUGCUCUGUUUAGUUUCCGCUCGUGCUUGCCUUCUCUUCUCGCUCUCUUUUGCGAAUAAGUUAGCCACCAUACAUGCUAGUCGCUUGCUGCAGCUCCACUCACAUUACCCCUUCCUUACCUAUUAAGCUUAAAUAGUCUUGAUCGCGAGGGUGCGAGAUUGCUGAGUCCUUGUGGCUCACAGAUUACUAUUAUACCAGAUGCAGGGACCGAUGAUACUCCUCCGGAUGGCGCGUUCGAGCUGAAGUGGGAGUACGACGAGGACUCUCAGCGAUACUAUGUUUCUUUUCCUGAUGAUCAGUAGUGGUGCCUGCUCGGGGUUCGAUUCAGGGUUUAGUCGCAUGUUGGGGAGUCUUUUCUAUUUUGGCGCCGUAGUCGGGCCAUGAGUGUUUGUAUGAUGAAUGCUAUUUAUGUACCUUGAUGUGACGUGGCGAGUGUAAGCCAACUAUUAUUAUUAUUCCCCCCUUUAUAUUUAUAUGUACAUGGGUUGUGUGAAGAUUGCCUCACUUGCGACUUAUGCCUUCAAUGCGAUUAUGCCUCUAAGUCGUGCCUCGACACGUGGGAGAUAUAGUCGCAUCGAGGGUGUUACAACAUCACUCUUCAAGAAGUAACAAAUGGUGUGUUGAUGAUGAACUCCUUGCUCUUGUGCUUCAAAUGAUAGUCUCCCCAACACUCAACUCUCUCUCACAUGAUAUGGAUUUGGUGGAAAGAAGAUUUGAGUGGAAAGCAACUUGGGGAAGGCUAGAGAUCAAGAUUCAUAUGGUGGGAAUAGAAUAUCUUGGCCUCAACACAUGAGUAGGUAGUUCUCUCUCAGAAAAUAUGUAUUGGAAGUGUAGGUAUGUUCUGAUGGCUCUCUCCAUGAAUAAAGAGUGGGUGGAGGGGUAUAUAUAGCCUCCACACAAAAUCUAACCAUUACACACAAUUUACCAAUCUCGGUGAGACUGAAUUGAGAAACUCAGUCGGACCGAUUUAGCAAACCUAGUGACCGUUAGGAUUUUCGGUGGGACUGAGAUGCAACUCGGUAGGACUGAUAUGGUUAGGGUUAGGGCAUAACGUAAUCUCGGUGAGACCGAUUACACAAACUCGGUGUGACCGAUUUUGGUAAUAAGCUAACAAGAGAGUUGGUCAGGCAAACUUAGUGAGACCGAUUACACAAACUCGGUGGGACCGAUUUUGGUAAUAAGCUAACCAGAAAGUUUGCAUUGUAAUCUCGGUAGUACCGAUUGCUCAAUCUCGGUGGGACCGAUUUUGGUAAUGGACAUACACAGAGAGAUUACAAUCCCAUCUCGGUGAGACCGAGAUCCCUAUCGGUGAAACCGAUUUGCCUAGGGUUUGUGACAGUGGCUAUGACAUCUGAACUCGGUGGCGCCGGAUAGAAAGAAUUGGUGGGGCCGAGUUUGACUUUUUGGUUUAGGUCAUAUGUGGAUGUGGGAAGGUAGUUGAGGGUUUCGGAGCAUAUCACUAAGCACUAUGAAGCAAGAACCUCAUCAAGCAACACCUCAUCCCUCCUUGAUAGUAUUGGCUUUUCCUAUAGACUGAAUGUGAUCUUGGAUCACUAAAAUAGAAAAUGUAGAGUCUUGGUCUUGAAGCUUGAGCUAAUCCUUUGUCCUUAGCAUCUUGAAAGGGUUCCACAUCCUUUAGUCCAUGCCACUUAAUUUGUUGAACUUGUUUGAAACAUACUAAGUAAAAGUAUUAGUCUAACAAGAGAUAUAUUGUCAUUAAUUAUCAAAAUCACCCAGGAAGCACUUGUGCUUUCAAAAAGUUCAUGAAUUCUUUUUCCAUCGAGUAAGGAAGAAGGAAUUGAAAAAACAAAAAAUGAAAAAAGGGAAAUAACAAGAAGAAGAAAGGAUAAAAAAGAGUAACUUAUCAGAUCUUGUUGUGUAGUGCGGUGGUCAGUAUGUCCCUCAAUGCGGGAAGUCGGUGGUUUGAUUCCCUCCUAUGGAGCGUUUUUUUGCGUUUUAAAAAUAGAUAAACAAAGGGGAUCUGGGCCGGCCCAUCACGGAGGGGUUGUGUGCUCCCAUUUGCAAAAUGUAUGCUAAUGGGUGCCUGAAGCGCUAAAGAAGAAGCACCCUUAUACAUAAAGGAACAAGAAGGAAUCCCUAUUGUUAGGCCCAUGUAUGAAGAUGGCACACGCAACCAUCCUCCAACGCAGAGGUCUGACUGAAGCAAUCAAAGGUUGCGGCCCUCCGCAGAUCGAUGAUGGGGAAUACUAUUUGGCGCACGGGUCGCCGACACGACCGCAUGCGUAACCCUGGGAAUAUAUCUGGUGCACCCGCAGUUGUGGUGCUACCGGUGCACCGGAUGUUAUAAAAUAUUUUAAAAAAUCUGAAAUAAUUCUAGCAUGUUAACACAACAUCAAUGUACGAUGUCACAAAAUUUCGUAUAAAAUUUUAAAAUAUUUUGUGAGAUACAAAAAUGACAAUUUUGACAUCAGUGUGAUAAUGGGCCAAAUCUAAAGCCCAAGUUAUGUUAUGUACUAUUCAACGUUGAAUUUGUCAUUUUUGUUUUUCGAGUUAUGUUUCGAAUUUUGACUUGAAAUUUUAUGACAACUUACAUUAAUGUUGUGUGAGUCUGCUAAUUUUUUUUCAGAAAUUUUAAACAUAUUAAAAGCACAAAGGUGAGUUCGGUGCACCAGAAGCACCACAAGCUCCGGUGCACCAUAUAUUUUCCCCGUAACCCCCUCCCCUUUUACGAGCUGGUUUAUGUAUGGACCGGUCCAUUUUUGGGUUUCGUCCCAAGUGGAUUUUUUUGUUUUUCCUUAUAUUUUCUUUCUUUUUUAUUUUUUAUUGUUUCAUCUUUUGUUUAUGUUUCUUUAUCUGUUUAACUUUUUAUUUAUUUCUCUUUUUUUCGUUUACAUUUUUAUUCUUGUUUUUAAAUUUGCAAAAAAAAUUUGUGAACGUUUUUAAAAACCCUAUUUUUUAAAUCAUGAACGUUCAUUUUUAAAAUUCAUGAACAUUUUUUUUAAAUCUAGAACAUUGUUUUACAAAUUUUUGAAUAUUGUCUUAGGUCAUGUUUUUUUUUGAAAUCAUGAAGAUUUGUUUGGAUAAUGAUCAUUUUCUAAUUCGCGAACAAUUUUUCGAAAUCACAAAGAUUUUUCCAAUUCAUAAUUUUUUAUAAAUUUGUGAUAAUUCUCUUAAACUGUGAACAUUUACUGAAUUCGCGAACAUGUUUUUGAAAUCAUGAACAUUUUGGAAUUCAUUAACAAUUUUUCAAAAUCAUGAACAUUUUUGAAAUUUGUGAAUAUGUUUUAUGAAUUUCGUGAACAUUCUCUUAAAUCUUGUACAUUUUUUGAAUUCGUGAACAUUUCUUGAAAUCAUGAACAUUUUCGAAAUCAUGAACAUUUUUUAAAUUCAUUAACUAUUUUUAAAUUCUUGAGCAUUUUUUCACAAAUUCGUGAACAUUCUCGAAUUCUCGAACAUUUUUUGAAUUCUUUCAUUUUUUAAAAUUCAAUACUUUUUUUGAAAUUUAGAACUUUUUUAUAUCCUGAAUUGUUGACAAAACAAAAGGAAAAAAAUCAGGGGGCGUCUCGGCCCGCAGAUGGGCCCGCCCUGAAGGGCGUGUUGGGGAGCGAGGGGAUGCGCGCGGCCGGUUUCCAACACGCGGGUCGCCGAGUAGGAGGUCCCAUCAACGGUGAUUGGUACAAAUGCGCCAUAACUUGCACGUGCUCUAGGCCACCUCUACCUCCCAUCCAACUCUCUUGUCGUUCCGCCGUCGUUCUGCUCUUCCAGGUUCAUCGCCGCUAGUAGAUCAUCUGCGGCAUUCGACUUCGAUAAGCGACAACGUCGUCGGGCGGCGGUUUCUUGAACCUGUGGGUGUUCAACGGGCGCAAUAACUUGUAUUCGCUUCGACGCUUGGACCUCUCCAAGGUCGACUUGUUCUACCCGACACCUGAAGAAGCGGCCGCGCACACCAAGGUGGUGCCAACGCUCAUGCCCACCAUGGCCUCGGCACCAACACAAGGAGAAUCUGCAAGGCUGACUUGGCAAUGGCGGAGAUGGCGGCACCCAAGAUCAAGCCGCUGACACCCCUGGUGACUGUGAGGCCGCUAGUGUGCCAGUCCUUCUGGACGUUCAUUCGCUCUGUGACUUUCUUCAUGACAGCCUCGGAGAACAAGGUCAUCACCGCUGACCACACCAACCGCAUCUUUCGCUUUGACACCGAUACUGACUGCGUGCUCACCAUGUCGAGCCUACAGGAGCAAAAGAACACGCCGCUGGCAGUUUCCCUGCCUGGCACUGCGACGUCCUCCCACUGCCACCCUUCAUCAUCCACCACAAGCACACCUUCAUCGGCCCCUACAUCAUCAUCAAUAGCGACACCAUAUGCUUCUCCAUCGGUUAUGCCGAGGACAUCGGCACCUACUUUCCACACCAUGACUCACGAGUGGAGUAAGACCAACGACUAGCUCAUGUCGUUCCAUGACAAAGGCGGACUAAGCCCCGGAGCUCAGUCUCUGGUUCAGUGUUUAUCACCACUUCUCCUAUGCCGUCGAACUCUCCCACGUCGUUAGAGGGGAGGAGCCACUAGCUGAGAAGAUUUAGAUGUCGGUGCAUGAUGACCUGCCAAAGGAGUUGCACCCGAGCACUAGGCUCAACACGGAGGUAGGACACCAUUGCGGACUUCAAUCUUGGUAUCUCUCAUACUCCAGGAAAGGCAAAUGCCAUAGCCGACGCUCUCGGUCGCAAAGCUUAUUGAAAUAACCUCAUGAUUGAACCAAAUCCCUAUGUGAACAAUUUCGGAAGAUCAACCUUGAAAUUCUCCUCGAGGAUAUCUUGCUAGUCUUGAAGUCACUCCAACUCUUGAAGAUCAAAUAUGUAAAGCCCAACUUGGUGAUAAAUAUGAUCAAGAGCAUCAUAUUGACUUAUAACUUUGUCUCCAUCCUCUAUGUUAUUCACCUGUAGGUUUGAGGAGUAAUUACUAGUUAUCGGGGGGAAUAAGGAUGAGGUCUAGUUGUGUUUGAGACGAACGCGUACGCGAAACAUGGAAUCCCCUUUUGUAUGUUCGAGUUAUUAAUAACCUUGAUGAAUGUUGUGUAAAGGGGGCCCCCGACCACCAGCAUCAUCACCAAGUUUGGGCAUGGGGCGUAUUACCAUCAUCGUGAAGGUUAACAUGUUGAGGUAAUUCGAGGCAACAGUAAAAGCCUUGGUUCUGCGUCUUUGUAACUGACAGGUAAAUAACGAAAAACCCUUAGCGUGGCCGCGUCCAUGGGAAAAAUCCUUAAUCAUCGUAGCGAGAACCGGCGUGGGGAAACUACGAUGGUGGCGUGCAUGAUACGAAGUCUACCCCGAUUGGAACCUAUUCUACACCCCACAUAGUUUCCGAGUUGGGAGAAAUUACCUCAGCCUACCAUGCCACGCCCCUUCACUCUCCCUCUAUCGCCUCGCCUCUCUCCCGGCCGACGAGCGAGCGGCUCCCCUCUCCUCCCCUCCCCGACCCUAGGGUUUCGCCCCUCCGCCAUCGCCUCCCAUCCCCCAUCCCCGACCACCUCCUCCGUCGCGGCCCACCCCCACCGAGCUCCCAUGCCAGAAGAUCGGCGCUGCCGCCCAGAUCGACCCCGGGCCCUGCUCUCGCCGCCGCCCCGGCCUCUAGCUUCGCCGCGGGACCCCUAGAUCGGGCCCGGCCCUCACAAACAAGGUGCAUAUGUGUUUCCUUCCCGGUUCGUUUCGUCGGGUGCAUCAUUGUGAGUUCCUGACCGAAUCCCUUCCUUAGCCGCCGACUUUCGCUAGAUUUCUAUGCAUUCAUUUUAUUUGCCUAAUACUAGUACUACAACAAGCUUAAUAAGCUUGAUGUGAAGUGAAGUAAGCUUAAGAUGAAUGAAACCAAGUUACCCUGUGAGUGAUUUUUGGCAAAUUUUCUGACAUGUAUACUUUAUGAUGUAGUAGUAAUGCUCAUUUAUAUAUCUAGCACAGAGAAAUGAGGCUCAGGCUAUCAGCUGCUAGCACAUAUCUACGUAUGUGGUUGUUACCUAAAUAAAUGGCACAAUAUGCAAGCGUAUGUACGUAUUUUACCUAAUAGUAUUACAACAACAUACAACUCUCUAUACAGGCCAGAGAAAUUGUGUUGCAUUCUAUUUGUAGUAGGUUGUAGAGAUGAUGUAGAAACCACACUGGAAUAAUGCACUCCUGUUUCGAGGCCUUUAUACCAAAUGUUUACGCCUUUAUUUAGUCUAUUAAAAUAUAUAAUUUAAAAAUGAUUUGUGUUUUGAUUAUUUUAAUUAGUAUAUUGAAUCAAAGAAAAUUGUGUUAUAUUAUUCUCUUAUAUACGAUUGAAACAUCCAUCGAUUGAAAAUAUCACUUAUUUUCGUUGUGCUUCAAACAAUAUACAAAAAAUAUGAUGUCCAUUUCUCUUUUGUGUUUGUGCAUAAUUGAAUAUUCUUAAAUAUUUCAGUUGGGAUAUCUGAAUGAAAAUCUGAUAUAAAAUUUAUCCAGAUACAAGUUUCUGGUGUAUGAUUUCAUUAGAAGCAAACAAAAUAUUCUAGAGUUCAUGACAUGUUGAUGAGGAUCUUCUCAUCCCAUCACCAUUGGCAUUGUUGCUUGCAAGUUUCUUCUCAUACUAUUUAUUGCAUGACUUCGUAGAUCCCGCAACCAACUGAACUGGUUGGCAGCAUGUUAUAUCGUGGGAACCGGCAACCAACCGGUUGGCAACAAUGUCAUAAUAUUUUCUAUUCGUGGGAUUCAUAUAUAAACCCCGUAGAUCAAGUUAUCCUUGAUAAGAUGGCUUAUCUUGUCACACUAACGAUAUACCGUGCUUUCACAACCAUUAUUGGUUGGGCGAUCACCGGUACCUGAUACACGUUGUUGGGGGUGGUUGUACCCGAACCCCACGUGGGAGCCGACUCUAGGUUGGUGACGUGGCUAUCCCACCCAUCAAUGCGGUUUGUUUUUAGGGUGGAAGACGACGUUUUAGGUGAUAACAAGAACUCCCGUCCAUGUCAAAGCUUCACGUACGUCCCGAGGCCUCCUACACUGUAUUGUAUUACCCACAUUGUAUUGUUUUAGGUGUUUGGCACGAAUAUUUCAUUCAUCUUGUAUAAACAUGUUGGAUUUUUAUUUAUGAAAAAAGGGGGCUCUAAUGAAUAAUCCAACUCCGAUCCAAGUAGGUUGAGAGAGAUUUGGUUCAAUUCAAACUCAAACUAAAGGAGGGCGUGUUCCAAUCCAAGUAGUAAGUGGUUUGGACAAAGUAAAGUAAAGCAAGUAAGCAAAGUGGGCUCCCUUUUCCUCACUCCCUCCCUCCUUGGUUUGGUUUGGAGGUAACCGACGAACGGGCUGCGUCCACGUGUCCCCUUCCUUCUCCUUUCCCACCACCUUCUCCGUCCACAUCGCCGACCGGCAACCGCCUCCUCUCCCUCUCCGCCUGCCUGAGCGCCAGAGGAAGAGAAGAGUGAGUCUCGUUGUUCGUCUCGCCCUUGUCCUAUUCCGUUUCCCCCCUUUGCUUUGGUUUGCUUGCCGUGGGCGAAUCGGAUCCGGAAGCCUCCUCCUUCUCCCCGCCCGCGCGAGAGAUAGAUAGAUAGAUCUCAUCAUAAAUAAAUAAAUAUACGACCUUCUUAGGCCCUCCACUAUGUAGGCCAAAAGUGAUGCCAAAUACACUUUUGCUUCAUUUGGCACUGGUGCCCUCCAUUGUCCAGCCGGUGCCAUAAAAAAGAUUCUGGAAACCGGAGCAAGUAGCUGCUCCGGUGCCAAAUCCACAAAGCAGUAAACAAUUAGCUCCCUGGCCCACCGAAGAAAGUGAAGCAGACCAAAAACACUCACGUAAAGCAAGUAGUUGAUGGCUGGUUGAGUAUUUUAUUGGCCUUUUGGGUCCCGCUUUUUUCAAGGCUGCGAACACACAUUGUGAGACCGGUGCCAAAUAAUGUUUUCAGGGCAUCGCUGCCCAGCCAGCUAUAUUUUAAUGGACUGGGAAUCGACUACAUAGUGGAAGGCCUUAGCCUGCCCGCGAUUUCGCCCGCCUCUUGUUACCUCAUUGAUUGCAGGACGGACGAGCCAGCGAUUGGAUUGGAUUGGAUCUCGGGUAUUUCUUUCCUUGUCGGUCGAUGAUUCUUUGUUCCCCCUCUGGUUAACGAGUAUUAUUAUUAUUACUACUAAACUACUCCUUCUGUUCACUUUUAUAAGUCCUUAAAGACAUUUCAGACAAUAUACAAAAUAGCCUAUUUUCAGUUAUCUAAAAUGACUUAUAAAAAUGAACGGAGGGAGUAGUACAAAUGUACGUGCAUUGCAACGGGCAAAAAUAAAUGCAAAGCCUGCUUCCUCUCUCCAGCCACCUCUCCAAAAUCCGGCCCAACCAAGGCCCAGCCAAACCUCCUGUUAACCCUAGCGAGAGAGAUCGGGAGGUCCUCUUCCCAAUCGAUCCCCAUCCUCUGGAUCCCCUCAGCGCCGCCACACACACGCCCCCGCACCGCUCCUCGCCGUCGUUUGCCCAGCGACCGCUCCGGCCGCGCCGGAAAAUUAGAUCUUUUGCCCCACUUUACAUCCCCAUUAGAUAAAUCCCUUCCCUAGCUUAGCUUGCCUCUCGGCCGACCAUCUUUUUGGCCGCGCCCAAAUUGCAUCGCCUCCAUGACUCGAGCUGGCGAGGCGCCUGGACGCGGGCCUUCCCUGCGCCACCACAUCUCCGACCCGUCUACCCAUGCUCCUGUUCCGUCAAGCGGCGCGGCGGCUUCGGCGUGAGGCGGCUCUUCUUCGUCUGCUUGGGGGAAGCGGGGUGGCAGCGCCCCUUCACUCUGUGGUCAGAGUUCGUCCCCGCGUGCUGCGGCUCUAGGCCAUCAACUGGUGCCAUGAUCCGCUUCUGAUCCCCGCUUGGAUGGGGAUUUCUUUCUGAAGUUUAUUGUCAGAUGUAUGUAUGUGUGUGCAGAUUUCCUGUAAUCUUUACAUCUUUGUUUCCCGUCGCUUGUUGAAUCAUCACCUAGAUGGGUGCGUAUAUGAAUUAUUAGUUAGUGAGAUUAAGCGUAAACAAGCCAUGUGGGAUUAUCCUCUAGAAUUUUUCUUACGGUUGUACUGUACCGACUGCUCACAAAAAAAGUUCAUAUACGGGGGUCGAGAUUAGUGCCUCUGCCUUGUUAGGUUCGAUCGAAUCUGCUGCACAAGCACAUACUUUUGCCUCUUUCCUCUUGGUAGAUGCAGAGAGCACUACAGAUUACUAUGUAUGUGUGUGCUCCACAAAAUUCUCCACGCAAGUGUUACUUAAUAUCCCACAUUUCCUGGGCAAAUUCAGCCCAGGUUGCCAACUGGGGUCGUCGCUCGGUCGGUUGGUCGGUUGCUGUCAACAUGUAUAUGUGAUCCUGCAUUUUUGUGAAAGCAUCUUGGUUAGCAGAAUCUUUACUUUCAAGACACUUACUUGACCGCAUAAUGAAUUCACCUGUAAGCUCCGUUUCAUGUACAAGAAAGAUGUUUGAAUAUUUUCUCACUACCGCCAAACCGGAAUACUUAUAUUUCGAUUGUUGGGUGCAGAUGAUAGACAUGAUUUCUGCUGUCCAAGACCUUAGUGGGCUGACCACUAGGGAACUUAGUGAGAUGCUCAAGGAGUCCGACAGCUUCGCCUUGCAGUCCAAGGCGCAAGCCGGAGGUCCAGAGCAGGUGCUUAUUAGCUACAAUCUUCACACCUAUUUCAGCCGCCCUUUCGCUGACACGUCUUCUCUCCAGGUGGACAUGGAGAAGCUUGUGUCAUCGCUUCCUCUCCAUCUUCUUGCUGUAAGUUUGGAUAUCGGAAGAGGUUCAGAUUUGACAUAUGUGCUCCGUGCCGUGCGCUUUUUGCAUUGUUUGUCUGAGCUAGCAACUCGCCACACCAAGCUCGAGCAGGUGACUUCUCUCGUCCAUUUCAUCGCAUACGAAUUUCUUACCCUGUUCAUUUGAAUCUUGAUAUUCUGCGACUUCUCUCUUUCUCUAUGUCAUAGUUGACUCAUGAAUCACAUCAUAUGGUCUUUGUGUCUUUCUCCGAUAAAGCUUAAUUCGUUAAAUAAUUUUGCUUUUACUUAUGGUUAGAUGCUAAAUGAGUAAAAGAUGAGCAUUGAGUCACAAUCCUUGUUUAUCUUCGUGCAGGUUCUUCUGGAUGAUGUGAAGUUAUCUGAACAAGUUAUGGACCUGAUAUUCUUUCUGCUAUCCGUUCUGUCCCACUGGAAGAAGGUUCGACAACCACCAAAUUAUUUAUUGAGGGCGGCAUGCUUAUACUUAAUUGUUAUCAUUUCAUACUAAUUUCUGGUAACAGCUAUUGUUCUAAAUUAGGAAGAUCAUCUCGGCGCUUCUCCCUUCAUACAUUCAUCACUUGUAGCAGGAAGUCUUCAUCUGAUGACAAGUUACUUCUCAUCUCAGUGGCAUGAGCUUGUUCAUAUUCUUCUUGCACAUCCAAAGGUAAGUAGUAGGUAACCCAUAUGGUAAUUUAAUGAUUAUUUCGUUCCAUGGCUUGAUUCUGAAGAAACUGUGAAAUAUAAAAGCAUAUAACUAGCUUCCCGAAUUUAUAACAUGUUAAUGUUUAAAUUCUACUCCCUCCGUCCCAUAAUAUAAGAUAUUUUUUGACACUAUGUGAUAGUGUCAAAGAUAGUGUCAAAAAAGAUCUUAUAUUAUGGGGCGGAGGGAGUAUUUUUUAACCUUGCCCCUAUUUUGCAUUGCUUUUGAUUUCUGAACUCCCAGAUUUUGUUGUUUUUCAUCAUCACGGCCAACUUUUCUGUAAUAAUCUUGUUGCGCUGCAAGUUGAUUUCAUAAAUGAUAAUGACAUGUUUAUCGCUAGUUUUGUCCUCAUCCUGAAUAGAAUUUGUAACAUAUUGUGGAGUGUCGACUCUGUUCUUAGAUAUUCCAAUCAAAUUCAUUUAUACUUGUGGUGUUUUGUGGUUCAACCAGAUUAGUAACAAGUGUAGCUCCCAGGCCAAUCUGAGCUAAAAUUAGUAGUAUUCUUAAAAUGUGUCAACUUCUGCGCUAUAUUAUUACAGGCUGUUAUCCGCAGGCAUCAUUUUAUUAUAUAAUACUAAGAUAUUAUGUUAGUAUUUAACUUCCUUUAGCUAUUCUACUGGGUUAUCUGAACCUUCGUUGCUUAUAAGUUUUUGCUGGCUACUGUUUAGUUAUUGAUUCCUGUUUCGUUUAUACAUCUCAGUAGAAAGAUAUUUCGGUAGAAAAAAAGCAAACACCUGACCUUCGCGUAGUUCUUUCUUUGUGUACUCCCUGGAUCACUAUGGCAUCCUUUGAUAUGAAUGUUAUACCAGCAAGACAUAGAUCUGCCUGUUAGGUACUUUGUAUUCAAUCUGUUCAUCUCUGUUAAUAUUUGCUGUUUUGUGGUCAGGUUGAUAUCUUUAUGGAUGUAGCCUUUGAUAGUCUGCACGAAGAUAUGAGGUUAUUGAGUGUCAGGCUAUCGACAUUGGGCACCAAAGCCUUUCCUGUUGGCCCUUUUGACUCACAACUCACUUACUUCAUAUGCCAACAGUGCGAAGCAUCAUUGCAAUUUCUUUUGUCACUGUGCCAGCAGAAGUUAUUCCGAGAUCGUAUUUUAAAAAACAAGGUCCCGUAUAUCCCUAUGCGUCUCAUUUCCUUGAUUUUUUUUAAAUGCAUUUCCUUGUAUUUUUAGUUCCACUGUUAAGGGGAAAACUGCUGAAUGUGAGCUCCUUUUCUUCUUUAUGAUUUAUCAAGAUAAACUUGUUUCGGCAUACUGAUCAGUGAUGCAAACAGAAGUAUAUCACCCUAACUCUCUCCCAAAAAAAACUCAUUACUUGUUCUCCAGUUUUAGUUCAAUUCCAUCUUGUUACCCCCUUGCAUAAGAUUUCUAGAAAAUAGAUCAACUGAUUAACCUAGACUAAUCUAGUGUGUGGAAUAAUACUUUAAUUUAGUGACACAUCCAUCUUCCUGUGUUUUCUACUAAAAGAAGUGAGUAUGUACUCAAAUAUGUUACUGUUUCUGUAUAUCAUUACAUCGUGUAUGCCCUUGGAGGAUAUUGACUCAAGAAGUUACUAAAUGCAGGAGCUCUGUAGAAAUGGAGGCAUACUGUCACUCUCGUUUACGAUAUUGAAGUUAGGUGUUCCAGAAUGGCUGAAAGGAUCAACUGAUAUUGCUUCUUCCAUUUCCAGACAGAAGGCUAAAAUCCUUUCUAUCGUAAGUUUGUCAUGAGUCUUGAAUUACUUUGUUUAAUUCAAGUACUACCACUGUAUACUGCCAGUGUUGCCUUUAUAACUAGUGCCUGGUUAAAUACUCUGUAGUUGUUACAACUGUGUGAAUCUGAAAGUAUUUCUUACCUCGAUGAAGUCGCCACUUUGCCAAAGAGCAUGCAACUAGGGCUGGAGGUUAGUUCUCCUAGGUCUGACCACAGCUGGGGUUGAAAUUACUCCUUUUCUGCAGCAUUUGAAAAUAUCAUUUGGUUCCUAUCAAAUUUAUCACAAUGAUUACUGCAGGUUCUUGAUUUGCUGAAGAUCGCAUUUGGAAGAAAACAAAAACCUGCUGCCGGUUCCCAUGAUAAGAGUUACCCCAUGGGUUCUGUGCUUAUCAGUGCAUUGCGUCUCGUUGACGUCUUUUCUGAUGAUUCAAACUUUAGAUCUUCCUUCAUAACUAAUACUGUAAGCUUUGAAACCGACUGCUUUUAAUACGUACCUUGAUAGGGUUAUAUAGUCUUUUUGCAACCGCAAAACUCUUAUUUUAGCUAAUUCAAUUUCGUUCAUCUUCUCUGCAGAUUCCCUUUCUGACGCAAAUUUUGGCGACUCCUCAUGAUGAGUUUGUCUCAAGUUGGUGCUCUGUCGAUCUGCCAGUGAUGGAAGAUGAUGCUAAUCUGGAUUAUGAUCCGGUUGGUGCAGCUGACCUGGCACUGUUAGCUGCUUCAAAUAUGCUGACUGAAGCGAAAGUUAACUAUUCAUGCAAUUUUCGCUCUAUCAGCAUGCCUUCAAUACAAUAUGCACAGACAAGAACAUCCUGUGUGGUGAAAAUAAUAGCAAAUUUGCACGUCUUUGUUCCAAACAUAUGCGAAGGUCAGAUCUUCUCUCAGUGGCUAUGAGACGCUGUACGAUUUUUUGUGUAACCUUGUUAAAUGCAAGUUCCAUUGUCAUGUAUGUUAACAGAGCAAGAAAGAGACCUCUUUCUUCAGAAAUUUCAGAAAUACUUGUUAUCAGAGAGUCCCAAGCCAUCAUUGGACCAUCCAGCAGCCGAUGAGAUCACCAUAGUUUGUACAAACUUGGGUACAGUCGCUUGUCUUUCUGUUUUGCAAUUUGUUGUGAUUAUGUUAAUUCAUCGCAUUGCAUAUCUUAUGUCUUCUUUUGCUCGGUUUGCAGGAUCUUUGUCCCAUUAUGCUAAAUCAUUAAUCCCUGGUAACUUGUUAAAUGAGGAAGAUGUGCAACUAUUAAGGUGGGUAAUGACAUUUUGACUGGUCCUUAGUGUGCCACAUAGAAACAAUAUUCUUUAUACCUUUCUUGCCGUAUGCCUGAUUGGUUUGAAUUUGUUGCCCUCAGCUGACAACUUCUUUGUUGACGCUUCUCUAAACUUUACCUUUCCUCUCUGCAGUGAUUUUUCUUAUAAGUUGCAACGUUGGUGUAAAUCGCAAGUUGGACAGAGAAUAUCGCAGGUUUUUUUUGCUUUACUCAUUGAUCUCAAACAUCAUACCAAAGCAUUAUGUUUAGGGUCUCUGUUUUCUGGUUCUCAAGGGAUAAUCUGUAAAAGUAGUAAAUUACAUUUCUACAAGUAUAGUUUUAAAGUGCAUAAUGUCCUCAGGCAAAUUCAUUGUUUCUUUUGUAUGGUUGGUGUGACGGGUGUGCUCAAUGUGUAAACUAGAAAAUAGCCUGGAACCAUGCAUUGGGUGGCAGCUUCAUACUUCUUAGCAGUCUACUCAAAAGUUUUUGCCAGUACCUCAUUUUCUUAUGUAAGAUGAUUUCAUGAUGUGAUGUUUUAGGUGGCAAAAAGUGACGUCACAUCAGAAAUGAAGGUAGACUUGCAACCGUUGCAGCAGCCCCAGCCAGCAAGGGCUAGUGUUCCAGAUCCCAAUAUGGAUGGCCCUCCUAAGGUAACAUUAUCGAUUACAUUAAUAUUAGCCAUUGACUUGGUAAUGUAUUUGAUCCCAAUCCAAAACUGAUACUAGCAGGAUGUGCAAAACAUUGAAGAGUCUAUGGCGACGCCCCCCAUGAGACAAGAUGGAAAUGCUAGGGAUGAGACUCCAAGAAACCGUGCCACUACAAAUGGUGGGGUCCUGCAAAAUUCAGUCGGUCAGAACCUAAUCCAUCUUGGCGUUGCGAGAACGACUAGCGCAGGCUAUCCGGGUACCAGUACUGCUACCAGCAUGGAGGUCCCACGCUGCAGAAGUGUAGACCAUUUCAAAACACCAGAACCUACCAAGGAAAGUUGUCUCCGGGACGAGGAUGAGAGGCAGCCUGGUAGGAGAGGAAAGAAGCGAACUAUCAUGAACGACGGGCAGGUAAAUGAAAUUGAGAAUGCUCUGGUUGAUGAGCCCGAGAUGCAUAAGAAUGCCGCUUCCCUUCAGACAUGGGCAGAGAAGCUGAGUGGGCAGGUAAUAUAUAUUAUAUGCCUUUUCUUUUUUUUCUUGCCGCAAGUGAUAUAUAUGCCUUUUCAGUUGGGUAAAUGUUUUUUUUCUUGCCGCGAGUGAUAUAUAUGCCUUUUCAGUUGGGUAAAUGUUUCAUUAGGUCUGACUAACUAGUUUUGGCUUUGUCUGAUUAAUGGAAAUGCGUCCUUACUUUUCAGGGUGCAGAGAUCACAUCAUCGCAACUAAAGAAUUGGUAAGGUGAAAUUAUCCGUCUUCUUUCCUAGGAAUGUACUGCUCCAUAAUAUAACCAACUCUUAGUCCUUCAAAUUUAGUUAUUCCUGUAUCAUACAGAUUUUCUUUUGUGCCUGCAUUCUGUAUCUGUUUGUAAUAAUAGCCUUUUCUUUUAAAUUCUAUCUAGGCUGAACAACAGAAAAGCUAAGCUUGCUCGUAUCGCGAAAGAAAGAGGAGUGCCAUACGAGGGCGAGGGUGCUGACAAGUCAUCUACACCAGCUAAUUCUCAGUUGGGUGACUCCUCAGAGAGUGCCGGCGAGGAGAGCUACUUGCCGCCUUCAAUGGUGCUGAAUGCUCUAGGCUUAUCCAACUCCAAGGGCAGCAGCAGGCUCGUUACCCCAGACUCCAGCGAGCCAAGUACACAAGACAUGAUGACGAGCCGCCCGUUCACAAGAUCAUUGUCAUUCGAGCCUGGCCGCCCCGUUCUGCUGAUUGACAACGAAGGGAAUGAAAUCGGCAGGGGCGAGAUCUUCCAGGUUGAUGGCAGGGCCCAAGGGAAGAGCCUGGCAGAGAGCCACAUCUGCAUCAUCGACGUCACCGAGCUCAAGGUUGAGAAAUGGAGGGAACUCCCCCACCCUUCCGAGGCGUCGGGAAGAACAUUCCAGGAGGCGGAGUCGAGGCAUGGCGGCGUGAUGAGGGUUGCCUGGGAUGUUGUCAGGCUCACUCCGGUGGCGACGUAGGGUGGUUUGUUCCCUUUUGUGGUGUCGGGAAUGUAGAAAGAAGCUGACGUCGGCCCCGUCUGGCUGGGCAUUGAGAAGGUACAAACAGCAAGUAGAGAGAAGCUUCCUGUCAAUCUAGGAUCUGAAGCCAGGAAUGAAUGGUGGCUCUUAUUGUAACUAGUGUUUGGUGAAAGCUAGCCUCCCUGUCAUCUGUCAAAGACUCUAUCCUUAUGUUGCAGCCUCUUCUUAGGGUUUACUAAUUCUGAUAUAUCCGUCGCAACGCUGGUAUGUUGCCAUGUGACGUACAAACAAAUUUAUCUUUUCUGAUAACUGAGAAUGUUGAUAAGAAACAUGCACCGGGAGUUCUUUGACACCUGAGGCGUUUGGGUUCAAACUUUUAGGUUGAGGAAGCAGGUGCAGUUUUACAUGCAAAACCCAUAUACAUGAUCACAGGAAAUGCGGUGUCUUGGUUCCGGUGAAAUGCAUGUCCAAGAUGCUGUUCAUGUAUCUAGCAAGAAGGGGGCUGUCAGUUUCUUUUUGUUGUUGUACUGUUGAUGCUCAGUCCCAUUUAAAUUAGAGCAUGUUUACGUACAAGUGUGCCGAUAUUUUCUGCUAAUAUAUUGAAGCUAAUGAUGCUACCAUCUAAUCUUGAUUCACCGGAAACAUUGCAUAGCAUCAAUUUAAACACAGAAAAAUCUUUGGAGCGAUAGAUUGGCCAAAACACAAUACCGAUAAUCAACACUCUUUAUCUUGAGCAUGACCACCAAACUGGUAGUGUAAAACUAACAAAAAAUGACUGGGCAUCCUUGCUGGGCGUUGAGUAGUUGAAAAGCCGAGUUACCGGCAAUAAUUAGUAAAAAAAUGACAAUUGAUGCAACAUGUCAAAUCAAACUGCCACAACUAAUGUAUGAGAUACUUCUAUUCCAAAUUAUUUUUUCACACAAUAUCCAUUAGGUCCCGGGCAAAAUAUAGGUAAUUCAAAUUAAACCUAAUGAAGAGGCAGGAGAGGGGGCAGGUAAAGGAGAACGGGUCAUUGUCAUCGACAACAUCUCAGCAGGAGAGGGUUUCAGACAGUCUUUCUUGCACGCAUACAUGGACGGGUAGCACUCUAGAUUCGCAAGGCAACACAAGCAAAGCCAUCCAUCUUUGCACGGUUUACCAUUGACACAAAGCCCAUGCGGAAAAUUGAUCUUCUCAUCAUCCACGUCUUCUUCGAUGAUCCGACCUAUGGUACAAUAAUCAAUUAGCCGUUGACAUGGUAACUGAUCUCUCUGUGGAAGUGCAUACAUUGAGCAGUAGGUGCGGAGCAUAGGAGAUGGAGAGACAGUAGCAAGGCUAGACCGUAGAUGCGAAUUGUGUACCUGUCCAUCCUCUUCUAAUGCAGUUUGAAAAUGCUAGGGAAAAGAUACACACAAUUGGUCUAUCAACACAGGGCUUGUAUAGAUGGAGAGAUGGGGAUCCGGUGCAGAAAAGAUCAAGCAAUAAUAUAGUACCUAUUAACUGGCCUAAUUAAAAUUUGUAGUACUCACUCCGAUCCAUAUUAAUUGUCGCUUAAAUGGAUGUAGCUAGUGCUAUAUACAUCCAUUUGAGCGACAAUUAAUAUGGAUUGGGGGGAGUACCUCAUUUAGGAGCUUCAUACUAGAAGCACAUAUCUUAUGGUAGUACCAUUAUUUCUAAUAGGAAGAUUCCAACACUUGAUAAGACAUACCUAAAUAAGACAUUCGAGCAAUAAAGAAGAUUCCAACACUUGAUAGGAGAUUUCAUUAUUAAAAACAGAUUUCGACACUUCAUAAGACGUUUGCUCAAUAAAAAGUUCCAACACUUAUAAGACAUUCAAGCAAUAAAGAAGAUUCCAAGACUUGAUAGGAGAUUUCAUUAUUAAAACAUAUUUCAACACUUAAUAAGACAAUUGCUCAAUAAAAAGUUCCAACACUUAAUAAGACAUACCUACAAGAGAUAUUUCAACACUUAAAAACGAAUUCCAACGAAUGAAGAAAAGAUUUCAACACUUAUUAGGACAUAUCAACAAUAAAAGCAUAUUUCAGCACUUAAUAAUAUAUCUCAAGAAUAAAAAAAUAUUCCAGCACUUAAUUUCAUCCUUUAUAAAGAUUUCAGUAAUUAAUAAGACAUUUCAACAUUAAAAUAGAUAUCAACAUUUAAGAAUAUAUUUCAACACUUAAAAACACAUCCUGACAACAAUAAACAUAUUUCAUCAUUAAAUAACACAUCCCAACAAUAUAAACAGACCCCAGUGAAAAAUCUAAUCUAUUUGUCUGAUCUCUCAUCCUAGCCCAACCGAUAAAGUGGCCAUUCUAGACACUGGAGCAAUUUCCUAUAAAGUGUGUGUGCUCACUCACUUCGACCUGCAACAUUGUUCAAAAGUGAAACAUUACCAAACCUUCCAGUCGCCUCUAUUCCUACUCAAACCAACAUUUCUGAACAGAAUCCGCCAAAGACCAUGUCACACUAUGUUGGCCUGCUGAAGGACCUCCUCUGCCGCAUCAACGCCAACCUCGAUGAUCUCAAGUGUAACACUAGCACGACGUGGCGCUGUGCUCUCAUGCCGUUGUCCCCGUCGCUGGUCGUCGUCCUUGACGGUGUCGGUAGCUACCCCACCGCAGCCUCGCUUCCCAUGCGUCGCUUCUUCAACCUUGAACCCAUCCCUUUGGGUGUGCGUUGCAUCGGCUCUAGCAAUGGAUGUCUCGCCCUUGGCCAUCCUGUUUGUUACCACCAUGAUGGCCUCAACAUGCUCAGCCUCUUCAAUGCUGUCACGGACAUAGAGGUUUGUUUGCCGUCAAUCGUCAUUGAUCUAUAACGGUAGGGGCGUUUCGAAGAUCGUAUUCUCACCAAGCCCCGGUAGGCACGACUUCCUUGCCCCCGCCAUAUGCGAUGCCGACAGGCUCGUCUGUGUCACCGUGGGGGAUAUGAAGUGGACCUUCCUCAACCCCGUGCAACUUAAGGAUGAAGACCACCUCGUCGACCUCAUGUACCAUGAAGAAGGUAGGGUCUACUGCCUCACUCGGUGUGGAGGCAUCCAUGUGCUUCGCCUAUCGGAGCGGUGUCGUGGCCGGGGCAGAUUGGAUCUGAGCGCACUACUGGCCAUGGUUGAGCCAUUGUUGUCCUCAUCCAACCUUCCAUUCGACCCUGCUAGUAGUUUUGCCACACCAUACGACACGUGUCUGGUUACACUAGUGCCAAGCAGGCGCUUGGGUUCAAACUUUUAGGUUGGGGAAGCAGGUGCAGUUAUACAUGCAAGAUUCAUAUACAUGAUUACAAGAAAUGCGGUGUGUCGGUUCCGGCAAAAAACCUGAAGAUGUUGUUCAUGAAUGAGUUCAAAAGGGAGCUUGUGGUGGUUGAUUGAGGGGACACUUUUCAAUGUUUGCAGAUGAAAAAAUGUUAAUGUGCCACCGAUGAUCAGUUCCAUUUGAAUUAGAGCCUGUUCACAUACAAGUCUGCUGACAUUUUCCUUCGAUAUAUAUAUAUAUAUAUAUAUAUAUUUAUAUUUAUAUAUUGACGAUAAUGAUGCUACCAUAUAAUCUUGAUUCACCAAAGACUUUCUAUGUCAAGCGGUGAUGAUGCUACCCGUCUCACCUAAUCUUGACUCACCAGAAACAUGUCAUGGCAUCUAUUUAAACACACACUAAAAAAAUCUUAGGAGCGAUAGAUUGACCAAAACACAAUACUGCUAAUCAACAUUGCUUAUCUUGAGCAUGACCACCAAGCUCGUAGUGUAAAAUUAACAAAAAAUGACCAGACACCGAUAUUUGAAAAACUAAGUUACCAACGAUAAUUGGUAACAAAAAAGAGAUUAAUGCAACAUGUGAAACUAAACCGCAACAACUAAUGUAGAUACUUCUAUUCCAAAUUAUUUUUUCACACAAUAUCCAUUGGGUCCCGGGCAAAAUAUAGGUAAUUCAAAUUGAACCUAAUGAAGAUGCGGGAGAGGGGGCGGGUAAAUGAGAAUGGGUCAUUGUCAUGGGCACCAUGUCAGUAGGAGAGGGUUUUAGAUAAUCUUUCUUGUAUGCAAUCAUGGACGGGUAGCACUCUCGAUUGAGGAGACAACACAAGCAGACCCAUCCAUCUUUGCACGGUCUAUUGUUGACACAAAGCCCACACGGUAAAUUGAUGUUCUCUUCAUCCACGUCUUCUUCGCCGAUGAUCCGACUAUAUAUGGAACAACAAAUGAAUUAGGUGUGAAAGAAUUAGCCAUUGAAUAUGGUAACUGAUCAUUUUGGACUGAUUACCAAACAAGCAGCAGGCAAUGAAAGGUGAGAAAGAACUGACAACUCUUUGUGGAAGUGCAUACAUUGUGCAGUAGGUGUGGAGCAUAGGGGAUGGAGAGACAGUAGUGCCUAGAGCGUAGAUACGAAUCGUGUGCUUGUCCAUCCUCUGCCAAUGUAGUUUGAAAAUGCUAGGUACAAGAUAUGCAUGCUUGCUCUAUCAACACAUGGCUUGUAUAUAGAGAGAAGGGAGAUCCGGUGCAGAAAAGAUCAAGCAAUAAAAUAGUACCUAUUAAUUGGCCCGUAAAAUCAUAUUGCAGCAAUUAAUAAGACAUCCGAGCAAUAAAAACAUAUUUUAGUUCUAAAUAAGACAUGCCAACAAUAAAGUAAAUUUCAACACUUAAUAAGAGAUUUCGUUAUUAAAAAUAGAUUUCAGCACUCAAGAAGACAUUUCCACAAUAAAAAAGUUCCAACAAAGACAUUUAUAGAAGAGAUAUUUCAACACUUAAAAAACACUAAAUGAGAUAUCAACACUUAUUAGGAUAUUUCAACAAUAUAAAAGCACAUUUCAGCACUAAAUAAGAUAUCUCUAGAAUAAAAAUAUACUUCGAUACUUAAUGAGAGAUUACAACUUUUUAAAAGAUUUCAGCCAUCAAUAAGACACUUCAACAUUAACGUAGAUUUCAACAUUUAAUGAGACAACACGAAUACAUUUCGACACUUAAAAAACACAUCUCAAAAAAUAAUAAACAUGUUUCAUCAUAAAAAUUGCCAUUGAACAUUUAUUUGGUCAGAGGCAUGAAUACUAGAUGGAGUGCUCUAGAAUAACAACAUAUAAACAAAUUUAUGUUUCUUUUCUGAUAACUGAGAAUGUUGAUAAGAAACAUGCACCAGGAGUUCUUUCGACACUUGAGGCGUUUCGGUUCAAAUUUUUAGGUUGGGGAAGCAGGUGCAGUUGGACAUCCAAAAUCCACAUACAUGAUCAUAGGAAAUGCGGUGUCUCGGUUCCAGCGAAAACCUGAAGGCACUAUUCAUGUAUCCAUCAAGAUGAGCUCACAAGAGUGCUCCUGAGAGAGGGGACUGUCAACUUCUUUUUGUUGUUGUGCUGCUAAUGCCCAAUCCCAUUUAAAUUAGAGCACGUUUACAUAAAAGUGUGCUAAUAUUUUCUGCUAAUAUACUGAAGCUAAUGAUGCUACCAUAUAACCUUGAUUCACCAGAGACUUUCUAUGUCAGACGGCGAUGAUGCUACCGUCGCAUCCAAUCUGGAUUCACGGGAAACAUGGCAUGGCAUCGAUUCAAACACUAACAAAAAUCUCAGGAGCGAUAGAUUGACCAAAACACAAUACCGAUAAUCAACAUUCUUUAUCUUGAGUAUGACCACCAAACUGGUAGUGUAAAGUGACCGGGCAUCCUCACCGGGUGUUGAGUAGUUGAAAAACUGAGUUACAUGCAAUAUUUGGUAGCAAAGAAAAGAAGAUUGAUGCAACAUGUCAAAUCAAACUGCAACAACUAAUUUAUUAGUUACUUCUAUCCCAAAUUAUUUUUUCACACAAUAUCCAUUAGGUCCCAAGAAAAAUAUAGGUAAUUUAAAUUGAACCUAAUGCAGAGGCGGGAGAGGGGGAAGGUAAAGGAGAACGGGUCAUUUGUUCGGGAACGCAGUAAUUUCAAAAAAUUUCCUACGCACACGCAAGAUCAUGGUGAUGCACAGCAACGAGAGGGGAGAGUGUUGUCUACGUACCAACGCAGACCGACUGCGGAAGCGAUCACACAACGUAGAGGAAGUAGCCGUACGUCUUCUCCCGAUCCAACCGAUCCAAGCACCGUUACUCCGGCACCUCCGAGUUCUUAGCACACGUUCAGCUCGAUGACGUUCCUCGGGCUCCGAUCCAGCAAAGCGUCGAGGAAGAGUUCCGUCAGCACGACGGCGUGAUGACGAUCUUGAUGUACUACCGACGCAGGGCUUCGCCUAAGCACUACAACGGUACGAUCGAGGUGGAAUUUGGUGGCAGGGGGCACCGCACACGGCUAAGGAACGAUCUCAAGGAUCAAGUUGUGUGUCUAUGGGGUGCCCCCUGCCCCCGUAUAUAAAGGCCAGGGGCAAGGGGUUCGGCCGGCUAGGAGGGAGGCGCAGGGAGGAGUCCCACUCCUACCGGGAGUAGGACUCCUUCCCCCAAAUCCUAUUCCUAGUAGGACUCUUCGGGAGAAAGAGAAGAGAGGGGGGCCGGCCCCUUCUCCUAGUCCUAAUAGGACUAGGGAAGGGGGGUUCGGCCGGCUAGCCUGUGGGCUGCCCCUUCUCUCUUUUCCACUAAGGCCCAAUAGGCCCAUAUGCCUCCCGGGGGGUUCCGGUAACCCUCCCGGUAAUCCGGUAAAAUCCCGAUUUCACCCGGAACACUUCCGGUGCCCAAACAUAGGCUUCCAAUAUAUCAAUCUUUAUGUCUCGACCAUUUCGAGACUCCUCGUCAUGUCCGUGAUCUCAUCCGGGACUCCGAACAACCUUCGGUACAUCAAAAUGCAUAAACUCAUAAUAACUGUCAUCGUAACGUUAAGCGUGCGGACCCUACGGUUCGAGAACAAUGUAGACAUGACCGAGACACGUCUCCGGUCAAUAACCAAUAGCGGGACCUGGAUGCCCAUAUUGGCUCCUACAUAUUCUACGAAGAUCUUUAUCGGUCAGACCGCAUAACAACAUACGUUGUUCCCUUUGUCAUCGGUAUGUUACUUGCCCGAGAUUCGAUCGUCGGUAUCCAAUACCUAGUUCAAUCUCGUUACCGGCAAGUCUCUUUACUCGUUCCGUAAUACAUCAUCUCACAACUAACUUAUUAGUUGCAGUGCUUGCAAGGCUUAUGUGAUGUGCAUUACCGAGAGGGCCCAGAGAUACCUCUCCGACAAUCGGAGUGACAAACCCUAAUCUCGAAAUACGCCAACCCAACAUCUACCAUUGGAGACACCUGUAGUACUCCUUUAUAAUCACCCAGUUAUGUUGUGACGUUUGGUAGUACCCAAAGUGUUCCUCCGGUAAACGGGAGUUGCAUAAUCUCAUAGUUAUAGGAACAUGUAUAAGUCAUGAAGAAAGCAAUAGCAACAUACUAAACGAUCGGGUGCUAAGCUAAUGGGAUGGGUCAUGUCAAUCAGAUCAUUCUACUAAUGAUGUGACCUCGUUAAUCAAAUAACAACUCCUUGUUCAUGGUUAGGAAACAUAACCAUCUUUGAUUAACGAGCUAGUCAAGUAGAGGCAUACUAGUGACACUCUGUUGGUCUAUGUAUUCACACAUGUAUUAUGUUUCCGGUUAAUACAAUUCUAGCAUGAAUAAUAAACAUUUAUCAUGAUAUAAGGAAAUAAAUAAUAGCUUUAUUAUUGCCUCUAGGGCAUAUUUCCUUCAGUUCCCUUUGUCAUCGGUAUGUUACUUGCCCGAGAUUCGAUCGUCGGUAUCUCAAUACCUAGUUCAAUCUCGUUACUGGCAAGUCUCUUUACUCGUUCCGUAACACAUCAUCCCGCAACUAACUCAUUAGUUGCAAUGCUUGCAAGGCUUAUAGUGAUGUGUAUUACCGAGUGGGCCCGGAGAUACCUCUCCGACAAUCGGAGUGAAAAAUCCUAAUCUCGAAAUACGCCAACCCAACAAGUACCGUCGGAGACACCUGUGGAGCACCUUUAUAAUCACCCAGUUAUGUUGUGACGUUUGGUAGCACACAAAGUGUUCCUCCGGUAAACGGGGGUUGCAUAAUCUCAUAGUCAUAGGAACAUAUAAGUCAUGAAGAAAGCAAUAGCAAUAAACUAAACGAUCAAGUGCUAUGCUAACGGAAUGGGUCACAUCAUUCUCCUAAUGAUGUGAUCCCGUUAAUCAAAUGACAACUCUUUGUCUAUGGCUAGGAAACAUAACCAUCUUUGAUCAACGAGCUAGUCAAGUAGAGGCAUACUAGUGACACUCUGUUUGUCUAUGUAUUCACACAUGUAUCAUGUUUUUGGUUAAUAAAAUUCUAGCAUGAAUAAUAAACAUUUAUCAUGAUAUAAGAAAAUAAAUAAUAACUUUAUUAUUGCCUCUAGGGCAUAUUUUCUUCAGUCUCCCACUUGCACUAGAGUCAAUAAUCUAGUUCAUAUCGCCAUGUGAUUUAACACCAAUAGUUCACAUCAUCAUGUGAUUAACACCCAUAGUUCACAUCGUCAUGUGACCAACACCCAAAAGGUUUUACUAGAGUCAAUAAUCUAGUUCACAUCGCUAUGUGAUUAACACCCAAAGAGUACUAAGGUGUGAUCAUGUUUUGCUUGUGAGAGAAGUUUUGUCAACGGGUCUGCCACAUUCAGAUCCGUAAGUAUUUUGCAAAUUUCUAUGUCAACAAUGCUCUGCACGGAGCUAUUCUAGCUAAUUGCUCCCACUUUCAAUAUGUAUCCAGAUUGAGAUUUAGAGUCAUCUGGACCAGUGUCAAAAUUUGCAUCGACGUAACCCUUUACGACGAACCUUUUUGUCACCUCCAUAAUCGAGAAACAUAUCCUUAUUCACUAAGGAUAAUUUGACCGCUGUCCAGUGAUCUACUCCUAGAUCACUAUUGUACUCCUUGCCAUAAAUAGUGUAGGGUAUACAAUAGAUCUGCUACACAGCAUGUCAUAUUUUAUAGAACCUAUGGCCAAGGCAUAGGGAAUGACUUUCAUUCUCUCUCUAUCUUCUGCCGCGGUCGGGUUUUGAGUCUUACUCAACUUCACACCUUGUAACACAGGCAAAACUCUUUCUUUGACUGUUCCAUUUUGAACUACUUCAAAAUCUUGUCAAGGUAUGUACUCAUUGAAAAACUUAUCAAGCGUCUUGAUCUAUCUCUAUAGAUCUUGAUGCUCAAUAUGUAAGCAGCUUCACCGAGGCCUUUCUUUGAAAAACUCCUUUCAAACAUUCCUUUAUGCUUUGCAGAAUAAUUCUACAUUAUCUCUGAUCAACAAUAUGUCAUUCACAUAUACUUAUCAGAAAUGCUGUAGUGCUCCCACUCACUUUCUUGUAAAUACAGGCUUCACCGCAAGUCUGUAUAAAACUAUAUGCUUUGAUUAACUUAUCAAAGCGUAUAUUCCAACUCCGAGAUGCUUGCAUCAGUCCAUAGAUGGAUCGCUGGAGCUUGCAUAUUUUGUUAGUACCUUUAGGAUUGACAAAACCUUCUGGUUGCAUCAUAUACAACUCUUCUUUAAUAAAUCCAUUAAGGAAUGCAGUUUUGUUUAUCCAUUUGCCAGAUUUCAUAAAAUGCGGCAAUUGCUAACAUGAUUCGGACAGACUUAAGCAUAGAUACGAGUGAGAAACUCUCAUCGUAGUCAACACCUUGAACUUGUCGAAAACCUUUUUGCGACAAUUCUAGCUUUGUAGAUCGUAACACUACUAUCAGCGUCCGUCUUCCUCUUGAAGAUCCAUUUAAUCUCAAUGGCUCGCCGAUCAAUGGGCAAGUCAAUCAAAGUCCAUACUUUGUUCUCAUACAUGGAUCUCAUCUCAGAUUUCAUGGCCUCAAGCCAUUUCGCGGAAUCUGGGCUCAUCAUCGCUUCCUCGUAGUUCGUAGGCUCGUCAUGUUCAAGUAACAUGACCUCCAGAACAGGAUUACCGUACCACUCUGGUGCGGAUCUCACUCUGGUUUACCUACGAGGUUCGGUAGAAACUUGAUCUGAAGUUACAUGAUCAUCAUCAUUAGCUUCCUCACUAAUUGGUGUAGUAGUCACAGGAACAUAUUUCUGUGAUGAACUACUUUCCAAUAAGGGAGCAGGUACAGUUACCUCAUCAAGUUCUACUUUCCUCCCACUCACUUCUUUCGAGAGAAACUCCUUCUCUAGAACGGAUCCAUUCUCAGCAACGAAUAUCUUGCCUUCGGAUCUGUGAUAGAAGGUGUACCCAACAUUUUCUUUUGGGUAUCCUAUGAAGAUGCACUUCUCUGAUUUGGGUUUGAGCUUAUCAGGUUGACACUUUUUCACAUAAGCAUUGCAACCUCAAACUUUAAGAAAUGACAGCUUAGGUUUCUUGCCAAACCAUAGUUCAUACGAUGUCGUCUCAAACGGGUUUAGAUGGCGCCCUAUUUAACAUGAGUGUAGCUGUCUCUAAUGCAUAACCCCAAAACGAUAGCGGUAAAUCAGUAAGGGACGUCAUAGAUCGCACCAUAUCUAAUAAAGCACGGUUACGACGUUCGGACACACCAUUACACUGUGGUGUUCCAGGUGGCGUGAGUAGUGAAACUAUUUCACAUUGUUUUAACCGAAGGCCAAACUCAUAACUCAAAUAUUUUACUUCUACGAUCAUAUCGUAGAAACUUUUAUUUUUGUUACGAUGAUUCUCCACUUCACUCUGAAAUUCUUUGAACUUUUCAAAUGUUUCAGACUUGUGUUUCAUAAAGUAGAUAUACCCAUAUCUGCUCAAAUCAACUGUGAAGGUCAGAAAAUAACGAUACCCACCGCGAGCCUCAACAUUCAUCGGACUGCAUACAUCAAUAUGUAUUAUUUCCAAUAAGUCAGUUUUUUGCUCCAUUGUUCCGGAGAACGGAGUCUUAGUCAUCUUGACCAUGAGGCACGGUUCGCAAGCAUCAACUGAUUCCUAAUCAAGUGAUUCCAAAAGCCCAUCAGCAUGGAUUUUCUUCAUGUGCUUUACACCAAUAUGACCUAAACGGCAGUGCCACAAAUAAGUUGCACUAUCAUUAUUAACUUUGCAUCUUUUUGGCUUCAAUAUUACGAGAAUGUGUAUCACCACAAUCGAGAUCCAACAAACCAUUUUCAUUGAGUGUAUGACCAUAGAAGGUUUUAUUCAUGUAAACAGAACAACAAUUUAUUCUCUUACUUAAAUGAAUAACCGUAUUGCAAUAAACAUGAUCAAAUCAUAUUCAUGCUCAACGCAGACACCAAAUAACACUUAUUUAGGUUCAACACUAAUCCCGAAAGUAUAGGGAGUGUGCGAUGAUGAUCAUAUCAAUCUUGGAACCACUUCCAACACACAUCGUCACUUCACCCUUAACUAGUCUCUGUUCAUUCUGCAACUCCCGUUUCGAGUUACUACUCUUAGCAACUGAACCAGUAUCAAAUACCAAGGGGUUGCUACGAACACUAGUAAAAUACACAUCAAUAAUCUGUAUAUCAAAUAUACCUUUGUUCACUUUGCCAUCCUUCUUAUCCACCAAAUACUUGGGGCAGUUCCGCUUCCAGUGACCAGUCCCUUUGUAGUAGAAGCACUUAGUCUCAGGCUUAGGACCAGACUUGGGCUUCUUCACUUGAGCAGCAACUUGCUUGCCGUUCUUCUUGAAGUUCCCCUUCUUCCCUUUGCCCUUUUCUUGAAACUAGUGGUCUUGUCUACCAUCAAUACUUGAUAUUUUUCUUGAUUUCUUCCUUCAUUGAUUUCAGCAUUAUGAAGAGCUUGGGAAUCAUUUUCGUUAUCCCUUGCAUAUCAUAGUUCAUCACGAAGUUCAACUAACUUGGUGAUGGUGACUAGAGAAUUCUGUCAAUCACUAUCUUAUCUGGAAGAUUAAUUCCCUCUUGAUUCAAGCGAUUGUAGUACCCAGACAAUCUGAGUACAUUCUCACUGCUUGAGCUAUUCUCCUCCAUCUUUUUAGCUAUAGAACUUGUUGGAGACUUCAUAUCUCUCAACUCGGGUAUUUGCUUGAAAUAUUAACUUCAACUCCUGGAACAUCUCAUAUGGUCCAUGACAUUCAAAACGUCUUUGAAGUCUCGAUUCCAAGCUGUUAAUCAUGGUGCACUAAACUAUCAAGUAGUCAUCAUAUUGGGCUAGCCAAACGUUCACAACGUCUGCAUCUACUCCUGCAAUAGGUCUGUCACCUAGCGAUGCAUCAAAGACAUAAUUCUUCUGUGCAGCAAUGAGGAUAAUCCUCAGAUCACGGAUCCAAUCCGCAUCAUUGGUACUAACAUUUUUCAACAUAAUUUUUCUCUAGCAACACAAUAAAAUGGGAGCAACAUCGCGAGCUAUUGAUCUACAACAUAGAUAUGCUAAUACUACCAGGACUAAGUUCAUGAUAAAUUAAAGUUCAAUUAAUCAUAUUACUUAAGAACUCCCACUUAGAAAGACAUCUCUCUAAUCUUCUAAGUGAUCACGUGAUCCAAAUCAACUAAACCAUAACCGAUCAUCACAUGAAAUGGAGUAGCUUUCAAUGGUGAACAUCAAUAUGUUGAUCAUAUCUACUAUAUGAUUCACGCUCGUCCUUUCGGUCUCAGUGUUCCGAGGCCAUAUCUGUAUAUGCUAGGCUCGUCAAGUUUAACCUGAGUAUCCUGUGUGUGCAAAACUGGCUUGCACCCGUUGUAGAUGGACGUAGAGCUUAUCACACCCGAUCAUCACGUGGUGUCUGGGCACGACGAACUUUGGCAACGGUGCAUACUCAGGGAGAACACUUUUAUCUUGAAAUUUAAUGAGAGAUCAUCUUAUAAUGCUACCGUCAAUCAAAGCAAGAUAAGAUGCAUAAAAGAUAAACAUCACAUGCAAUCAAUAUAAGUGAUAUGAUAUGGCCAUCAUCAUCUUGUGCUUGUGAUCUCCAUCUCCGAAGCACCGUCAUGAUCACCAUCGUCACCGGCCGACGCGACACCUUGUUCACCAUUGUAGCAUCGUUGUCGUCUCGCCAAUCUUAUGCUUCCACGACUAUCGCUACCGCUUGGUGAUAAAGUAAAGCAUUACAGCGCAAUUGCAUUGCAUACAAUAAAGCGACAACCAUAUGGCUCCUGCCAGUUGCCGAUAACUCGGUUACAAAACAUGAUCAUCUCAUACAAUAAAAUUUAGCAUCAUGUCUUGACCAUAUCACAUCACAACAUGCCCUGCAAAAACAAGUUAGACGUCCUCUACUUUGUUGUUGCAAGUUUUACGUGGCUGCUACAGGCUGAGCAAGAACCGUUCUUACCUACGCAUCAAAACCACAAUGAUAGUUUGUCAAGUUGGUGUUGUUUUAACCUUCGCAAGGACCGGGCGUAGCCACACUUUGUUCAACUAAAGUUGGAGAAACUGACACCCGCCAGCCACCUGUGUGCAAAGCAUGUCGGUAGAACCAGUCUCGCGUAAGCGUACGCAUAAUGUCGGUCCGGACCGCUUCAUCCAACAAUACCACCGAACCAAAGUAUGACAUGCUGGUAAGCAGUAUGACUUAUAUCGCCCACAACUCACUUGUGUUCUACUCGUGCACAACAUCAACGGAUAAAACCUAGGCUUGGAUGCCACUGUUGGGGAACGUAGUAAUUUCAAAAAAAUUCCUACGCACACGCAAGAUCAUGGUGAUGCAUUGCAAUGAGAGGGGAGAGUGUUGUCCACGUACCCUCGUAGACCGAAAGCGGAAGCGUUAGCACAACACGGUUGAUGUAGUCGUACGUCUUCACGAUCCGACCGAUCCAAGUACCGAACGCACGGCACCUCCGAGUUCAGCACACGUUCAGCUCGAUGACGUCCCUCGAACUCCGAACCAGCCGAGUGUUGAGGGAGAGUUUCGUCAGCACGACGGCGUGGUGACGAUGAUGAUGUUCUACCGACGUAGGGCUUCGCCUAAGCACCGCUACGAUAUGAUCGAGGUGGAUUAUGGUGGAGGGGGGCACCGCACACGGCUAAGAGAUCAAGAGAUCAAUUGUUGUCUCUUUGGGGUGCCCCCUGCCCCAUAUAUAAAGGAGUGGAGGAGGGGGAGGGCCGGCCCUCUCUAUGGCGCGCCCUAGGGGAGUCCUACUCCCACCGAGAGUAGGAUUCCCCCUUUCAUAGUAGAACUAGGAGCCCUUCCAUGUAGUAGGAGUUGGAGGGGAGGAAAGGGAAGGGAAAAGGAGAAGGAAGGAAGGGGGCGCCCCCCUCCCUUGUCCAAUUCGGACCAGCCCAUGGGGAGGGGUGCGGCCACCCUUUGAGGCCUUUCUCUCCUUUCCCGUAUGGCGCAUUAAGGCCCAAUACGAAUUCCCGUAACUCCCCGGUACUCCCGAAAAUACUCGAAUCACUCGGAACCUUUCCGAUGUCCGAAUAUAGUCGUCCAAUAUAUCAAUCUUUACGUCUCGACCAUUUCGAGACUCCUCGUCGUGUCCCCUAUCUCAUCCGGGACUCCGAACUCCUUUGGUACAUCAAAACACAUAAACUCAUAAUAUAACCGUCAUAGAACUUUAAGCGUGCGGACCCUACGGGUUCGAGAACUAUGUAGACAUGAACGAGACACUCUCCUGUCAAUAACCAAUAGCAGAACCUGGAUGCUCAUAUUGGCUCUUACAUAUUCUACGAAGAUCUUUAUCGGUCAAACCGCAUAACAACAUACAUUGUUCCCUUUGUCAUCGGUAUGUUACUUGCCCGAGAUUCGAUCAUCGGUAUCUCAAUACCUAGUUCAAUCUCGUUACCGGCAAGUCUCUUUACCCGUUCCGUAACACAUCAUCCCGCAACUAACUCAUUAGUUGCAAUGCUUGCAAGGCUUAUAGUGAUGUGCAUUACCGAGUGGGCCCAGAGAUACCUCUCCGACAAUCGGAGUGACAAAUCCUAAUCUCGAAAUACGCCAACCCAAAAAGUACCUUCGGAGACACCUGUAGAGUACCUUUAUAAUCACCCAGUUAUGUUGUGACGUUUGGUAGCAUACAAAGUGUUCCUCCGGUAAACGGGAGUUGCAUAAUCUCAUAGUCAUAGGAACAUGUAUAAUUCAUGAAGAAAGCAAUAGCAAUAAACUAAACGAUCAAGUGCUAUGCUAACGGAAUGGGUCAAGUCAAUCACAUCAUUCUCCUAAUGAUGUGAUCCCAUUAAUCAAAUGACAACUCUUUGUCUAUGGCUAGGAAACAUAACCAUCUUGAUCAACGAGCUAGUCAAGUAGAGGCAUACUAGUGACACUCUGCUUGUCUAUGUAUUCACACAUGUAUCAUGUUUCCGGUUAAUACAAUUCUAGCAUGAAUAAUAAACAUUUAUCAUGAUAUAAGGAAAUAAAUAAUAACUUUAUUAUUGCCUCUAGGGCAUAUUUCCUUCAAAAGCAAACCCCGGGCCUAGUUUUUUUUCAACAACAUGGAAAAACUUUGGCACUUGAAGCUACAUCAUACCAUUUUGUAAAAAAUACCUGAUGCAGAAGCAUACAAAAUAAAGUUCAAUUUCUUAAUAAUCUACAAUUUAAACUUGAUGCUCAAUGAUCCAAGAAAAUAGAUAAAACACACCAGAAGUAUAAAUAGUAAUAUGGGAAUAGAAAAAAGAUACCAAAUCAAUUGAUAACUUCAUCGGUGCCUCCCAUAACUUGAUCAAUGGUAGAAGAAUCAACACCUUCAAGGCUUUCACGAAAAAACAUAAGUUUCAAGUGAGACAAUUAUGAAAGAUACAAAUUUGAAAAUAUACCAAGUAACACAUAGGUCACAUGAAAGCAUCAGGGGAAGCUAGAAAAGCAUCAAAAAAAAACCAAGCUGCCGCAAUCAAGCAGGGGAAUGGUGCACAGUACGUCGGUGGCCGGGAGCAGGGGGAAGUGGGAGGGCGGAGGCACUCGGUGGACAACGCCACGACGGCCAAGAGAAGGGGCGGCUUCAUGGGACUGCAGAAAAGACUAGUAUAUAGAUAAUAGGCUGUAACAUUUUGGUUUCCACGGCCCGGGGCCUAGGUCCGCCCCUGCGUGGGCUUGAAUUUGAGUGGAAAACGAUUCAAAUACCGAUGUCAAUGCAGGAGGAAGACACGUAAAAAGUGCUGUGUUAUUAGUUUAAAAUGCUGUUUUCGGUUUUGAUUUUUGAAAUCCAAUGUUUCCUGAUCCUACAUUGACAUCGAUAUUAUAAGCGCCAUUGUCCAUUUGUUUCGAAAAUAUGGCCAUCAUUGUCCAAUCCCAAAAAAUCUAUUCACGUCACCCACCCACCAAUCCCAAGCAGGCAGCCACUCUAACCCAAUGUUUUAAAUAGCGGUCUAUGGCAUUUAGCAGCGGCUCGGCUAGAAGCUAUGAAAAGCUAUAGCUUAUAGCGUCGCUAUAGCCCUAUUUAGCGUUUUCCAUAAAUUAUGAAAAGUUGAAAUAAUAAGUAUACAAUCAGGAUCAUAUAUGAUAUAUUGCAUAUACUUAAUAUAUUCACAUGUUCGUACAUCAAAACCCGAGCGUCAAUCAGGUGUCCCAAUUCAAUAACCAAGCUUUGCGUCAACACAUCAUUUAUAUUAUAAACAAGAACAAAAAAUAAUGCAGAAGAUGGUGUUGUAUAGCGUCUUAGCGGCUAAAUGACUCCAAAUUUAGCGCUAUAGCGGGAAAUAGUGGGCUAUUACCGUCAAAAGUGCAUAGCUUUAGGUGGAAAGCUCUCGAAGGCAGGCUAUUUAAAACAUAGACGUCGAUAACGGCCGAACGUUCGGCCUCGUGGCUCGCCAGAUCGAACAAUUUGUUCGGUGACAGGGUGGGCAGCGAACAAACAAAUUUGUUCGGGAUGAGAGGACUCCCAGCCCGAACGCCCUCACCCCCAGCUUCUGUACUGGGUCGUCCUUGUGACUAAAACAAAGAAAAGAAAGCCUAGUACGGCCCAGUUUGUACUACGAAUAAAAACAAUCAUCUGUGAAAAAAGAAAGCUCAGAUUUUGCCAUAUUUUGAAAAAAAACUGCCAUUAAAAGAAGAAAAUUGAGAACUAAAAAAUCCCAGUGAUGCAAACCAGAAAUUGCCAUCUGUCUUUAACCAAGCAAAAAAUGCUAUGGACAAAAAUGAUAAUGCCUAAAACCUACUAUGUGUACAAAAAUGAGAGAAGUUCAUAUUUCAACCCUCAAGUAACCACAAAGUUUAAAACUCAACCCUAAACUUCAAAACCGGUUGAUACACACCCCAAACUAACAAUACAGUGCAAAAAUCAACCCUGGUCCCGGUUUUGACUUAGUAAAGUGGUUCUGACCACAUUGACAGCUGACCUCUUGUUACUGUUGCGUGUGCACACGGUGCUGACCUGGACCACACGUCCGCUGCACACACACUAUCUCAAGAAUCCAAAGGGUUACUCUCUCACAAGGAUCUUUACUCAAAAAAUAUCUCAAGAAUCCAAAGGGUCACUCACUCCUAGAACGCGGCAGCACCGAGUGAGCACCGCGGCAUCCAGCAAGCACGACAGCAUGCCAGAACACACAAACAUAUCGUGCGCGCCCGGCGGCGAGCUCACCUCCGUGCGCCUCGACGGCACGCACGCACACCCCCACGGCCGCGUACGCCAGCACACAAACACGCACACCUCCGGACGGAAACCUGGACGCGGGAGAGCUCGCCACGAGCCGCGAGCAAGAUGUUGGUAGGAGGGAGGAAAGUCACCGCGAGCCGGCGCCUCACAACGCUCGGUGCUCUGUGCCGCUCUAUUGCUGCAUCCAACUCCGGCGAGCAAUUGCUGCCGACAGUCCGGGGUGGCUUUGCUGCGUGGCCGUGGGAGGGGCGUCGCGUGAUGGUCGGCGGGGAGUGGUCUGGGCAGGGGCGCCACGCGAGCUCGGGACGGCAGCAGCAGCAAGACAGACUCUACUCCGGUACCAUGGUCGACACAGGGAGAGAGGGGAAGGAGAUAGACGUUUUGUUUUCUUUUUAUUUUCUGGGUGCUUAGUCAGCGGUCAAUAUGGUCAAAACCACCUUACUAAGUCAAAACCGGUACCAGGGUUGAUUUUUGCACUGUAUUGUUAGUUUAGGGUGUGUGUCAACCGGUUUUGAAGUUUGGGGUUGAGUUUUAAACUUUGUGGUUACUUGAGGGUUGAAAUGUGGACUUCUCUCUACAAAAAUAGAAAAUUAAUAAAAGACCAUAUGCAGUAAGUAUUUUUCCAUGUAAUAUACAUGACUAAUUUCCCAUCUAAUAUAAUACCAAAAUAUCAUACAUGACUAAGAAUGCAACAAUGCGAUUCCUUAGUUAAAAAUUGUAUUCUUUCUCGCAUCGUCCUAAAAAAAGAAUCUUGCCGCGCGCAUUAAACUAAAUUUGUCGUGGGACAUCUAGUGAAUUUGCCAUGGUAAAAAAAUAGUUGACAUCGUCUUGAAAAAAGAAACCUGCCAUGGGCAUUAAACUGAAUUUAUCAUGGGACAUCUAGGGAUGCCAUGGAAAAAUCAAUUUAAAAUUGCCAUGAAAAAAUGUUGACAUUGUCUUGAAAAAAGAAACUCGCCAUGGGCACUAAACUGAAUUUUCCGUGGGACAUCUAGCGAAUUUGCCAUGGCAAAGUCACUUUAAAAAAUUGCCAUGGUAAGAAAAAAUGACAUCGAAAACUUGCCAUGGGCAUUAAACUGAAUUUGCCGUGGGACAUCUAGUGAAUUUGUUGUGGUAAAAAAUAAUAGCAUCAUCUUCAAAAAGAAACUUGCCAUGGGAAUUAAACUGAAUAUGUCGUUGGACAUCUGGUGAAUUUGCCAUGAAAAAAUCACUUUAAAAAUUUCCAUGGUAAAAAAAGUUGGCAUCAUCUUGAAAUAAACUUGCCAUGGGCAUUAAAUUGAAUUUGUCAUGGGACAUCUAGUGAAUUUUCCAUGGAAAAAUCACUUUAGAAAAUUGCCAUGGUAAAAGAAAAGUUGACAUCGUCUAAAAAAAGAAACUUGCCAUGGGCAUUAAACUGAAUUUGCCGUGGGACAUCUAGUGAAUUUUCCAUGGCAAAAUCACUUUAAAAAUUGCCAUGCUAAAAAAAGUGUCAUCGUCUUGAAAAAAGAAACUUACCAUGGGCAUUAAACUGAAUUUACCGUCAGACAUCUACUAAAUUUCCCGUGGCAAAAUCACUUUAAACAUUGCCAUGCUAAAACUUGCCCUGAUCUACAAACUAAAUUUGCCAUGGCCAAUUUAGGACACAAAAUAAUUUAUCUUGUCCUAAAAAACUUGCCAUGCUAUCUAGACAAAAGUGUGACUUUCCUAGAAGAAUGCUUGUAAAUAUGCAUGUAUAGUGGCCGUGGAAAAAAAGGCUCAAAUUAAGUUUCCCAUGUCAAUACAUCUUAAGUUUGCAAAUAAUGGCAGAAAAACAACACAUAUUAAAGUUUUGCAUGGCAAACUCGAUCUUGAGCUACCCAUAGGACGACAUGUUAAAGAAUUGACAUGGCAAUAUCACAUUAUAGACAAAUUAAAAGCAAUGGACAGCCAUUCCAGGGAACAAAACAGCUACUUCCCAUAUAAAUGUUUAGAUCAGAGGAAAACCCCCAUCAAAAACACCAUGAACAAAACAACUACUUCCCAUAUACACUGUGAAUCUGCGAUGCAUCUACUCCGCCAACAAAGUGUGACCAACUAAAAAAGCAUCUCAUCUCUGCCUCAAUUUUCGGCCAUGGACUUAAAUUGCCAUCCUUCAUUGAAAACUACAUUUGCCUUGGCAAAAGGUGGAGACAUGCCAUUUUUUUUAAUUGUCAUGUGAUCAUGGCAAUUAAAAUUUACCAUUGUGUUGGGUAAAAGCAUGGUAAUACUUUGCCAUGAGACAUAGGGGGAAAAUCCAAGCACUUGCCAUGUGACAGCUACAAAAAGAAACAAGAGUCCGCAAAAUUGCCAUGAUGAAAGAACACGCUUGUUGAGAAAACUGCCAUGGGCUUGAACAAAACUUUACUGAAAUUUGCUAUUGCCCCCAUUUACUAUCACAUAUCAUCUACGACAAAAAGAAAGAAAACUGGCCUGCUGCCCACAUCUAAAUUGGACAGAAUUUUUUGCCAUAGCAAGCAUAUAUAUAUAUAUAUAUAUAUAUAUAUAUAUAUAUAUAUAUAUAUAUAAACAUCAUGGCAAAAAUUGCAGUAACUUUGAAAAAGGGGUCCCACAGUGUUAACAACAUGGAAAAACCAAACAAAAGGGCAUGUCACAAGCUGUGAAUGUUCUUAACAUUUCAGAAAAAAUAAAACAAAAAAGGGAAUCUAGAAUCAAUGCCAAUGCUUGCAUUAAAUCUGUAGAAUACAGAAACCGUAAGUGUUGUGAAUCAUUGACAUGAUUUUUAGAAACAACAAAUAAUAUGUUGAUAAUUUGAGGCGUUCAUGCUUUAGUUGUUGGUAAAAUUCAGGCAUUCAGGCAUGGGAUGAAUUGUGAAGCAUUGACAACGAAUGACAUAGGGAAUGAAGCAUUGCUCACCUUGAAAACGCUUUCCUAAUUGAUCUGGCGGAAGUCACGGGUCAGGGCGGUCGCUGCAAGGAACAAGUUGUGGGCACGGCGGCGACGCAUCCGGCUUGCUCGUCUUGCUGGUACUGCUUGACCGAGGUCAUUGUCUGCGGCUGUGGCCGCUGCCACCACAACACCGAUGGUCAACGCGCCCUAGUGCAGAUGCUGCCCGCCGCGCGUGGAGCAGAGCCAUCCUGGCCGCCAGGCAUUGAGAGUCCGGCGCCGAGCAUUGGCGUGAGACAUCCCUGGCCGCAGGGCAUGUAGAUAAGGAAGGAGGAGGAGAAGCAAAGAGAAGAGCGCAAUGGAUUCACUGGCGAGCGGUCGCUGCGCUCCGGCGUACGGCGGCGCGGGGACGACCAGAUCUCGGCGAGAGGAAGGCGUCGGCUGCUGCCUGGGUUGGAUGCGAAUCAACGGGAUUUUUUUUCAAAACUAUGAUAUAUUUUAUAGCAUUUUUGGAAACUAUAGCAUGAUUUUCAUAAAAAAUCAAAAGUAGUACCCUGUCGGCCAUCUCUUGGCCAAAAUAGGACUUUUCGGCCACAGUUAGGCCGAAGUGGACUUUUCGGCCAUCUCUUGGCCGAAGUGGUGGGGUCCUGGCCGAAAAGGCACUUUUCGGUCAAGUCUAGGCCGGAAUAGACUUUUUGGUCAAGACUAGGCCGAAAAGUAUUUUUUGGUCUCGUGUAGGCUGAAGUUGUAUGGCUCAUACAUUAGGCUGAAAUGUAUUUUCUAGCCACCCGUUUCCCGCCAACCCCUUCCUGCCAUCCGUUUCCCGCCAACCCCUUCCCGCCAUAUGUUCCUGCCACCCGUUUCCCGCCAACCCCUUCCCGCCAACCCCUUCCCGCCUUAUUUUCCCGCCAUACCGCAGUUAUUCUUUCCCGCCAUUUUCUCCUCUGUAUCUAUAAACCCCCCCUUCCGGUGGAGGUGGAUAAGCAUUCCAGUGUAGUGUAGUCGAGAUGUCCCAUUAUCCAUUCGAUCGUAGUUUUCACCCUGAGAUGAGCAGCACUCUGCUGAGUCUAGAUACCGAUUUCAGGAUGGAAAAUAGGAUAGUUCCAUGGGACGAACUCACCGGUAGUGACACCAUAAUGAAUGAGUUGGCUCACGAAUUACGUAGGUCUGGGUGGCCUGAAAGGACCUAUGAGGAGGUACGUAAAGAACUUCUUAGGUUGCAUGAAAGGUGGUGGAGCCGAAGAGUGAAACUUUCAGAAGGACUGCAGAAAAGCAUCCAUUUUAUGGACUGAGGAGAGCGAGGACGAUGAUGAUAUCUUCAUGCCGCCGCUUCCGGGUUCUACAUCGUCGAAGGGCAAGAGUUCUGCAUCGUCCAAAGGCAAGAGUUCUGCAUCCUCGAAGGGCAAGAGUUCUGCAUCGACCAAGGACAAGAGUUCUGCAUCGACGGAGGGCAAGAGGACCGCAUCGUCGAAGGGCAAGAGGGCUGCAUCAACGAAGGAUGACGAUGAUGACUUCAUGUAGUAUGUAAGAUGUAUUCCCGUUGUACCGUUUCAUUCAUAUGUAUUUGCAUUAUUAGUUUGUAUUGUAUUAUUGUAGGGCAUUAUGUUCUAUCUGAAUUUCAUUUUGUAGUAUGUAAGAUGUAUUGCACAAGUUCAGCCGCGCCGUUUAAUUCAGAUGUACUUGUAUCUUAAUAAUCGGUUGUAGUCUAUUUGGAAAUGCAACUGAAAUAAGAAUGCGAAUUAAUAGUAAUAUGUCUCUCGCAUACAUAAAACAAUAUAUGUCUCCUGAUCAGAUAGAAGCAAGUGCGAUAGUAACACAUACAUGAAGCAUGUCUCAUACAUAAAUACUGACACACAGCUGCGAAUAGUCUGAAACUAACAUAGAUAAUGAGUCAUACAUAGAUAGAUAAGCAUAUCAUUGCGGGGGACGACGACGAGUCUGGGUCUUCUCGGGCGAGGACCGGAAGGCGAUAAGCGCUGAGGCGGUGGACGAGGCUCGCGAUAACCACGACCAUAGUUAACCUUGUCUGUCACGAUCUGUGUCUCCUGUGUCGGUGGUGGUGGUGGAGUGUGAAACACUGUCUGCGAGAAGCCAUAAAUGUUUGUAGCUUGGUCAUCAUCCUCGCGGUCGCCCUCAAAGUACGAAGCACCACCACUAAGGAUCGGUGACUGCUCUGAAUGCAUGAACGGUUGCGACUGGUUGCGGCCUGCGGUAAAGUAAAACAUGUAAAAUUGAUACAAAUGCAUGAACGAAGCACCACCGGUAAGCAUCAGUGACUGCUAAGAAUGCAAGAACGAUUACUACAUUGUUAAAAAGAAUGUAGUGAGUAGUGUUACUUAGUUCCAUUUGCUGAUGCCAGUAAGCGCUCCCUGGCUGUGAAGGAGGUGGCUGAUGCCAGGAAGAGCUUCCUGGCUGUGAAGGAGGUGGCUCAUGCCAGGAAGAGCUCCCUGGCUGUGAAGGAUGAGGUUCUGCAUGGUGAACAGAGGGUCAUGGUUCUGAACGGUGCACAGAGGGUCGUGGUUCUGAAUGCUGUACAGAGGGACGUGGCGGACGAUGUGCUGGAGGAGGAAGUGCAACAUCCGAAGUCCGUCUACACGUAAUAGCUGCGUAAAUCCCAACUGGGUACCUCGAUGAUAUAGCCUGAGGCGAGUAUGGCUCCCAAAUAACUUGAUCCUCGUGCAAACUAUCAAACUGCGCCAUGAAGGACGGGUAGCAUCCCCUAACCUGAGUAUGCGCAAACUGUCUCUGUGCAUGACAACAAAUAAGCAUUAGUAAUACUAUUGAAUGGCAAGAAAUAAUUGAAUUAAUUGUUACUUAAUAUAAAAGUACCUCUCGCCGUGCCCAAACAGAUCCCAUGGUAGGUAAGUCGCCGAUAGCAGGCACAUAAGUCCCAGCUAAGUCCUCCAAACGAAAAGGUUUAUCAACGUAGACAUAGGGUCGUCCAAUAGGGAAUCUCUCGUAUGACUAGAGCUGCAACAAUAAUGGACAUCCAACAAGACUAGAUUUUCUAGACUUCAACAAGCAAGCUUUGCACAGGCCUCUGUACGUAGGCGCUAACACAGCAGAACCAAAACUCCUCUGUAGAAUAUCCGCAGGGCAACGUACGUCAGCUAUCCCUCGUGCAAUACCGAUGAGUCGUGUAUCGACAGUGGUCAUGUGGUUCUCCGUAAACAUCGUUUUGCAGAACAACCAAAGAAUAUAUGCCUCUAGGGACCGGUCAAUCUGUGCCUCCGACAACUGAACGUCGGGAUAUCCUAACGAGACAAUCUACAUAGAAACGUAAUAAUUGUAUGAACAUCGGACAACUAUAAAACAACAUUUGUUUAAGUGGCCGUGAUGGUUACCUGAAACUGGCUCAACCAUCUAAAAAGAGGUCCAUGAGGAUCAUUGUCUAUGGCCCUAGCAGUGGGGACCGUAGCCAAAAAAGGGGUCUGCAUCGCUGCUUGCCACCUAGAUUAUGCCUCUAAGGGACCUAUGGCAGCACCGGCCAGAGGUAAUCCCAACAAGUAAGACACAUCCUGUAAAGUAGGCGCCAUCUCUCCCCAGGGAAAGUGAAACGUAUGUGCCUCUGGUCUCCAUCUAUCUACUAAGCAGGUAAGGAGUGACUUGUCGUAAGAGAAACGUUUUGCUUGCCUCUUGUGUAACUGCAAUGGUUCACCUGCCUCAUCUAUGUCCGGAUCAUUAAUCCACUCAUCCAAUGUACCCUCAAGCAGCCGUGCCAAGGGUAGAAGUCCAGCCCAACUUAACCUACAAAAUAAAGAGAUUGUUAGCGGCUAAGAAAAGUAUGACAAACAUAGUAAGUCAUUAUAUGGACUCCAUUAUAUGCACACAUACCUAUCAACCCAUGAAUCGUGUAUCAGCCAGUUAGUCUUUGGGGUACGAGUGACCAACACGUCUAAGUUGUUGCCCGCUUCCGUAAGGGCGCCCCGGUGCUUUCUAUCGAUGUUACCAUUAAGCAACGGAUACAAAGACAUAUCUGCAAUUCAAACAACAAAUCUCAGGUGCAAAUAAAACAUAGUACAACAUAUUACAAAUUAUAACAUAGUCCUGACAUAUUACGAAUUAAAACAUAGUCCUGACAUAUUACAUAUUAAAACAUAGUCCUCACAUAUUACAAAUUAAAACAUAGUCCUGACAUCUUACAUAUUAAAACAUAGUCCUGACAUAUUACGUAUUAAAACAUAGUCCUGACAUAUUACAUAUUAAAACCCACUACGACACAUUAUAUAGCUUGUGAGUUAUUUCUUCCUCGUCCGCCCCUUCGGCCUCGACUGCCACGACCACGUCCGCCUCUUGCUCCUGUUGUCGCAGCCAUCGAUGUGGAAGCACUCGUCGAUGUGGAAGCACCAUCUUUGUUCAGGUCGGGACAAUAUUUCAUCCUAUGCCCAUAAGCCGCGCAUAACAAACAUUGUCUGGUUGCUCCACCAGCUUCAGACUGGUCCAUAUCGUUCCGGAUGCGACGGGCCUUUCGUCUGCCCCUACUUGUUCGCCGAAGGUCUGGAUGCGGGAUGUAUACUCUCUCACUGUCGUUUACCUUGUUGAAAUUGCCGACGACUCUAAACCCUGUCAUCUCGCCUGUCCAGGUGUUGAGCACUGCCUCUUUUAAAUAGUAUGGGGACACGAAGGAGAUAGCAUCCAACUCAAUCUGGCCACAGGCAGCCAACACAUGAGAGCAAGCUAGGUGCAACAACUUCGGUUUGUUGCAUGUACACUCACACGUUGGGUAAAAUUCCGUUCCAAUUUUUACCUCGUGUGUCUUCACCUCAUUUCCAGAACCAAAACCAUCGGUAGGAAGCUGGACCUCAUACCUCCUUUCUUGAUUCCCUAUGAGUCUGACAGUGUGCUUCUUUGCUUUCUCUAUCUUCUUUGCCAUGUAUUCCAUGACACGGCUACAAUAAGGUGUGUUCUGAUUAUCUUCAAUAUGCUUCUUUGCUAACUCGUGCCUUUCUCUGAAAUAUCUCAAAGUGCCAUGGAAUACAGCCUCCACAAUAGUUGUGAGUGGCAAUGCUCUAUUCCCUCUCAGCACAAAGUUAUACACCUCUGCAAGAUUGGUUGUCAUGUGGCCAUACCUAGCUCCAUGUGUGUCAUGCAGCAAAGACCAAUUCACUGGAGGCUCUUUCUCUAUCCACUCAGAAAAAUUCUUUAUUGCCCUUCCCUUCUUUCUCUUAGUAUUAGGAGGGUCAAUUGCUAGCAAGUCACAAAGACCUACUGGCUCCUCUAGCUCCGCGAUGAGUGCUGCUAAUUUAACCUGAUCUUCUUCCAUUUUCUUCCUCGCGCGGACCUGCUUCUUAGUAAACUCAUCUAGUUUUGACCAAAUAAAUUUGUAUUUGCGCUGCUAGCUCUGCUUGCAUAAUUUUUUGAACAAGUUCAUCAACCGCUUGUUCUUGAACUGUGAGAAAAAAUUAGCCCCAAGAUGGCGCAUGCACCACCGGCUCUGCAAGUCCCUCCAAGGUGUUGGUUCGUCAUCUGUUGGAUUACGAAGUGUCUUCACGACCUUCAAUAUACCAGCAUGUCUGUCAUGAAUGACACACACGUUUGGUCGGUUUUUCACGAUGGCAAUUUUCACUUGGCGGAAGAACCAUACCCAGCUGAGAAAGUUCUCACCCUCCACAAAUGCCAUGGCAAGUGGGAUGAUUUGAUUGUUCCUGUCCACACCAAUAGCAGUCAGGAUAUGCCCUCUAUACUGACCGGUCAGGAAUGUACCAUCUACAAACAUAACAGGAGGGCAAUGCCGGAAAGCUUCGAUGCACAUACCAAAAGAGAAGAAUACUCGUUUCAACACCUUGAAAUCUGGUAUACUCAGCAACCUCAUGUGUUGUACGUUCACAUAAGUGCCGGGAUUCCUCUCCUUCAGUAUGCCCAGGAGACGGACAACAUUAUCAUAUGAGUCGAAGAACGUCCCAAACCUUUCCUCCAUAGUCUUUUGCUUAGCCCUCCAAGCCUUCCCAUAAGGAAUGACAUAAUUCCAUCUGACCUUCACUGCUGCCUGGAUGUGUUUUGCUUCCAUAUCUUUCUUCUCUACUAUCUUAGUAUACAUGAGUUGCGCAAUGAGACUUGAAGUCAGGUUCGGAUGCUUCACCAGCAGGUUCUUCCUCACACAAUUAUGUGGGACGACAAUGGUGACAACCCAGUGGAUGUCAUACUUCGGCACGUGCCCGUGCACCUUCCCAGGACAACUUGUUUCAACACAUUUCAUGGUAUAGUUUGUUGGACUUGAUAUGUGUGUCCGGAAAACCCUCUGCGUAGACAUAGCCCACUUUAUCACCACAUACUUUAAUUUUUUCUUUGUAUCAAACAUAGCCCCUAUCUGUACUUGGUUCAGAUUAUACUGCAUGGAGUCUCAUGGCCAUCGUUGACCGUAAGGCGGGUGGAUAUGUCCUGCUCCCAUGCAGAAGGAAUCGAUACCUCCACUUCAUCCUCAGAAUUUUCAGAAUCCAGUUCCUCCACCAAUCCAUCCUCGUCCUCUUCCUCCAUCACCCUCUGCAUUUCAUCCCCUUCCUCAUCCCCAUCAGCAAAACCAGAACCAGCUAAUAUUAUCGACUGGCUACUCUGCCCAGUAUCAGGACCACAAACAUUGUGUGGCACAUAGUCCGACUCUUUCUCGGGUUGGCUAGCAUCCACAUCUUGUGGCUAUGACCCGGAUAAAACAAUCUCGUUAGCCACUUCACUGCCUUGGCCGGGUUCAUACCCCCUGUGGAGUUGUACGGCAUUCUCCUCCUUCGGCACAGGUUGCACAAGUGCAUAUGGGUGGAUUCUUCAGUCUCGGCAGUGUCUUAACAGGGACAACCAAUGUUGGCUCCUAUCUACCGGCAUCAACUCCCACUUGACAUUUUUACAAGAUUUGGUCCACAAUGCAUGAAUACUGACGGAACAUACUUCAGGAUCCAGCCCGAAACUAGUUGUCAACCAGUACUUCAAUUAUCUAAUGUCCAGUCUAUCUGGGUCUGCUAGUGUCAUGACGCCAUUUUUAAACUCGCUAAGAUCAACCCCCAACUCAUUAUAUCGAACAUUACCAGCGCUGUAGUAAACAUUCAGAUUUACUGAUUCAAACAUUUUCACCUGUCAAACAUUGCCAUCUUCUCAUUAAUCACAACGAACACUAAUAUUAUCCGCUACACGAACUAUGCGCUAAAAUGCCUCCACAAAUAUAUUAACACUAAAAUUCACAAUAUGACUUAUAUACACUAACUAAACUAUACAAUUUAGAUAAAAUUUGUGACGACGUGAUUAUACCUUCGAAGCGUGUGUCCGCUUCUUGCUUCUCUCUUUGACUCAGCGGCACCGGCCACCUCGCGAAGUAUUUGCACCACCGGAGAACGACAACGCCGCCCCUGACGACCGGAGGUUCAACUCCGGUCAGCCCCCAACCUGCUCCUCCUCCUCCUCCUCACCACCUCCUCCUCUACAGCUGCUGCUACUAGUCACCACCACCGACUACCCGUCCUCCUCCCUACCAUGGCUUCUGUUGGGGAACGUUGCAGAAAACAAAAAAAAUUCCUACUCGUUUCACCAAGAUCCAUCUAUGAGUUCAUCUAGCAACGAGUCAUCGGAUGCAUCUACAUACCUUUGUAGAUCGCGAGCGGAAGCGUUCAAAGAACGGGGAUGAUGUUGUCGAACACGACGUGAUCCAAAUCAACGAUGACCAAGCGCCGAACGGCCGGCACCUCCGCGUUCAACACACGUACGGGACGGGAGACGUCUCCUCCUUCUUGAUCCAGCAAGGGGGGAGGAGAGGUUGAUGAUGAUCCAGCAGCACGACGGCGUGGUGGUGGAUGCAGGGCGUCACAGUAGCAGGGCUUCGCCUAUACUACGAGAGAGAGAGACGUAACAGGGAGACAGGGAUGCACCAAAGGCUGUAGUAUGAAAUCCCUCCUCUCCCCCACUAUAUAUAGGGGUGCCUAGGGGGGGCGCCGGCCCUAGGAGAUGGGAUCUCCUAGGGGGGGCGCCGGCCUAGGGGUGGGGGCUUGCCCCCCAAGCAAGGGGACGCCCCCUUUAGGGUUUCCCCUCAACCCUAGCCGCAUGGGCCCUAGGGGAGUGGCGCCCCAGCCCACUUUGGGCUGGGUCCCUUCCCACUUCAGCCCAUGGGGCCCUCCGGGAUAGGUGGCCCCACCCGGUGGACCCCCGGGACCCUUCCGGUGGUCUCGGUACAAUACCGGUGACCCCGAAACUUGUCCCGAUGGCCGAAAUAGCACUUCCUAUAUAUAAUUCUUUACCUCCGGACCAUUCCGGAACUCCUCAUGACGUCCGGGAUCUCAUCCGGGACUCCGAACAACAUUCGGGUUACUGCAUAUACAUAUCUUCACAACCCUAGCGUCACCAAACCUUAAGUGUGUAGACCCUAUGGGUUCGGGAGACAUGUAGACAUGACCGAGACGACUCUCCGGUCAAUAACCAACAGCGGGAUCUGGAUACCCAUGUUGGCUCCCACAUGCUCCACGAUGAUCUCAUCGGAUGAACCACGAUGUCGAGGAUUCAAUCAACCCCGUAUGCAAUUCCCUUUGUCAAUCGAUAUGUUACUUGCCCGAGAUUCGAUCGUCGGUAUCCCAAUAUCUCAUUCAAUCUCGUUACCGACAAGUCACUUUACUCGUACCGUAAUGCAUGAUCCCGUGACCAGACACUUGGUCACUUUGAGCUCAUUAUGAUGAUGCAUUACCGAGUGGGCCCAGUGAUACCUCUCCGUCAUACGGAGUGACAAAUCCCAGUCUUGAUCCGUGUCAACCCAACAGACACUUUCGGAGAUACCCGUAGUCUACCUUUAUAGUCACCCAGUUACGUUGUGACGUUUGGUACACCCAAAGCACUCCUACGGUAUCCGGGAGUUACACGAUCUCAUGGUCUAAGGAAAAGAUACUUGACAUUGGAAAAACUCUAGCAAACGAACUAUACGAUCUUUAUGCUAUGUUUAAGAUUGGGUCUUGUCCAUCACAUCAUUCUUCUAAUGAUGUGAUCUCGUUAUCAAUGACAUCCAAUGUCCAUAGCCAGGAAACCAUGACUAUCUGUUGAUCAACGAGCUAGUCAACUAGAGGCUUACUAGGGACAUGUUGGUGUCUGUUAUUCACACAUGUAUUACGAUUUCCGGAUAACACAAUUAUAGCAUGAAUAAAGACAAUUAUCAUGAACAAGGAAAUAUAAUAAUAAUGCUUUUAUUAUUGCCUCUAGGGCAUAUUUCCAACAGUCUCCCACUUGCACUAGAGUCAAUAAUCUAGUUACAUUGUAAUGAAUCGAACACCCAUGGAAUUCUGGUGUUGAUCAUGUUUUGCCCUAGGGAGAGGUUUAGUCAACGGAUCUGCUACAUUCAGGUCCGUAUGUACUUUACAAAUAUCUAUGUCUCCUUCUUGAACAUUUUCACGAAUGGAGUUGAAGCGACGCUUGAUGUGCCUUGUCUUCUUGUGAAACCUGGGCUCCUUGGCAAGUGCAAUAGCUCCAGUGUUGUCACAGAAGAGCUUGAUCGGCCCCGACGCAUUGGGUAUGACUCCGAGGUCGGUGAUGAACUCCUUCACCCAAAUUGCUUCAUGUGCUGCCUCCGAGGCUGCUAUGUACUCCGCUUCACAUGUAGAUCCCGUCACGACGCUCUGCUUGCAACUGCACCAGCUUACUGCCCUACCAUUCAAAAUAUACACGUAUCCGGUUUGUGACUUAGAGUCAUCCAGAUCUGUGUCGAAGCUAGCGUCGACGUAACCCUUUACGACGAGCUCUUCGUCACCUCCAUAAACGAGAAACAUUUCCUUAGUCCUUUUCAGGUACUUCAGGAUAUUCUUGACCGCUGUCCAGUGUUCCUUGCCGGGAUUACUUUGGUACCUUCCUACCAAACUUACGGCAAGGUUUACAUCAGGUCUGGUACACAGCAUGGCAUACAUAAUAGAACCUAUGGCUGAGGCAUAGGGGAUGACACUCAUGUCUUCUAUCUCUUCUGCCGUGGUCGGACAUUGCGCUAAGCUCAAUUUCACACCUUGCAACACAGGCAAGAACCCCUUCUUAGACUGGUCCAUAUUGAACUUCUUCAAUAUCUUAUCAAGGUAUGUGCUUUGUGAAAGACCUAUGAGGCGUCUCGAUCUAUCUCUAUAGAUUUUGAUGCCUAAUAUAUAAGCAGCUUCUCUAAGGUCCUUCAUUGAAAAACUCUUAUUCAAGUAGGCCUUGAUGCUGUCCAAGAGUUCUAUAUUAUUUCCCAUCAAAAGUAUGUCAUCUACAUAUAGUAUGAGAAAUGCUACAGAGCUCCCACUCACUUUCUUGUAAACGCAGGCUUCUCCAUAAGUCUGUGUAAACCCAAACGCUUUGAUUAUCUCAUCAAAGCAAAUGUUCCAACUCCGAGAUGCUUGCACCAGCCCAUAAAUCGAGCGUUAGAGCUUGCACACCUUGUCAGCAUUCUUAGGAUCGACAAAACCUUCCGGCUGCAUCAUAUAUAAUUCUUCCUUAAGGAAACCAUUAAGGAAUGCCGUUUUGACGUCCAUUUGCCAUAUUUCAUAAUCGUAAAACGCGGCAAUUGCUAACAUGAUUCGGACGGACUUUAGCUUCGCUACCGGUGAGAAAGUCUCAUCGUAGUCAACCCCUUGAACUUGUCGAUAACCCUUAGCGACAAGCCGAGCUUUAUAGAUGAUCACAUUACCAUCCGCGUUUGUCUUCUUCUUAAAGAUCCAUUUAUUUUCUAUGGCUCGCCGUUCAACGGGCAAGUCAGUCAAAGUCCAUACUUCGUUUUCAUACAUGGAUCCUAUCUCGGAUUUCAUGGCUUCUAGCCAUUUGUCGGAAUCCGGGCCCGCCAUCGCUUCUUCAUAGUUCGAAGGUUCACCGUUGUCUAACAACAUGAUUUCCAAGACAGGGUUGCCGUACCACUCUGGUGCGGAACGUGUCCUCGUGGACCUUCGAAUUUCAGUAGGAACUUUAUCAGAAGUAUCUUGAUCAUUAUCAUUAACUUCCUCUCUAGUUGGUGCAGGCACCUCAAGAACAUUUUCUUGAGUUGUGCCAUUCUCCGGUUCAAGAGGUAAUACUUCAUCAAGUUCUACUUUCCUCCCACUUACUUCUUUCGAGAGAAACUCUUUCUCAAGAAAGGAUCCAUUCCUCGCAACAAAGAUCUUGCCUUCGGAUCUGAGGUAGAAGGUAUACCCAACAGUUUCUUUAGGGUAUCCUAUGAAGACGCAUUUUUCCGACUUGGGUUCGAGCUUUUCAGGUUGAAGUUUCUUGACAUAAGCAUCGCAUCCCCAAACUUUUAGAAACGACAACUUAGGUUUCUUCCCAAACCAUAAUUCAAACGGUGUCGUCUCAACGGAUUUCGACGGCGCCCUAUUUAAAGUGAAUGCAGCAGUCUCUAAAGCAUAGCCCCAAAAAGAUAGCGGUAGAUCGGUAAGAGACAUCAUAGACCGCACCAUAUCUAAUAGAGUGCGAUUACGACGUUCGGACACACCAUUACGCUGAGGUGUUCCAGGCGGCGUGAGUUGUGAAACUAUUCCACAUUUUCUUAAGUGUGUGCCAAAUUCAUGACUCAAGUAUUCUCCUCCACGAUCUGAUCGUAAAAACUUGAUUUUCCUGUCACGUUGAUUCUCAACCUCAUUCUGAAAUUCCUUGAACUUUUCAAAGGUUUCAGACUUGUGUUUCAUUAAGUAGACAUACCCAUAUCUACUCAAGUCAUCAGUGAGGGUGAGAACAUAACGAUAGCCACCACGAGCCUCAACACUCAUUGGACCGCACACAUCAGUAUGUAUGAUUUCCAAUAAGUUGGUUGCUCGCUCCAUUUUUCCUGAGAACGGAGUCUUGGUCAUUUUACCCAUAAGGCACGGUUCGCACGUGUCAAAUGAUUCAUAAUCAAGAGACUCUAAAAGUCCAUCUGCAUGGAGCUUCUUCAUGCAUUUGACGCCUAUGUGACCAAGGCGGCAGUGCCACAAGUAUGUGGGACUAUCAUUAUCAACCUUACAUCUCUUGGUACUCACACUAUGAACAUGUGUAGCAUCACGUUCGAGAUUCAUAAAGAAUAAACCAUUCACCAUAGGAGCAUGACCAUAAAACAUAUCUCUCAUAUAAAUAGAACAACCAUUAUUCUCGGAUUUAAAUGAGUAGUCAUCUCGAAUUAAACGAGAUCCCGAUACAAUGUUCAUGCUCAAAGCUAGCACUAAAUAACAAUUAUUGAGGUUUAAAACUAAUCCCGUAGGUAAAUGAAGAGGCAACGUGCCGACGGCGAUCACAUCGACUUUGGAACCAUUCCCGACGCGCAUCGUCACCUCGUCCUUCGCCAGUCUCCGGUUAUUCCGUAGUUCCUGCUGUGAGUUACAAAUGUGAGCAACUGCACCGGUAUCAAAUACCCAAGAGCUACUACGAUUACUGGUAAGGUACACAUCAAUUACAUGUAUAUCACAUAUACCUUUUGUUUUGCCGGCCUUCUUGUCUGCUAAGUAUUUGGGGCAGUUCCGCUUCCAGUGACAGUUUCCCUUGCAAUAAAAGCACUCAGUCUCAGGCUUGGGUCCAUUCUUUGGCUUCUUCCCAGCAGCUUGCUUGCCGGGCGCGGCAACUUCCUUGCCGUCCUUCUUGAAGUUCUUUUUACCCUUGCCUUUCUUGAACUUAGUGGUUUUAUUGACCAUCAACACUUGAUGUUCCUUCUUGACUUCUAUCUCCGCUGAUUUCAGCAUUGAAAACAACUCAGGAAUGGUCUUUUGCAUCCCCUGCAUGUUGAAGUUCAUCACAAAGCUCUUGUAGCUUGGUGGAAGCGACUGGAGGAUUCUGUCAAUGACCGCAUCAUCCGGGAGAUUAACUCCCAGCUGAGACAAGCGGUUAUGUAACCCAGACAUAGUGAGUAUGUGCUCACUGACAGAACUAUUUUCCUCCAUCUUACAGCUGAAGAACUUAUUGGAGACUUCAUAUCUCUCGAUCCGGGCAUGAGCUUGAAAAACCAUUUUCAGCUCUUCGAACAUCUCAUAUGCUCCAUGUCUCUCAAAACGCUUUUGGAGCCCCGGCUCUAGGCUGUAAAGCAUGCCGCACUGAACGAGGGAGUAGUCAUCAACACGUGUCUGCCAAGCGUUCAUAACGUCUUGGUUCUGUGGGACGGGAGGGUCACCUAGCGGUGCUUGUAGGACAUAAUCUUUCUUGGCAGCUAUGAGGAUGAUCCUCAGGUUCCGGACCCAGUCCGUGUAGUUGCUGCCAUCGUCUUUCAGCUUGGUUUUCUCUAGGAACGCGUUGAAGUUGAGGACUACGUUGGCCAUUUGAUCUACAAGACAUAUUGUAAAGAUUUUAGACUAAGUUCAUGAUAAAUAAGUUCAUCUAAUCAAAUUAUUAAUGAACUCCCACUUAGAUUAGACAUACCUCUAGUCAUCUAAGUAUUACAUGAUCCGAGUUAACUAGGCCGUGUCCGAUCAUCACGUGAGACGGACUAGUCAACGUCGGUGAACAUCUUCAUGUUGAUCGUAUCUUCUAUACGACUCAUGCUCGACCUUUCGGUCUUCUGUGUUCCGAAGCCAUGUCUAUACACAUGCUAGGCUCGUCAAGUUAACCCUAAGUGUUUUGCAUGUGUAAAACUGUCUUACACCCGUUGUAUGUGAACGUAAGGAUCUAUCACACCCGAUCAUCACGUGGUGCUUCGAAACGACGAACUUUAGCAACGGUGCACAGUUAGGGGAGAACACUUCUUGAAAUUGUUAUGAGGGAUCAUCUUAUUUACUACCGUCGUUCUAAGUAAACAAGAUGCAUAAACAUGAUAAACAUCACAUGCAAUCAAAUAAUAAACGUGACAUGAUAUGGCCAAUAUCACAUAGCUCCUUUGAUCUCCAUCUUGGAGCUCCAUGAUCAUCUUGUCACCGGCUUGACACCAUGAUCUCCAUCAUCAUGAUCUCCAUCAUCAUGUCUCCAUGAAGUUGCUCGCCAACUAUUACUUCUACUACUAUGGCUAACGCGUUUAGCAAUAAAGUAAAGUAAUUUACAUGGUGUUUCUCAAUGACACACAGGUCAUAUAAAAAUAAAGACAACUCCUAUGGCUCCUGCCGGUUGUCAUACUCAUCGACAUGCAAGUCGUGAUUCCUAUUACAAUAGCAUGAACAUCUCAUACAUCACAUAUAGAUCAUUCAUCAUUCAUCACAACUUUGGCCAUAUCAUAUCACAAAGCACUUGCUGCAAAAACAAGUUAGACGUCCUCUAAUUGUUGUUGCAAGUUUUACGUGGCUGAAUUAGGGUUCUAGCAAGAACGUCUUCUUACCUACGUGAAAGCCACAACGUGAUUUGCCAACUUCUAUUUACCCUUCAUAAGGACCCUGUUCAUCGAAUCCGCUCCAACUAAAGUGGGAGAGACAGACACCCGCCAGCCACCUUAUGCAACUAGUGCAUGUUAGUCGGUGGAACCGGUCUCACGUAAGCGUACGUGUAAGGUUGGUCCGGGCCGCUUCAUCCCACAAUACCGCUGAAGCAAGAAAAGACUAGUAGCGGCAAGAAAGUUGACAAAUCUACGCCCACAACAAAUUGUGUUCUACUCGCGCAAGAAGAACUACGCAUAGACCUAGCUCAUGAUGCCACUGUUGGGGAACGUUGCAGAAAACAAAAAAAAUUCCUACUCGUUUCACCAAGAUCCAUCUAUGAGUUCAUCUAGCAACGAGUCAUCGGAUGCAUCUACAUACCUUUGUAGAUCGCGAGCGGAAGCGUUCAAAGAAUGGGGAUGAUGUUGUCGAACACGACGUGAUCCAAAUCACCGAUGAUCAAGCGCCGAACGGACGGCACCUCCGCGUUCAACACACAUACGGGACGGGAGACGUCUCCUCCUUCUUGAUCCAGCAAGGGGGGAGGAGAGGUUGAUGAUGAUCCAGCAGCACAACGGCGUGGUGGUGGAUGCAGGGCGUCACAGUAGCAGGGCUUCGCCUAUACUACGAGAGAGAGAGACGUAACAGGGAGAGAGGGAUGCACCAAAGGCUGUAGUAUGAAAUCCCUCCUCUCCCCCACUAUAUAUAGGGGUGCCUAGGGGGGCGGCGGCCCUAGGAGAUGGGAUCUCCUAGGGGGGGGCUAGGGGUGGGGGCUUGCCCCCCAAGCAAGGGGACGCCCCCUUUAGGGUUUCCCCUCAACCCUAGCCGCAUGGGCCCUAGGGGAGUGGCGCCCCAGCCCACUUUGGGCUGGGUCCCUUCCCACUUCAGCCCAUGGGGCCCUCCGGGAUAGGUGGCCCCACCCGGUGGACCCCCGGGACCCUUCCGGUGGUCCCGGUACAAUACCGGUGACCCCGAAACUUGUCCCGAUGGCCGAAAUAGCACUUUCUAUAUAUAAUUCUUUACCUCUGGACCAUUCCGGAACUCCUCGUGACGUCCGGGAUCUCAUCCGGGACUCCGAACAACAUUCGGGUUACUGCAUAUACAUAUCUUCACAACCCUAGCGUCACCAAACCUUAAGUGUGUAGACCCUACGGGUUCGGGAGACAUGUAGACAUGACCGAGACGACUCUCCGGUCAAUAACCAAUAGCGGGAUCUGGAUACCCAUGUUGGCUCCCACAUGCUCCAUGAUGAUCUCAUCGGAUGAACCAUGAUGUCGAGGAUUCAAUCAACCCCGUAUGCAAUUCCCUUUGUCAAUCGAUAUGUUACUUGUCCGAGAUUCGAUCGUCGAUAUCCCAAUACCUCGUUCAAUCUCGUUACCGACAAGUCACUUUACUCGUACCGUAAUGCAUGAUCCCGUGACCAGACACUUGGUCACUUUGAGCUCAUUAUGAUGAUGCAUUACCGAGUGGGCCCAGUGAUACCUCUCCGUCAUACGGAGUGACAAAUCCCAGUCUUGAUCCGUGUCAACCCAACAGACACUUUCGGAGAUACCCGUAGUCUACCUUUAUAGUCACCCAGUUACGUUGUGACGUUUGGUACACCCAAAGCACUCCUACGAUAUCCGGGAGUUACACAAUCUCAUGGUCUAAGGAAAAGAUACUUGACAUUGGAAAAACUCUAGCAAACGAACUAUACGAUCUUUAUUCUAUGUUUAAGAUUGGGUUUUGUCCAUCACAUCAUUCUCCUAAUGAUGUGAUCUCGUUAUCAAUGACAUCCAAUGUCCAUAGCCAGGAAACCAUGACUAUCUGUUGAUCAACGAGCUAGUCAACUAAAGGCUUACUAGGGACAUGUUGGUGUCUGUUAUUCACACAUGUAUUACGAUUUCCGAAUAACACAAUUAUAGCAUGAAUAAAGACAAUUAUCAUGAACAAGGAAAUAUAAUAAUAAUGCUUUUGUUAUUGCCUCUAGGGCAUAUUUCCAACAGCUUCUCCUCCCCAACACAUCAAAAACUAUCCCAUAGCAAAAAAUAACACCGUAGGCCGGCGGGGGUUGCUAUGAUCUACCGAUUCUGUGGGCUGGAUAUGCAAAUGGAUGGCAAAUGAAGGAGAUCGGCGCGGGGGGGCGAGGUACAGAGAAGAACUAAGAGAGAGAAAGGGGAAACAGAAAGGAAGAACAGAGGCAGCGAGAGGAAAGGGACGACAGUGCUUAUCCGCACCUUUUCGGCCGAUACGUGGCCGAAAACAGCUUCGGUCGAAGACUCGCCGAAAAGGCCUACUUCGGUCGCUGGUUGGCCGAAAACGGCCCGCUUCGGCCGCUGGGUAGCCGAAGCUACUAUUUUUGGCCGGGCCCCCGCCAACACCGACUUUUCGGCCCAGCUAUGCACGUCUUCGGCCCAAGCGCGGCCAAAAAGCCUACUUCGGCCUUCGCCUGGCCGAAUACUACCUUGUCGGCCCACACCUGGCCGACAGGGUCACAGUUUUGUGUUUUUUUUCAAUCUAUGCUAUAGUUUCCGAAAUUGCUAUAAAAAACAUGAUAGUUUUGAAAAAAAAAUCAAUCAACGGGAGCUCGGGCGUGGUUGCAGGCAUCAGGGACGCCCGGUGAGGCGGCGGUGCACGACGAGCAGCUCGCCACCCCGUAUGGGCGUGGUUGCAGGCAUCAGGGAGAAGAAAGGAGUGUAAGAGGAGAAAAGGAUAGAGACAGAGUGGGGCGACGUUCGGGAUGGCUGUCGUUCAUGCCGAACGAGCUUCUUAGCUGACGUGGCGAUUUUUGGUGCUCUAGGAUUCGUGCCAAAAAUCAAACGGUAGAGGAGGUGUUCGGACUGAGAAUCUAAAAAACGGUACGUUCGACACUUAUUGAUUCCGUAAAACAUUGCUCUCACCACGUGACACCGACGCCUGCAUCUCAACCGUCCAUGCCUUGAACGGAGGCACAGGAUCGGCCUCGACCUUUUUUUGAGUUAAAACGAAACUUUAUUCAUUAUAAAUAAUCAGUACAUCGUUUGUGGGGAUCAUUACAAUUUCAUUUAGAGGCUCCUCAAACCAAUCCGAAGUUGAAGAAAAUCUGGCUAAUCUAGCAAGUUCAUGUGCUACUUUAUUUGCCUCUCUAUUACAGUGUUCGAAUUUAGUCAUGAUAAAAUCGCAUGCAUAGUGAAAGCAGACAUCAAAAAUUGCCGCCACCGCACCCAUUGAUUGUCCUCCGUCCUGCAUGGUCUCAAUUACAUCCAGAUUAUCCGAGUUGAUAAUUAAUCGGUUGCACCCUGCCCUUUGCGCUAAUGUUAGUCCAAAUUUGAGAGCUAAUGCUUCUGCCAUCAGAACAUCCGCGCAAUGGUCAAUCUUUCCAUUUCCUCCUGCAAUAAACCUACCUUUGUCGUCUCGCAAGACGGCCCCCAUCGUACCCUUCAGCAUGUCAUGGUCAAAGAAGGCGUCAACAUUGAGUUUCACGAAACCCCUAGGAGGACAAAGCCAACCCACCUUUUUAUGGACGCCUUUGAAGAUGAUGCAUUUACAAAAUUGUAUGUUAGGGCUGUGAUCCCCAUUGAUAUUUGAGUUACAUUCUGAGUUACUUCCUUGUGCACUAAUUUCCGUCUCUCCCACCAUAGAUACCAAGCUGAAAUAGUCAUCAUUUCUCGUACAUUUUGUUACCCCAUAAUACGCAAAUCUUGCUAUGAAAGAAGUAAAAGGUAUUCCAAUAUCGCCUCUCCAGCACGAUCAACUUCACAAGCUCUAUCAAUAAUGUCCUCCAUCCCUAGUCUCUUCUAGACCUCCUUUGCUUUAGUACAUAGAAAAAGCAUGUGUUUCGUGUCUUCUACACCCUGAGAGCAAGUAGGACAAAAGGGCGAAACCUUCAUGUGUCUAUUAGCGAGAGUUGCCCGGCAUGGGAGAGUGCCAUGUAACGUACGCCAAAUAAAAUUUUUGACUUUUGCCGGACAUAAUAACUUCCAUAUCUGACACCAUAUAGGGUUAGGUGUGGUUUGCCCCAUCCUAUUAGAGUGUUUUAGUUGACUCCCAUACUGAUAGUUCCACUCCAUAGAGUAAGCAGACCGUACCGAGAACAUACCAUUUUUUGUAUAACUCCAAGCAAUGAAAUCUGUCAUAUUAUGUUGCAAAAUUGGGAUUGAAAGAAUCCGUUCUGCGUCAAUGGGCCACAUAGUUUGUCUAAUCAAGUCCUCAUCCCAAUUAUUGGAGAUGGGGUCAAUCAAAUCCACCACUUUUGAUAACAAUUGUCCCCCCUUAGGAGUCACAAUCUUCCUAGUGCCAUAAUUUGGGAUCCAGACAUCUUCCCAGAUAUUGAUAUUAUGUCCAUUCCCCACUCACCAAAUAUAGCCACGCUCCAGGGUAGUUAUGCCUGCCAUGAUGCUUUGCCAGGUGAAGGAAGCACCAUGCUUUGGUUUGGAAUUCAACAAGUCUCCAUCAGGAUAGUACUUGGCCCUUAGAACGGUGGCACACAAUGAUUCAGGGGUAUCAAGGAGACGCCAUGCCUGUUUGGCAAGCAGAGCCAGGUUGAAACAGUGGAUAUCACGGAAACCCAUUCCUCCUUGGACUUUUGGUACACACAUUUUCCACCAGGCCAUCCAGUGCAUCCUCCUCUUGUUCUCCUCAUCUCCCCAUCAGAAAUGCGCAAUCGCGUCAAUGAUUCCUUUACAAAUUUUUUUAGGAAUUUUAAAGACCGACAUUGCAUAGGUAGGUAUGGCUUGGAUCACAGCCUUGAGCAGGAUCUCCUUCCCUUCGACAGAUAGUAAUUUUUCCUUCCAACCACUAAUUUUCUUAACAAGACGUUCAAUCAGAAAUUUAAAGCAAUCUGUUUUAUCAACACCCACGUUUGCUGGCAGGCCCAAGUAUUUGUCAUUCAGUGCCUCCAUCAUUAUAUUCAGUAUUGUACACUUUUGUUCUCUGAUCUCAACCUUUGUAUUAGGGCUAAAGAAAAUACUGGACUUUUCCACGCUUACCAGUUGUCCCGACGCCGCACAAUAUAAAUCUAGUGCUGAUUUCAGGGCCAUCGCAUUCUGUUGGUUGGCUUUCAUCAAGAUCAAAGAAUCAUCCGCAAAGAAAAGAUUUGUAACUGGCGGUGCAUCUCUACAAACUUUAACUCCUGAUAUUUCCCCAUUCUCCUCAGCACGCAAGAGCAAAGCAUUCAACCCUUCUGUGCAUAGCAGAAAGAGCGGGGGGAUCGGCCUCGACCUUAGCUUAGCCUUCAUGUCUCUUCCGCCUUUAUAAGAGCAUCUCCAACGGCCGCGCUAUAUAAGCGCCGCGCCAUAAAUUUAUAGUUUUUAGCACACGCAAUCACUAACCGAGCUCCAGCGGGCGCGCAAUAACCACGCGUGCGGCAUAAAGAGUUCAGCGCACGGUCCGAAUCGCCAUCGCGCGCCGUUUAUUUAGUGCGCUCACUUCCACGCGCCGCACACUCGAGCACUCGCGCCGCGCUCUCUCCGCCGCGCCACUUUCGCCCCGCCCGCGCCGCUGCCAGCGAAUUGACCCGAUGGAUGGCUACGCCGGCACCCCCUCACCCCUUCCAACACCCGCGUCCCCUCCGCCGCCGGCGCAACCCUAGUGCGGGGAGCUUUGGCUUCGCCUCUGUCGAUGCUCAGAGAUGAAGAGGAGGGGGAAGAAUCGUCUUCGGAUGAUGAUGAAUCAGAGGAAGAGGAAGAUGAAGACGAGGACGAGGCUUGAUUGUUGAUGGGCCAUUCAUUGGUGUGAACUUUUGUGUCAUGAACUUGGUUCGGAUUUUCAGCUUGGUUGGAUGAUGUUGUGGGCAUGAACUUUUAUGCCAUGAACUUGUUUGGGUGAUUUAAAUUAUGCCAUGUCUUUGUUUUGAUGUUUGAAAUAUCUCAUCUCGUCUCUAAAAUGCAACAUAUGACAAACGCCGGCUGCUCGCACUCGCUGUUUUUAGUGCGCCUGCCGGAGCUACUCGCGCGCGCUAAAUUUUUGAGAAGCCGCUGGAGCAAGCACUCCUCCCCGCGCAAAAACAAACGAUCAACACGCUGCAAACGCUUUUUUAGCGUGCGACGCGUUGGGCGGCUCUUGGAGAUGCUCCAAGGCUGCCACCCGCUUCUCCCAUCGUCAUCCCACCACCACCACCAACGGAGGGAGGCUUCUAUUCCACCAUCCUCAUCCUACACCGCCUCGCCGCGUGCAGAGAGACACCCUAGCCGUUGGAGGAACCGAGAGAGGGAGAUCCCAGCCAGCCAUGGAGGGGCCCUUCCGCCUCCUCCUCCUGGCCUUGCUGCUCCCGGCCGCCGCCGCUACUGCACCUUUGGGCCGCAGCCGUGCGAGCCGACCCUGCUGGCCACUGAGGUCUCCCGCUUCUGUGCAACGAGCAUCCCCUCCGGGCAGUGCUGUGAACAGCUGGUGGCCGCCGUCGACCUCGGGGGCUGCCUCUGCCGCCGAGCCCAAGUUGGUCGCGGCCGGACUCAACGCCACGGAGUUUCUCACGGACUCCUGCGGCGGACUGCUGCGUCCCGGACGCGCCCAACUCGCCGCCUGCCAAGGUACGCCUCUCUCUCUUGGCCCCGAUUCAGUGUUGGAUUUGCGGGGUCUUGCGAGUCACCGGUGUUCCAUGGACUUGUGGUUCGGCUUUUUGCUUGCUUGUUGUUGGACUGGAUCUGGAGAGCCGCCAUGGCGAUAGAUCCUGUGGGGCGUUCGUUUUGCGGUGCUCUCUAGCAGUCAAAAGGCAGGGAAACAACAGAUCGAUGACAGCUAGCUGUCCGUCGUUGCAGCUUUAACCGCCGCUGCUGAUACAGAUACUUCCUCGGUCUGAAAAUGCUUGUAGGUGAAAUAGAUGUAUCUAAAGUUCUAAACGUAUUUUAGUUUUAGAUACAUAAAUUUUUAUCCAUUCCUUUGAUAAAUAUUUUUGGAUGGAAGGAGUAUAUACUUACUUCAGCAAUGCUACAUCUAUCGUAAUUAGUCUUACGUAAUUAAUGUAAUAGGCCAGGUGGCAUCUUUUUGUUGGGCGAAAUUAGAGGAGGGAGGCCCACCCAGUUGAAAUCAGGGGGUGAAGAGAUUAGUUAGGAAGUUUACGUAAGAUGGGAACGUAAGUGUAGCAUUUUUUACUUACUUUCUUAUCAGUAGCUGCUUGUCAUCGUGUAAUUAAGUGUUUUCGAAUAUGAAAUACGCCCGACCGGUAAUUAAUUGUCGACCAUGUACAGGACCCGCUCCCCCUGCCGCCCUCGCCCGGACCUCGCCGCACGCAGCAGCCACCACGUAACCUCGAUCGCCUUUCUAGCUACUUCCGUUUGUUGCCUGUGACGAUGGAGCAAGUGAGCUUGAUAUAAAGAUUGCUAUGAUAGGGAUGCGCAAGAGGUUGAUAUAAAGAAGUGCCAACCUUGAUGCAAGAGCUCAUAUGCUUAAGGACGUUUAAUUGUAGAUGAUUUCUACUACGUCAAAAGCUUAGGGGUCCUUUGCCUUCCGUCGGCACCGUCACCGGUCCAUCUCGUUUUCGGUGGCUUCAGGGACAUGAUGGCGCGGUGGAUCUCGGCCUUGUCGGCGGGAGGGCUCCGGUUUUAGAUAUUUCUUUAAGUUUUGUUAGGGUUUGUGUCCUUUUCAGGAAACGGAAGCGGCUCCCUGAAGAUGGAAUAAAGUCUUCCCCGCCUAGCCUCCGUUUUGGUGAUGUGUCUGGCAUCAUCGGUGGGCGUGUGAAGGUGUAUCUCCGGCAGAUCUAUCCUUGAUGGAUUUGCUCGGAUCUGGUCGUAGUUCGUCUACGUUUGUGUUUCUUCAGGUUGAAUCCUUCCUAUCUACGCUACUCUUCAUCGGCGGCGGUUGCUAUUCUGCUGCGCUGGUCCUAUGAGGCCUUAGCACGAUGACUUCCCGACUGUCUACUACAACAAAGUUUUGCCCGACUCCGACGAGGGAGGGGCAAUAACGGCAGCGCGCCUUCGGUUCGCUUCAGUGCUUGUAGUCGUCGCUAGGUGGUUUACGGACCUAGAUGUAAUUUUUAUUAUUUCUGGUGUUCGUUGUAUUGCCAUAAUUAAAGAUGAAUAGAUUAAAAGUUUUCUCGUAAAAAAAAGUUGAUAUAAAGAACAUCAGGUUUCAGUCUCGAUAUAUUGUUUCCCGCAAUAUUUGAUUUUUUAUCUAUAUAAUAUAUAGGUGUCUUAUUUAUGACGGCUGCUACAAAUAAGUCGAUUAAUCUUAGAACGCCUCUACAGCCGUCCGAUACUCUCUAAUUAUCUUCGUCUUCCCAUCCUACUUUCCGGACUGGACUACUCAACACGCAACAGGCAACACCACCCUUCCUCUCACAUCACACACUUUUCCAAUCGCCUCACACCAGCAAGCGUCCACCAUGUCCGUCACCAUUGUAGCAGGGAAUACGCCUUCAAGCAAACCUUCACAGGACAGCGGACGGGGCCUGCCGUCGAAGCAAGCAUGUUCAACAUCAUCCAAGAACACCUUGUUGUCGUGGUCGUCGAAGCAUCACCAUGGAAGCAUGCUUUGUAGCAUCGCCGUUAUUGUUGAUGACGCCAUCAUCACAACACGUCUCAUCGUCGCGGCUGUUGCAGCAUUGCCGCAUCCGUCGAUGCCAUCGAAGCACACCUUGUUGUCUUGGUCGUCGAAGCCUCGCCGCGGUUGUUGAAGCACGCGUUGCAGCAUUGCCGCGUCUGUCGAUGACGUCGAAGCAUGCCGUGUCGUCAUGGCCGACGAAACCCACCGCGGCCGUUGAAGCAUGCGUCGUAGAACGGCUGUGUCCGUCGAAGCACAUCGUGCCGUCAUCGCCGACGAAGCCCCGCCGCGGCCGUUGAAGCACGCGUCGUAGCACGGAGGCGGCCGUCGAAGCACGCUGUGUCGUCAUCGCCGACGAAGCCCUGCCGCGGCCAUUGAAGAACGUAUCAUAGCACGGCCGCGUCCGUCGAAGCACAACGUGUCGUCAUCGCCGACGAAGCCCCACCGCGGCCGUUGAAGCACGCGUCGUAGCAAAGCCGCGCCCUUUGAAGCACGACAUGUCGUCAUCCCCGACGAAGCCCCGCCGCGGCCAUUGAAGCACGCAUCAUAGCAUUGCCGCGUCCGUCAAAGCACGCCGUGGCCAUCGAAGCACGCGUUGCAGCAUUGACGUGUCCAUUGAUGCCGUCGAAGCACGCUAUGUCGUCAUGGCCGACGAAGGCCCGCCGCGGCCAUUGAAGCACGCGUCGUAACAUUGCCGCGUUUGGCCGUCAAAGCCUCGCCGUGACCGUUGAAGCAUGUGUCGCAGCAAAGCCGCGUCUGUCAAAGCCGUCGUGGACGUCGAAGUGUUGCCGCGGCGGUUGAAGCACGCGUCGCCGCAUUGCCCGCGUCCACCGAUGUAGUCGAAGCAUGCUUCAUCGUUGUGGCCGCGAAGCAUCCCACGACCGUUGAAGCACGUGCCCUAGCAUUGUCGCGCCCGUCGAUGUUGUCGAUGCACACCUUGUCGUCAUGGCUGCCGAAACAUGGCCGUGACCGUUCAAGCACGUGCCUUAGCAUUGCCACGUUCGCUGAUGUCGUCGAAGCACGCCUCUUGGUCGUUUCCAUCGAAGCGUCACCAUGACUGUUGAAGCCCUUCAUUGCAGCAUCGGGGCACUGCCGGCAAGCUCUACAUCAGAGAGCCGGUGAGUCGCCUGCAUACAGCAGCCGUUCGUAUUCGCAAUUUCGCUGCACAACUUGUAGCAGAGUUCACCGCCGCCCCUUCGCAUCAUCGACUGGACCGGACAUCAUUGAGCCCCAUCCUGGCCUUGCAGCACUGGCGGUCGGCUCGUCCCGAGCACGUCGGCGACCCAGUCUGCAACACCGGGGCGACCUCGCAACUUUGGUGGCACCAUGGCGAGGCCCUCCUACUAUGAAGCAGGGGAUGCGUCCGCCCCUUGAAGCAGGUCACAGGCUCGCAGCCGAUCUUGAACUAGUGAGCCACAGCUGAGGUAGCAUCUCCGUUCGAGGGCUGCCUCGCAGGACGUUCUAUGCGGGAAGAAAUAAGGUGUUGUUGGCAAUGGCCCAGUCCACGCCGCCGUGGAUGGCAAUUAAUGACCUAGGGGUACGCCCACGCGACACGUUCUAUAAAUUGAGAGAGUAACCUUUUUAAAGCUGAAACAACUACUCCUACAUGGUAAAUAGGAAGUAACGGAGAUUGAUUAUGCCAUGUGAGGAUGUUUUGCAGAUUAUUCUCUAGUCUAGAUUAAUUUUGUCAAUGCCAUGCUCAUGAUGAUUCUCUGGAUUAAUUCAAUUGAAAAAUUGUGAAUAUUCUCAACAGAUCGGUACGUACUCUGUUUUUGUAAGAAGUCGGUGCUCCGGGCCAAGUCGUAUGUGAUGCACCGUAGCUGAUAAUGGCAACGGCAUUUCAGCACAUAAUAAUAAUAAUAAUAAUAAUAAUAAUAAUAAUAAUAAUAAUAAUAAUAAUAAUAAUAAUAAUAAUAAUACACAUGGAAGGAAUCCCUAAUCUUCCUUGGCUCGUCAAGACAAAAUGGCGUGGGUAACCCUAAAAACAGGUGUGGGUAGACCAGACAAUUCGCUAAAAUAAAGACCAGAUAAUUGAGAAAUGGCAACAGCUGGAACAUGCAUCUUUUGAAUGGAAUGGCAACCGAGAUUGAUUUUCUUUUUCCUAAACCAAGGCCAAAAGUGCAUCAUCUGCUCUACUCCGUAUUAAUCUGAGGCCUCGCGACCUCACAGAAUUUGGCAGUUCCUUCAUGGGUGAUCUGGUCUGAUCUCCAUCACGGAUUAUGGAUCCAGUUUACGGGAUCGUCAAUGGGAAAGUUCAUCUAUAUAUCCUAGUAGUAAUAAAAAUUGUUAGAAAGGCAAGUGACAGCGGUUUCGGCAGUAGAAUCUCACGCACCCCCACGAGAUUACGUGGUAAUUUGAUGCCAUAUGAACGAUCCAGAGCUCCAUCGCCAUCGCCAUCGUUUCUCGUGGCUGAUUCCCUAUAAAUACCGGAGCGCGCCAUAUAUCCAUGCCUUCUUCUCCAACACACACGAACCAACAGAUCGAGCAACAAGAAAGAGGAGAACGUAGUGCACAACACACCACCACCAACAGCACACGCAUGGCGCGCUGGGCCAUUGCCAUCCACGGCGGCGCGGGCGUGGACCCGAACCUGCCGGUCCACAGGCAGGAGGAGGCGGAGCGGGUGCUGGCGCGGUGCCUGCAGGUUGGCGUGGACAUGCUCCGGUCCGGCGCCGCCGCGCUGGACGUCGUGGAGGCCGUGGUGCGCGAGCUCGAGACGGACCCCUGCUUCAACUCCGGCCGCGGCUCCGCGCUCACCCGCGCCGGCACCGUCGAGAUGGAGGCCAGCAUCAUGGACGGCCACGGCCGCCGCUGCGGCGCCGUGUCGGGCGUCUCCACCGUCCGCAACCCCGUCUCCCUCGCCCGCCGUGUCAUGGACAAGUCCCCCCACUCCUACCUCGCCUUCGACGGCGCCGAGGAUUUCGCCCGCGAGCAGGUAAUGAAUUGAGAUUAGAGAAGCUCCGUUGAUUAUGUUUCCUACCUAGAAUGAAUGCACCCCCACUCAAUAAGGAAACUAUAAACUUGAUUAUAUUUCCCGUGGAAUGUGUUGAUCUUUAUUUGCAUCAACUGAAAUCAAGGAAAUUUUACUACCGGAAUGUGUAUGUGUUGAUCUGACUUGGCUUCAAACCAUAGAUUAAAAUCGUGGGAGAAACGAUUUCGCGGCGCCCUCUCCCAGCAGCUAUAGCGGCGGCCAUAGUGGGCAAUCACGGCAAAUAGCGAAGAUUUUUUUGGUGGGAGAGAUAACUUUUGGAGGGUUUUGCUGAUUUCUGAGCAUUUAGAGCGAGGGAUAUGUGGAAGAUUUCGCGGCAGCAGACAUAGCAUAGCGGCAAGGCUCCCGUGCAGCUAUAACGCAGCUAUUGCGGGCUAUUUUAAUCUAUGCUUCAAACUUGAUGUGCUUGCAGGGCAUGGAGACCGUCGAGAAUAGCUACUUCAUAACGGAGGAGAACGUGGGCAUGCUCAAGCUCGCCAAGGAGUCCAACAGCAUCCUCUUCGACUACCGCAUCCCGCUCGCCGAGGCCGCAGCAUCGGAGAGCCACAAUAACGGCGGCAUGGUGAUGAACGGGCUGCCCAUCAGCAUCUACGCGCCAGAGACGGUGGGGUGCGCGGUGGUAGACUCGAGCGGCCACACGGCGGCGGCCACGUCCACGGGUGGGCUCAUGAACAAGAUGACGGGCCGCAUCGGCGACUCGCCGCUCAUCGGCGCCGGCACCUACGCGUGCGGGCACUGCGCCGUGUCAUGCACGGGCGAGGGCGAGGCCAUCAUCCGCUCCACGCUGGCGCGCGACGUGGCGGCCGUCAUGGAGUACAAGGGCCUGCCUCUCCAGGAGGCCGUGGACUUCUGCGUCAAGGAGCGGCUCGACGAGGGUUUCGCGGGCCUCAUCGCAGUCUCCGGCACCGGCGAGGUGGCCUACGGUUUCAACUGCACCGGCAUGUUCCGGGGCUGCGCCACCGAGGACGGAUCCAUGGAAGUCGGCAUCUGGGAGUAAGCAAGCAAGCGCGUGGAGUCGCGGUGGCCGGUCUGAACUCUGGAGAUUCUUUUUUAGUGCAACUCUGGAGAUAAGUGUCCAUGCGUACGUGUGUGUCAUCCUGCGAUUGCCAUGUGGUUCUAGUCUGGGAUCCCGGGUUAUAGCAGUAGCAGUUCUAGAUUGGAGAUUGGGAGGAAUAAUUAUGAUGAUUGUGAUUGUCUAGGAAAAUAAUAAUGUGAAAAGUUUCUAUGGCGUCUGAAAUUACAGCUCUCUUCAGUGUUCGUUUCAAUUUUGACCAAAAAGGAGUUUCCCCCGGCUUCACCUUUUAUUAAAGAGUUACUUACCUUUUUACCCCAAAAAUAUAUGGUUUUUAUUAGCAAACACAGUAGGGUAAAAACCCUAUUGUAACUCUGAUUUUUCAUUAAUACUAAUACGGUUGUGUUAAAUCUUAGUCGACUGAGAUUUAGUAAAGUCUCAGUGGACCGAGGUUAGCCAAUCAAAUUUGAUUAAUCUGUGUGUUAUUGUCUAUGUUUGCUUGUGCCCUGUUUCUAUCGUAGCAGACAGUGGGCCAUCAGUUGUGCCGUUGUGGUCAUUGUCCACCCAUCCUGGGCCUUUUCUAUGUGGGCUGUAGGUUGUGGCGUGAUGUCUUCCUUACAUUUAUUUUCCUUUUUUUUGUUUUCCUCAUAGUUUAUCCGCAUAAUUUUUUGGAUCCUCCUAUGUAGAUGUUUACUCUCCUCUUUCUUCUUUUUUGCGAAUGAUGUUUACUCUCCUCUACAAGAGCAUGAAUAGUUACUAAAACAUAAGGUUUUCCCUUAUGAAUUAAUGUAAGGAGGAAAAAACAUAGCGAUUGGUAGUUCAUAGGGGCAUCUUUGAUAUUUUUUAGGUGGAAUUUUUUGUUCUUUUUAAUUUUUCACAACAUAAUUUUUGAUAUAUUUAAACAGCGCAUAACUUGUUGUGCAAGUAACCAUAUUAGAAUGUCAUCUUAUUUUUUAUUCUUUUUUUAACAAUUUAUGAAUCUAUCAUACAUGUUUUUCUUGUAUCUUAUUUGUUUGUUUUUCGCAACUCUGCUUUUUUAUAUACAGUUUGCUUAUAUAUUUAUUAUGGAUUAUUUUUAAAAUUUUAAAUAAGACUAAUCGAUAAUGUGUGCGCAUGGCGUGCCGCUUUGGGAUGGCAUUUUGUAUUUAUUUUUGAUUUUUUGUCUUCUCAAGACGAUUUCCAAAUUUCCAUCUUCCAGUUGCAUGUCCACCCACUGACUGCAACCGCAUGUCUUCAACGCGACUGCAACUCGGUUGUCUUUUGUCGGGGACGGGCAUUUGCAUGUCCGCCACUAGGCAUGCAACUACAAGUGUCGCCCUUGAUUUGCAACUGCAUGUCUUGAAUGAGAUUGCAACUCUGAUAUGUUUUGUCGGGAGUGUUGGUUGUUGCAUGUCUGUCACUAGACCCGCAACUGCAUGUGUCGCCCAUGAAUGCAACUGCAUCUCUUUAACGCGGCUGCAACUCGAUGGUGUUUUGUCAAGGAUGCAUGUUCACUACUAGACAUGCAACUACAAGUCUCACCCCCGAUUUUUGCAACCACAUGUCUUGAAUGCGAUUGCAAUUCUGUUAUGUUUUGUCGGGGGAGUGGGGGUAGUUGCGUGUCUGCCAUUAGGCACGCAACUACAAUUUUCGCCCUCUAGCUGCAACUCCAUGCCUUCAGCGCGACUACAACUUAGUCAUGUUUUCUGUCUGGGGGUGAAGAGGGAAAUUGCAUGUCUAUUACUAGAUAUGCAACUACAGGUGUCGCCCUCAACUUCAUGUCUUCAACACAUUUGCAACUUAGCGUUGUUUUUUGUCCGGGAGCGAGUUGCAUGUCUGCUACUAGACAUGCAACUGCAAGUGUCUCCCGCGACUGCAACUGCAUGUCUUCAACAGGACCGCAACUUAGCGGUGGGAGGGAGUUGCAUGUCUGCCUCUACACAUGCAACUACAAGUGUUGCCCCCGACUGCAAUUGCAUGUCUUCAAUGUGAUUGCAACUUAGCAGUGUUUUUUGUCCGGUGAAGUUGCAUGUUUGCCACUAGACAUGUAGCUUCAAGUGUUGCCCUCGGCUGCAACUGCAUGACUUCAACAUGACUACAACUUAUUGGGUUUUUUGUUCGGGGGGAGUUGCAUGUCUGCCACUAGGCAUGCAACAGCAAGUGUCACCGUGACUGCAUGUGCAUGUCUUCAAUGUGCGUGUAACUUAGCAGUGUUUUUGUCCGCGGGAGUUGCAUGUCCUCCACUACGCUCCAUAUGUCGACACCAAAUGCAACUACAUUUCUUCAAUACAACAGCAACUCCGUGUUUUUAUGUGUGUGUGUGGGGGUGCGUGCAUUUCCUUUUUUCUUCUUUGGUUUUAUUUUUUGUUUUUAGUUUUAAAUUUUAUUUUUGUUAUAGUUUCAUUUCAUAUAGUUUUUAGUUUCAUUUUUGUCUUUAUUUUUCAUUUUUGUUUCACUUUUUAUUUUAUUUUUGUAACAUGAAAGAUCUUCUUUACAAUACAAAUUGUUUUUUGAAGAAUGAUAAGAAAAACAAAGAGAGAGCAAGAUGGUAUGAAGAGCAGGAAAUUAUUUUUGCGUUCUCUUUUCUUUCCUGUUUUGACAUUUUACUUCUUUGCGUAAAUAAUUUUUUAUAUAAUUCAAAUCUAUUUAGAAAAAUGAAUAGAAUAAAAGAGAAAGCAAGAGGUACAGAAAGAGAGAAAGGAACACAUCACGUGACCUGAAGGAACCAAUGGGCCGAUUUGCAGGCUCAUGUAAGCUCACGAGCCUGGAAAGGUACGGUAGCGACAUACUUACGUAACAAAAUUGUACGCAGACUAAUAUAUAGUACAAUCCAACGCAGGAAAAUUGUACGCUGAUGUCAGCCGACUGAGACUUCGCGAAGUCUCAGUCGACUGAGUCCUAGAUAAACCCAUACUAAUAUGGUGAUGAGUAUUUACAAGGGGAUAUACAACAUCUUUAGGGCAUACCCUAAGAGAAUAAAAGGUGAUCUACAAUGUAUCUAGCCAAUCCUGCAUGCCCUCCUUGAGGCUUGGCUUGCUCUUUUGUAUGACUAUCUCAAAGUGUUCUUUGAAGCAAUUGAUGCAGUAUAGAAUAUCCUUUUGCUUAUGGUCAAAUAAUAUACCAUUCCCGUGCUUCCAAAGGGUCCAACAACCUGCCAUUAUAAUUUCUUUGUAGAAUAUUGUUCCAUUUCUUUUCUUGCCAUCUAGUAGCAUAUCAUUGAUAUUCAUGUCAACAUUCCAUUCUAUUCUUAAUGGCAUCCAGAAAUUCUGACUGAAAUCACAGGAGAAGAACAGGUGGAUGUACUCUUCCAUAGGCUCUUCAUCACAAAGAACACAAUAAGUUCGUUCAAUAUGGAAAUUUUUCCUAGUCAGAAGAUUCCAUGUGUUUAGUCUGUCCUGCAAUAAUAACCAGAAGAAAAACUUUUGCUUUGGGAGGGAUGAGGAUUUCCAAAUCCAGUUGAAUGGCUUUGCAGCAUUAGGAGGGUUCCCAAUCACUUCCAGGUAUAUUCUUCUAUUAGAAUAUAUAUUUUCCCUCCAGUAGAUGUGCCAUUUUUCUUUAUAGCUGUUGUAUAUCAUUUCAAUGAUCCUGAAAGAUUAUACUUUGCUGCACUUCAAUAUAAGACAUUGGGAGAUAAAACAUAUCAUAAAAAUCAUUCAUAGAAUAAUAAUGAGCAGUUGCAAUAGUCAUUUCUUUAUCCUUGGCAAAAGAAUAUAGCUACGGGAAAGUGGUCAUCAUGGUAUUUUCACUUCAAUUGUCAGUCCAUAGCUUAAUACUGUUUCUAGUCCCAGUUCUGCAUGCUAACAUAUUUUUGUAGUCAUUUAGAAUAGAAACGCAAUCUCUCCGCCAAAAUGAGCCUACCUUGGUUGGGAAAUUAGGCAGUUGUCCAUCACUAAAAUAUACGCUUGUGACAGAUUAUGCCUCCAAAUAGGAAAUCGGUCACAUUUUGACCCCUUGGUUUAAAGAUUACUUAUGCAUUUUGCCCCAUUCGAAUUUUCCACCAAUGAGUUUUGAUUAGUUUUUUUUGAGAAAUACCAGUUCUGAUUAGGUGAUGGUGUCCUGAACUAGGGGUUCUUGACAUAUGAGUUGGGCCAAGGACUGCCAAAAUGAUCAACUAGUGGGCCACGAUCAGCUGGCCCAGAACACCAUGUGGAUACUUCUCGAAGACUACGCAUAAAGACUUGGAGAUCGUCUUCGUCGCGACUACCCCGUAACCGACUUAUGUAAACCCGGCACCCCAAAAAUGUAUGUUCAAACAUUUUUUUCGAAAGAAUGGAUGAACAAAUUUCCUAUUUGAUGCACAUUUUUAAAUUUUGAUUAACAUUUUUAAAUCCAAUAAACAAAAAAUAAAUCAGGUGGGCAUUUCUUGAAUUCAAUGAAAAAAAUCACGUAUUUGAAAAGAAAAUUCGCAAAAAAGGGGUGAAAAGGUACAGAAGAAAAGGAGAAAUGAAAAAAGCAAAUAGAAAAGAAAAAGGGAAAAAUAAAAAACCGAAAGAAAAAAGAAAAAUAGUAAAAAACCCGGUUCAGAGUAGGUUCUAGAACCUUCCCAAACCCGCAUUGGAUGAAAGCCGAAAGAAUGGGCCAGCCCAUACAAUAAAACAGCGCCUGGGGGGUACGCGCCAAAUAGGAAUCCCCCAAAAACAUGCCUGAAGGCCGGCCGAAAUGCUGCAAGUCCGGCCCGAAAUACUGAAAUGGAGAAAGGCAAGCCCAUCCCGAACUACCCUUCCAGGCCCCACGGCGGACCAAAUAGCAAGCCCAACCUAACAUGGGUCAUCGGGUCGGGCUGACCCUGCUCAGGCCUAGGCAAUGUCUCGUGAAUGUUUUUCUGAGUGACCUCCUGAAAUUGCAUACUGAAUCAUGCAGCUCUGAUUCCAACAGAGCUAAGUCCAACAGUUAUGAAGAGAAACAGAGCUAAGUCCAACAGUUAUUGUGCGUUGAAACUGGACAUGAUGAAAGCCUAUGACAGAUUGGAGUGGUCAUACCACCGAGCCAUGAUGGAGAAGUUAGGUUUUGCACAUGCUUGGGUCAAAACAGUGAUGUCUAUGGUACAAUCUGUGUCCUUCUCGGUGUUGUUCAAUGAUGAAAAAUUAGAGAAUUUUACACCUACAUGUGGAGUCCGGCAGGGAGAUCCUAUUUCCCCUUAUCUUUUCUUGAUUGCAGCAGAGGGCCUUUUGUGCCUUUUGAAAUCUAGUUCUCAGUCGUCUAGUUUUGAAGGGAUCAAGGUGGCAUCGACAGCUCCGUCUGUUAACCAUCUCCUUUUUGCAGAUGAUAGCAUGUUGCUUUUUAAGUCAAGUGUUGAAGGGGCUACAAAGGUAUCAAACCUACUGGAUGUAUAUUGCAGGGCUUCUGGGCAGAGGAUUAAUCAUGAGAAAUCAUCCAUAUUCUUUAGCAAGGGGUGCAGCCAGAGUUUGAGAGAUAAUAUCAAGCAAGUUCUAAAUGUUCAGAAUGAAUCUUUAAGUGACAGGUAUUUGGGAAUGCCAACAGACGUUGGCCAGUCAAAGAUGGGUACCUUCAAAUAUCUGAGAGAUAGAGUUUGGGAGAAGGUACGAGGAUGGAUGGAGAAACUAUUGUCAGCUGCAGGGAAAGAGGUCUUGAUUAAGUCGGUUCCUCAAGCCAUACUUGUUUAUUCCAUGGCGUGCUUUCGAUUACCCAGAGGCUUGUGUGACAACAUCACAUCUAUCAUCAGACAAUUUUGGUGGGGAAGUAAGCAGGGGAAUAGGAAGCCAUGUUGGGUCUCGUGGGACGUUAUGACAAAACCAAAAUACUCCCUCCUUUCCGGUUUAUAGGGCUUAUCUUAAAAUUUUAGUUUUUCCAUUUUAUAAGGCUCAAUUUGGUUGUUCCCCAUCACAUAUUCAGACUUCACGGUGCAUUAAAUCAUUGCAUGCAAGUAUUAAGAGAAAACUGACCAAUGCAUGCAUGCAUUGCAAUUAAUGCAUUCGUAAACAUAAUUUUUUGAGGAAAACAAGAGCAUUAAUUGGGUGUUUUUGCAAACUAUAAAAAAAUAUUCCACCACUCAUCAUCUACCUUGUUUGAUGAGAUUUUUGAAUUGAGCCUUAUAAACCGGAGAGGAGGGAGUAUCUUGGUGGCAUGGGUUUCAGGGACAUAGAGAUUUUCAACUUAUCAUUGCUCGCACGACAAGCGUGGAGAAUGCUUGAGGAGCCCAAUUCCCUUAGUGCAAGAAUUCUCAAAGAUGUCUACUUCCCGCUCCAUUCUUUCCUAGAAGCAGAACUUGGUGGCAAACCAUCUCAGAUAUGGCGCGCUAUAAUCAAUGGCAGGGAUAUAUUGAAGCAGGGUAUCAUUAGACGCAUUGGGAAUGGAGCCACAACAAGCAUAUGGGAGACCAAUUGGUUGCCUCGGGUUGGACCAAUGCGGCUGAUCACCUCACUAGUUACAAAUCCUCCCGUGAUGGUUUCUGAGCUGAUCGAUUACACAAUAGCAUCCUGGAAGGAAGAUUGGAUACGGGGCACGUUCUUACCUUUCGACGGAGACACCAUCCUGUCGAUACCCUUGUGUACGAGGGCGGUAGAUGAUUUUUGGGCAUGGUCCAGCGAGAGAAAUGGUCCUUUCUCAGUGAAGUCGGCUUAUCAUAUGAUCAUGAACGCAAAGGAGCAAAGAGAGAACUGGAUGUAUGUUAAUGCAGGAAAUUCAGCAUCGAGCGCGACGUGAAAGGCAUGGACAGAUCUCUGGCACAUAAGGGUCCCAUCCAAGCUAAAGGUUUUCUUUAGGCGCCUGGCGCGACACUCGAUGCCAACGGCGGACAUUCUACAUCAUCGCCACAUGUCGGAUACACACUUGUGUAAUUUGUGCGGAUGCGAGGAAUCAUGGAGGCAUGCCCUGCUGGAAUGUACCAUGUCGAGAUGCAUUUGGGCCCUUGCUGAUGAGGCUCUGACAGAUAAGGUAAGCCAAAACCAGGAGAUUUUGUUUUGCUGGUUGUCACGCUCUGGGCUGUUUGGUGAGCAAGGAGGAAAGCGAUUUAUGAGGAUAUCUUCCAGAGUCCUAUGGCAACAAAUGUGUUCAUCGGUCUUACUUAUCAGAUAUUUAUGCCCUGGACAAGCCAAGCAACAACACAGGGGGUCAACCUAUGGUCCGCCCUACGUGUUGGAUUUCGCCUCCUACGGUUUCUUAAAGAUCAAUGUUGAUGCUGCAAUUGCACGGGGCCGAGGAGUUGCGACAGCUAUUUGCCGCAACAAAGAGGGAGUUUUUCAGGGGGCAUCCGCUAUUGUCCUCAGGAACAUAUCGGAUCCUCCUACAAUUGAAGCUUUAGCUAUUCGGGAGGCACCAGCACUUGCCGAGGUUCUCAAUAUCCAGAGCAUACAUGUUGCAUCUGAUUGCAAGGUGGUGGUGGACGACAUCAAGCAGAAGCAUUUGGCAAGCUAUGAAGCAAUUUUACAUGAAAUAAUUGAUCAUAGUCAUUUUUUCCAGAGUUGUAAUUUUGUUCACGAAUUUAGGAGAUCGAAUUUCAAGACUCACAAUUUAGAGAAGCAUGUUUUAUGUUUGGGGAGGAUCGUCAUGUUUGAUUAGGACAUCCCGAUGACCUUUCUUUCGUACCUGUAAACUUUAGUUCGGGUUAAAUAAAGCUUCGCCAGAUUGUCUAAAAAAAUGCGGCUCUGAUUCCAGCAACAGCAGGUGCAUUCAGACGGACACCGGCAUGGCAUGCGACGAAACCAAGAUAGUACCCUGGGAUUAUGUGCAACUUGGUUAGGUUGUGCGAUUGGACCGUGACGUUAGAGUGAAUAUGAUGCCGUCUGACCGUGAUCUUAACUGUUGAGUCAAGUAUACAGUGACUUCAACCGUUGAGUCAAGUAUACAGUGUCUUGACGUCUGGAUUUUGUGUAGACAGCUGAUGUUUUUACCCACCGCGCGCGCUGCCGUCGUGACACGGCACCCCACCCCAGGCAAUGAAGCGUAGGCAGUUGAUGCAGUGGCUGCAGUGCAUGCAUGCAUGCAUGCAGACAGCGGCAGGCCUGAGACCAAACCAAGCUCUGCUACAUCAGUCCUUCAGUCGGCGGCCAUUACUUGAGGAAAAAAAGAAGGGCACCUCACCCACCACCAUUGCAGUCGACGGGCAGCAAACAGUAGGGUCGGUCAGCCAAACACACAGGGCACGCCUGAACAUCACAGGAGCCGUUAGAAUCGCCGCUCUACAACGGACCGACCCAACAGAUGAUGCAUGUUGGCAGUCCCUUUCAAAGAAACUGUGAUCUGGGUUUGGUGCGGUAUAUAUACUUCCUCCGUUUUAAAUUACUCGUCGUCGUGGUUUUAGUUCAAAUUAAUAUACUCUCUUCGUUUCAAAUUACUCGUCGUGGUUUUACGAGUAAUUUGAAACGGAGGAAGUAUAUAUCACUAUUUGGAUGGUGACUAUCUUUGCCAUAUAUUGUCACAUAAUUUUUAUCAUAUUUGUCACACUUGCCUUGGUUGAGUUGUUCAAAUUGUUAGCCACACUUUGGCUUUUCUAAGAGAAUCUUAUCAUACUUUUUGUGUCUAUUAUAUGUGGGGUUCACUGCUCAUAAAUAAAUCCUUGCCUUAGAUGUGGCUAGAACCAAACACCUAUCUAACUUGAUCAAACUUGCCUAAGUUUAGGUGUGACAAAAUGCGGAAAAGUGUGGUUGGAGACAGUCAAGCUACAGAGUAGAGUUUGCUUGCCCUGUAGAGUGUAAAGCCACUUCUACCUGGAUCAGCAAGCAAAUGUGACUUAUUCCAUCCUCCUCUUCCUUGAGCUCGCUGUCGCUGCCGCCGGUGGAGCUCCACCUCCAUUGCCUUCUCGACGCCGUGGUCUUCGUUGAGCAGUUGAGCUCGAGGUCUCGGCUGCCGGUGAAGCUCCGUUGCCUCCCCUCCCGAGCCCCAUCUUCUUUGAGCUGGACACUCUCGAGCCCUGCGUCACUUUCUCGGACACGUUUGCGAAAACAUUUGUAGAUGACCCAAAAAAAAAAUAGCCAGGCGCAUGUGUCAUGCGCCGGUACCAUCAGACGAUGGCGGCCGUGGGUUGGUGAUCUUUAACCAAGUUUUUUGAUGUUGCUGAAUGUGCAUACCGCACAUGGCACCGCCAGGGCAGGAGCCUCAUCUGGCUCGUGCCUUGUCGGGUGUGCUUCCAUUUGGGCACAUCCCAAGCUUCACCUGCUCCUCUUAUAAAGUGGAACCCAUUCGCGAGCCUCCCCGAUGUGGGACUAAAACACUCGUCCAUGUCCAGCAAGCAGGCCAUUCACACUUGUUAGAGAAGGACAGGUGCAGUUUUUGGACGCGUCGACGGGCCGGGAAUGGGCAAGCGGCAUUAGGUAGUUCAGAACAAGAAUGCACCACAGCCCAUCAAUACAAAAUGGAUCACAUGGUGUAUUUUCAGAUAAACAAAAGUCUUGUUGCAGGCCUUUGUGAAUUAUGGGUGUGCUUGGUUGGGUGCACGAAGGCUUGUGGUGCUACCGGACACAUUAGCAUAUAUUUUAAAAGGAUUCAAAAAAUCUAGCACAUUGGAAUGACAUCAAUGUAUUUUGUCACAAAUGUUUGUAUUAAAAUUUGAAAGAUUGCUCGAGAUACAAAAAUGACAGAUUUAACAUUAGUGUGAUGAUGGGCCAAAUCUAAUGCCCAAUUUGUGUUAUGUACUAUUCAAUGUCGAAUUUAUAUUUUUUGCAUCUCAAGCUAUGUUUCGAAUUUUGAUACGAAAUUUUGUGACAAAAUACAUUAAUAGUAUACAAAUUUUCUAGACAUUUCCAAAAAAAUUGAAAGAUUUGAAAAUGUGCUAAGGGAGGUCGGUGCACCGGUAGCACCAAGUGCCCCGGUGCACCAGAUAUGUUCUCGAGGUGCAUAAGGGCAAAGGUUCUCUACUCAACCCACUUUUGUGUGUCUGGUAGCACGGGGCCUCCCAAGCAUGCACGAGCUCAGCUCAAAUACCCUCGUGCCAUGUACGAAGAGAGAAUACAAUAAUUCACUGAUCAGCAUGCGUGAGCAAAGCGAGCGACCACGUGUUUAAAAAAAGUUUUGAAAUUCAAUUUAGGAACAAAUCAAGAAAUUUUUUACAUUUUCAAAAUUAUCGAAAAUUUGAAAAACAAUGUUCAGCAAUUCAAAUUUUGUUUAAUUUUCAAAAACUGUUCAGACUUUCAAUUUUUGGUAAAUUUUCAAAAAAUAUUCAGAAUAUCAGAAAAAGUUCAGAUUUUGAGAAGAAACAAAAAUAGAAUUUAAAAGAAAUUCCAUUUUCAAAGAAUGUUCAGAAUUAUAAAAAUAAUUUACAUUUUCAAAUACUCAUAUUUUCAAAAUUGUUUAAAUAUUUAAAAAAAUCAAAAUUUCAAAACAUGUUUAAAUUUUAGAAUAUGUAUAAAAUUUCAAAUUUCGUUAAAUUUUUAGAAUAUGUAUAAAAUUAAAAAACAAUAUUUUUGUUCACAUUUUCCAAAUUUUGUUGAUCAUUUAAAAAAUAUUCUGAAUUUAAAAUUAUCUGUCAUGUCUAAACAGAUGCAGGCUGCCAAACAAAGUCUCAACUCGGCAUGUCUCAGCACAUACACCACUACCAAACAACAUCAAAUGCAUGUACUUAGCAUGUCUACACUCAGCAUGUAUCAGAGGAGAACAACCAUGCUAGGUUGAGAAUGCUACCAAACACCGUCACGAUGAGCCACUCAGUGGAGAGUGGCACGUGAGCGCACCCUCUCUUUGGUGUUCUAAAUGUGCUAUAGCCAAGUCAGUGCCUCCCUCAGUGGUGACAUGCCGUUCUUGCAGGACAGGUAUAUAUACAUGCAUACAUACAUAAUGCCUCAUGUACGUAACAUAUGCGCCUUGACGGUGAGGAGGAGAGGUCUCGGAAGUCAUGAGCGCCUCAUCUCCGCGCAGGCCCUGGAGGUAGGACCGCGUUGUCGGCAGAAACACCUAAGGAAGGGCUGGAGGCGAGCCAUCAGAACUCACGGGAGCGAAGACUCCACUACCGACGGCGAGAGGGAGGAGGAAGGUUACAGCGAGGUGGAUAUCAAGGCCGGAGUGGCCGUCGACAAAGGUAGGUGGGCGCCGGGGCCAGGGUGGCCGACGGCGAGGGCCCAUGAAUGUUUUUGAGUCAUUUUUACAGCGCAUCAAAUUAUUUUGGACCGUUUACAUUUGUGAUCCAACGGACAAUACUAGAUUAGAAUACUGGUGUGUUUAUAUCUGCUGAGAACGAUAAGUACAAGCUGUCCCCAACGAUCCAGGCCGUCUGGCCUUGCGCAACCCCUCCCUGCUCGAAACAAGUGGAGAAGGAACUCGGCGGCACCCGGCAAGGAUUUCUUGUUAAUCUUGGGCGGUCAGGCGUGUGCAAGAGUGGGAUGCGUUGCAAUCGAUUCAUAUAUGCAGAUGCAGGCCUCCCUCGUGUAUAGAUCAUGCAUAUUGAAUCAUGCAGCUCUGAUUCCAGCAGCAGCCCUCGUGUGACCGUGAUUUUAAAUGUACAUAAGUCUGAUUUUGGUGUACAUGCCUUAGAGCCAUUGGCAUGUGGGGCCGUAAACCUGAUGGCCCACAUGCUAGUGACCAUAAGUCACCUGACGUAAGUCAGCCAAUCUGAGCCCAUGCAGAAAAGGCUGGAUGAUGCAGACACGGGCAUAAGACCAAACCAAGCUCUGCUACAUGAGUCAGCAGCCAUUGCUCCAGGAAAUAAGUGUCAGUCCGUGGACAACAAACAGUAGGGUCAAUCAAACAUACAGUGCAUCACAAGAGCCGUUAGAAUCGCCGCUCCACAACAGACCAACAACAGAUACAUGCACAAUGAUGAGGUCGCAAAUUAGACACUCGUUGGUUGAUUAGCGCCAGAGAGAUUUCCUUCCCUGUGAAAGCAAGCAUAUAUGUGUCCGUUGCCCUGUGUCUGUGUUGGCAGUAUGAUGAUACAAGUACUCCCUCCGUUUCGAAUUACUUGUCUUGGAUUUGUGUAGAUACGGAGGUAUCUACAUGGCUAGGCAUGCAUGCACACCCAAGUCCCAGGGAGCAAGGAAAAAGCCCGACAAAUGUGAUGCGUGCUAUCCAAUCUCAUCUCGUUAGCAAUGCACCAAGCAAUUAUCGCUCAUUGAUUCAUUGCCACCUUUCUUUUUCCCUCUAUUCUCUGCAGUCAUCUUUCAACGGUGCUCGACGACGGCUCAUCAGUCUGUCAGUAAACUUUCUUUGUGCAGCACCUUCAGUCCUUGACAAGGUGAAUCAGGAGGAGCUCAUGAGCCUCUCACGCAAAUGACCCUGUCUGCAGCAGCCUCACAAGGUUGAUGAGGAGGAGCGCAACACGGAACAUAACGGUUGGUUAGACCAACCACACUUGGUAUCUUUUUGCAGUCAGUCAAAUUCUCUUCUCCUUAAUCAAUGAAAAUGGCAAAUAUUUUGCAUCGUUUCAAAGAAAAAACCUGUAGGAGGAGAUGCGGACUGUCAAUCUACAGGGUAGUGUUUGCUUACCCUGUGGCCUGUACCGGAGGAGGCAGCAGCUACUUCCUGAACCACCAAGGAAAUGUGACCCCUUCUAAGAAAAAAUCUAACAACAGAACUACCUAGCUUAAGGCAUAGUACAAAUCAACAACGACGGGUCGACCGGUGCCCGGCCUUGGACGGUCCAGGACAGCUAACAAAAACUUGGAUUAUGAGUUACGACACAGCAUGGCUGGCUGGCUCAUCAGGAUUUCCCCAGCUUGGAUGACGGGCCGUCACGUAGAUCACUUCUAGCCAAAAAGAAAAAAGAAAAAAAGAAACAAAAGGUUGUUUAAGUAAGUGGCAAACAUGGCCUGGAAAUAAUAACUAGCAGCAAGGCAAAACUGUAGAGUUCACUCCAGCAGCACAAGGUGGGUUCAGUUAAAUUAAGGAUGGAAUUCACAGUACACCAGGAAGGCAGGAACAAAGCCCGAUUGAUGGUUGACAAACUAGAGAUAUGAAGAAUAAGAAUUGGACGCGUGCUCUGUAUAAGAAUAAGAAUUGGAAGCGCAAACGGUACAAGGAUGUGCGUACGGAACUGGAAGCGAACUCUGUAUAAGAACAAGAUGGUAUUCAUAUUGUAGCAGAAAAUCAUGGAAAAUCAUGAAAUGGCCUGCAGUUUUAUCACUGAAUGUCCAAUCAUGCGUUAUGUGGGUGGGCAUACAAAUGCUCCAGGGCACCCACUGCUCUGGCACAGGUAUCAUGCCUAUGUGCCUAUGUGGCUUGCUCCAAAUGUUGAAUGAAAUAUCAGCAUCAAGUAAUCGAGUAGCCAGGAAUCAUGCCUUACGAGCUGCAUGAAGAAUAAUGGAAUAAAAAAAGAUGAGGACAAAUCACUCAAAAAAAGGGCAAAGUUUUGAGGGAUAUAAGUCAGCUUUUGACCACUUAACUAGCCUUUUUUUUAGAAUAACUACCCUAACUUUUUUUUUGGGGAAAGCACAACCGCACGUCUCGUACAAGCAUAGAUAGAUGCACAGUUGUGCUUCCACGAGAAGAAAAUUGGUGCUUGUACUAAAAAACGAACAUGUGUGCUUUCAAGAAUAGUGUAAACCACAACUGUGCUUCCGGGCUCUGUUUUUUUUUUGUAUUCUCUUUUUUGUUCCCUGUUGACGGUUUAUUUUUUGAUUUGUUUUUAUUCGUUAGAGAUCAUGGUCAGAAAGCACUAGCUUCUCAUUAAAAAGGUUCUAUUGUUUAUACUAGCAACAACAGAUAUAUAUAUACACACACAUACCACCAAGUACGUGAUGUACGCCGCCGGCACAAUGAUCAGGUCGUAUACUAAGAUACUGUCGUUGAUUGAUUAACGCCAGAGAGAUCCCCUUCGCCGUGAAAGCAUAUAUGUUCCCCUGUGCCUGUGUUGGCAUAUGAUGAUACAAGUACAUGGCCAGGCAUGCAUGCAGACCCAUAUGUGUCCCUUUCAAAGAAGCUGUGAUGUGGGUUUGCUACGGAACUAAUUCAGAUGGUCAGUUAUAGUGCAGUGCAGAGCUUCCACCAACAUGUUGUUGCAGCAGCAGAGAAGAGUAUGCAUGCUGUUCCAAGUUAGCUUAGCAGCACUGGCCCAGCACCAAACCGAUCAUCCCAGGUUCCUCUCAAAUCAGGGACAGAGAGCAAGGAAAAAGCCCGACAAAUGGUAAUUGCUUGGUAUAUAUAUCCCUUGUGAAGGUGCUGAUCAUUUGUGUUGCGUGCUAUCUCAUCUUGGUAGGAAUAUACCAAGCAAUUACCAUUCAUUGCCACCUUUCUUCUCUUGUGUGCAGUGCAGCUAGUCGUCUUUCUCAGCUGCUGGGCGACGGCUUAUCAGUCAGUAGACUUCUUUAUGCAGCAGGUUCACAAGGUGAAUCAGGAGGAGAUGAUGAGCCUCUCACACAAAUGAUCAGCACCUUCACAAGGUUGAUGAGGAGGAGCGCAAGACGGAACAUAACGCUUGGUUAGACUGACAACAGAGGAGAUGCUGACUUACAAGCUACAGGGGAGGCACCAGCCACACUUUGUUGCUGGACCAGCAAGCAGAUGUGACUUGUUCCAUUCUAGUAGUAGGGAUCUAACAAGAGAACCAAACCGCUACCUAGCGUAAGGCAUGGUAGUACAGAUCAACAGCUUCCUCCAUCGUCGUUUUCCCGUCUCCUCCUGUAUCUCUUGCUAUCCGAAAGACUGUAUUUCUGUUAUGCAAGUAAUGGAAAUGGAUAACAGGCAUCCGGUUUGAAAUGAAAGAAAGAAAAAAAAACAUCAGCAACGACUGCCGUCGUCGUUUUCCUUGAGCUCAAGAUUGCGAGCCCCGCGUCGCCGUCUUCCGCUCAAGGCCGUGGCCGUCCGUCAAGCUCUGCUGUCUCCACACCCGAGCCCCGCGCCGCCGGUCUUCCUUGAGCGACAGGAUGGCAAAAAACAUUUUUGCAAAUGAAAAAAGGACUGAAUGGCCAAGUGGCAAUAAAACAUUUUGCAGCUGGAAAAAAUGCAUAUGUCAUGCGCCGGUACCAUCACACGGUCGGUGGUGGUGAGUGGGCUUCAUCAUGAUUUACCAUUGUUUUUUAUGUUGCUGAAUGCGCAUACCGCACAUGCCACCGCCACGGCAGGAGCCUCAUCUGGCUCAUGCCUUGUCGGGUGUGCUUCCAUUUCUUUUCUUUUUUGCCUCGUGAAUUAUACCAUGGGCCAAUCAAUGGACAUGAGCGCACCCUCUCUUCUGGUGCUCUGUGCUGUAUAGCCUGGUCAGUGCCUCAGGGUGUGUUUGGUAGCAUGUAUGGACCUAGCCUAGUUGUUCUCAUCUCAUACAUGUUGAGUGUAGACAUGCCGAGUCCAUGCAGUUGCUGUUGUUUGGCAGUGAUGUAUGUGCUGAGACAUGCUGAGCUGAUACUUUGUUUGGCAGCAUGCAUGUGUUUAGACAUGCUGAACAAUUUCGAAUUCUGAAUAAUUUUUUUGAAUGAUGAACAAAAUCGAAAAAAUGUCAACAUAAAUUUAAACAAAUUUUGAAAAUUUAAAUAAAAUUUGAUAUUCUAAACUUUUUUGGAAUAUUAAAAUAAAUUUUGAAAUUCUUUUUUUAAUUUGAACAUAUUUGAAAUUACGAGUUUUUUUGAAAAUUUAAACAAAAUUUGAAUAUUUUAUAAAAAAAAUUUAAAAUUCUAUUUUAAAAAAAUUCAAACAAAUUUUGAUUUCCUUUUGAAAUUCCGAACAUUUAUGAUUUUUUAGAAAAAAUGAAAAUUCAAACAAAAUUUGAAAUUAUGAUUUUUUUUAAAUUAAACAAUUUUGAAAUUCAAUUUUUUUCAUUUUUUCUGAAAUUCUAAAGUUUUUUGAAAAUUUAAACAAAUUUUGAAAUUUUUAUUCUUUUUGAAAAAAUAAACAUAUCUGGACGUGGUCUGGUCGGUGGGGACGAGUGUCAGGGCCAGCAUAGCUGCCUCCGUGCACCCUGUCUGGGAUGCAUGAAAUGAGCAUGGCUGAGGGCACUUUUAUGCAUCAGAUGAGCAUAGCUCAGGUGAGCCCAUGCAUCCUACCAAACAAGCAAACAUGGGUCGGAUUGGGAACUUUUACCCUCAUGCACCCUCCAUGCACCCUACCAAACACACCCUCAGUGGUUGACAUGUCAUUGUUGCGGGAUAGAUAUGCAUGCAUACAUACAUAGUACAUGCUCCCUUCAUCCCAUACUAUAAGACGUUUUUUUACUCUACUAGAUCAAAAAACGCCUUACAUUAUGGGACAAAGGAAGUACUUACAUGCAUAUGUACCCCUAAAAAAGGAUAUGCGUACACGCAUACUAAUAGAGCAGAAUACGCGUCUCGGCACAUCGCUAACACGGUAGUCUCAUUAACACCAGAUUGAAUCCCUGCCCUGUGAAUUCCCAAGAGACAAAAAAGAAAAAGAAAAGAGAGCAUAAGCACCAGCUACAGCUCCCUGCCUCCCUCCCUGUACAUGUGUUGGCAGUUUCAUCCAUGCCAUACACACAGGCAGGCCGACGCUCAGACCAGAGACAGAGAGUCGUCCCUAUGAAGAAGGCACUCCCUCCGUUCCAAAUUACUCUUCGUGGAAAUGGAUGCAUCUAAAACUAAAAUACAUCUACAUACAUCCAUACCUGCGACAAGUAAUUCGGAACGGAAGGACUAUGAUUUGGUUUGGUUUUGGUCCAACACGAUUCAGUAAUAAUUCAGGUAGUUAGUUGGUUGCUAUACCUAUACAUACAGCAGACCUUCUUACCCUGCCACCACCAACAUCUUGCCUCGCAUCACUUCAGAAAAAAAAAACAUCUUCCAUCAAAAUGGCAUUGCAGCAGCAGAGUGCUGUUCCUCUCAAAUCAGGGACACACCAAGCAAGGAAAAAGCCCGACAAAUGUUGUCUUGUUAGGCUGGUGCUGGAACACACCAACCAAAUUACCACUCACUCAUAUUCAUUCAUUCAUUCCCACAUUUCUUCUCUUCUGUUUGGCCAUCUAUCUCGGCUCGACGACUCGUCGGCCGCAAGCAGGCCAGGUCUCCAGCACGCUUCUGUUUUGGCACUUCACAAGCUGAAUCAGGAGGAGCUCAUGAACCUCUCACACAGAUGGCCCUAUUUGCAGAGCCUUCUUUCACAAGGUGCAUCAGGAGGAUCAUAACGGUUAGAUGAACCAAGACUCCCUGCAUUUUGCAGCCAAAACUGUAGGAGCAGAGCUGCUGGCAGACGAGCCUCCGGUGCCCUUUUUGCGGCACUUCGCAAGGUGAAUCAGGAGGAGCGCAACACGGAACAUACCGGUUGGUUAGACCAACAGGACUCGGUAUCAUUUUGCAGUCAAAACUUGUAGGAGGAGCGGCUGGCUGUCAACAAGCUAAGCUACAGGGCAGUGUUUGCUUACCCUGUACCAGAGGAGGCACCACCAGCCACUUCUUCCUCAACCAGCAAGGAAAUGUGACUUCUUUCAACUCAACUAGGGAUCUAACAACCAGACUAGCCUACCUAGCAUAAGACCACAUAGUACAGACCAACAGCGACCGGUCGACCGGCUCCAGCGCCCCGGCCUUCGACGGUCCGGGAUAACUAACAACAGACAGACAGACAGUAAGCUGGAGCACAAGUUACAACACACCAUGGCUGGCUAGCUCAUCAGGACUUCCCCAGCUCGGAUGACGGCAGGUCCCACACGUUGAUCACUUCUGGCCAAAAAAGGGAAAGAAAAGAAAACAUUAUUAAGGUGGAAGACAUGGCCUGAAAAUAACUAGCAGCGAAGCAGAUCUGUAGAAUUCACUCCCCGCAGCCCGUUCAGUUGAAUAAAGCAUAGGCAAGAAAUGAACAAGCAUAUGUUUUGGCACAGGUACACAGGAAGAGUCAUGGUUGACAAACUAGUCGCCGAACAUGGAAAAAACUACCAAGAAAAGUUGUUUCAGUAAGCAGUAAACACGGCCUGAAAAUAGGAGAUCACAUAGUUGCAGCACCCUGGCAGAAACAAGAUUUGUAGAAACUAGCUACCGCAUCCCAGGGUAAGUUCAGUUAAACAUAGCAUGCAGGAUACAUGAACAAACAUAACUGUAGAGUUGUUUCAGUAAGUGGGCACAGGCACACGUACAGGAACCCAGGACGAAAGCCAAGACUGACGAUUGGCAAACUAGUCACCAGGUAUGGAAAAAUAUAUAGAUCAUCGAAUGGGGGAUAUGGCGCAGCCGUAUUAUAACACAUACAGACUAAGCAGAAAAAGAGCAAAUAUCUUUGUACGGAACUGAAAACGUGCUCUGUAAAAGAAUAACAUGGUAUUCAUAUUCCCAUCCCAAAAAAUACAUGGUUUUCAUAUAAACAGAAAAUAAUGGAAAAUAAUCGGUCCACCUAAAGAAAUGACCUGCGCUUAUAUCACUAAAUGUCCAAUCCUGGGUUCAAGACAUUGCUGUAAUCCAUGUGGGCAUGCAAAUGCCUCCAGGACCCAUUUUAAAAAAUGUUUCGAGAAAACAAAUGCCUCCAUUCAUGCCAGCUAUCAUGCGUAUGUGGCUUGGUCCAAAAGUUCAAUGGAAUAUCAGCAUACAUAUUAAUCGAGCUGCCAGGAAUGUGCACCCGCAAGUUAACUAAUCUACACAAGCUUCAUCCACAUAUAUAUAUGGUAAAAAAUUGAGACAACCCAGGCUGGCAACGCUCCAGUUUCAGCAAGAACAAACAUAAAAGCUGGGAAAGGAAAUUUGCACAUUUCCAGAAGUGAAGUGGGAGAGCUUACCUAAUGGUAUCUUGUCAAACGCACCACCAUAUAGGACGCCAUCAUCACUGGGAAUUCCCUGGUGAAAUGAGAAACCGUUUAAAUAUCUUACUUAAAGAGAUAACGACAAAAAGGUAUGAAUACAGGACAGAAAUGCAAUGCUGGGGAUCACAGUUAGAGAAGAACAAUGACGAAGUGCGGUACUGAGAAAUGCCAAUAAGAGCAUGAACAGACUGAUUUGGUAAUUACCCCUUGAGCAUGUGACUAUAUGGGCAAAUCAUUGGUGAGAAGCGCAACCCCUAGUAUUAAAGAAAGUUGUACAGUAACAGUUACCCUCUCUAGCUAGUUUACUGGCUGCACGAAGAAUAAUGAACGAAAAUGAGGGCACAGAUAUAUUCUUUCAAAACAGCCAUCUCACCUGUGCAUUGACAGCUCCCAUCCCAGUCCACCUAUUCCCGGAAUGUGGUGGAACCGAUGAAGAAGAUGCUGGGAUGUUAGUCUGAUGGUCAGGAAAGCUUCCGGCUUGCUCGUCUUGAGAACACAUACGUUCUGGCAGAAAAUUAUCCACGUGUAAGGCAUCACUUCUGUAUAGUGGACAUGUUCAAAUUUAAAAGAUUGCCCUCUCCCCCCCUGAGAUUUGCGACAAAAAGAACGAUGAAAGAAAGCUUACUUGGGUUCUAAGAACUCUCUGGUACCAGGCUGCUCUGCAUAAUCAUCAUCAUCGUCGUCGUCAUCCAAAUUAAUUAUAGGAAUCAUCAUUUGGCCAUUGUCCAGGCUGCGAAGUGUAGCUUGUCUCUUUGCUGCCCGGUCCAUUUGCCCAUCCUUCAACUGGCCCCCAUCAACUGCAGAUUUAUUAACUGAAUCAUCUGUUAGUAGCAUCUGUUCACCGUUCAGAUCACAAUGAUCCAAGUCAUGCACAACUGUAACAUGAUCUAGAAGCAUUUGUUCCUCCUUUAUCUGGUGAUUAACGUCUGCAGCACGAUCAGGUAGGAAUUGCUCAUUCUCCACCUGCUCCUCCGCAUCUUGCUUUAGCAUUGUUUCCUCAUUGUUUAAAAGCAUUUGCUCGCCCUCCAGCUGUUGAUCACCCUGUCCAUGCUCAUCGGUGAUCUGAUUUAUAAGCAUCUGCUCGCUGUUCUGGUAGUUCCUAUCCAAAUCAUGCAUGCCAAUACCCUGAUUUAGAAGCACCUGAUCAUCCUCGAACUGUUGGUUUUCAUCUGCACGUUUAUCUUGAAUUUGAGUAUCUAGAGGAUCAGAGUAUGCUUGCUGGCUCAUCUGACCAACUAAAUCAGGCAGAGAAUCACUAGCAUGUUCUUCAGGAGGAUCACCGGGAAUCUCAGUCACUUCACAGCUCUCACGAGUUCCGUCGACAUUGAGGUCAAAAAUUUGAUACCAAGCCGGCAGCUCUUCUUCAUCUCUAGUAGGAUCACCAUCAGCAACUUCAAUUUCAAUUUGUGGAGUUUCCUCGACAAGUUCAGAUUCAUGUUCAGUUUGCGGAGCCUCGAUUUCACCUGCCACUUGAAGUUCAGUUCCAAGCUCAAUUUCCAUUUGUGGAGUUUCCUCAACAAGUUCAGGUUCACUUUGCAGAGCCUCCAUUUCACCUGCCACUUGAAGUUCAGUUCCAUGCUCAAUUUCCAUUUGUGGAGUUUCCUCGACAAGUUUAGUUUCAGGUUCACUUUGCAGAGCCUCCAUUUCACCUGCCACUUGAAGUUCAGUUCCACGCUCAAUUUCUAUUUGUGGAGUUUCCUCGACAAGNNNNNNNNNNNNNNNNNNNNNNNNNNNNNNNNNNNNNNNNNNNNNNNNNNNNNNNNNNNNNNNNNNNNNNNNNNNNNNNNNNNNNNNNNNNNNNNNNNNNNNNNNNNNNNNNNNNNNNNNNNNNNNNNNNNNNNNNNNNNNNNNNNNNNNNNNNNNNNNNNNNNNNNNNNNNNNNNNNNNNNNNNNNNNNNNNNNNNNNNNNNNNNNNNNNNNNNNNNNNNNNNNNNNNNNNNNNNNNNNNNNNNNNNNNNNNNNNNNNNNNNNNNNNNNNNNNNNNNNNNNNNNNNNNNNNNNNNNNNNNNNNNNNNNNNNNNNNNNNNNNNNNNNNNNNNNNNNNNNNNNNNNNNNNNNNNNNNNNNNNNNNNNNNNNNNNNNNNNNNNNNNNNNNNNNNNNNNNNNNNNNNNNNNNNNNNNNNNNNNNNNNNNNNNNNNNNNNNNNNNNNNNNNNNNNNNNNNNNNNNNNNNNNNNNNNNNNNNNNNNNNNNNNNNNNNNNNNNNNNNNNNNNNNGCAACUUGAAGUUCUGUUUCAAGUUCACUUUGCGGAGCCUCCAUCUCAUCGGCAACUUGAAGUUCAGUUUCAGGUUCACUUUGAGGAGCCUCCAUUUCACCUGCAACCUGAAGCUCAGUUUCACGUUCACUCUGCGGAGCCUCCAUUUCAUCGGCAACUUGAAGUUCAGUUUCAAGUUCACUCUGUGGAGCCGCCAUUUCACCCACAACUUGAAGUUCAGUUUCAGGUUCACUCUGUGGAGCCACUAUUUCAGCUGCAACUUGAAGUUCAUUUCCAAGUUCACUCUCCAGAACCUCCAUUUCACCUCUAACUUGAGGUUCAGUUUCAGGUUGACUUUGCGGAGCCUCCGUUUCACCUCUAACUUCAGAACAACCACUGUUGUCAGCCACUGGUUCAAUCAGGCAUGCAUCCACACGCGCAACGCCCGCCUCCGUGUCCUCCUCGACGUCGCUGAGCUGGGGCUGCGUGUGCCCCGGUUCCUCAUCAGGCUGUGAUGGAUGAACAUCCACCAUGGGCAGUUGGUGGCUGGCAUUUAUUUCAGCAGCAUCAGCAUCAGCAUCAUUCAAGCCAGCAACAGCAGCAGCCUCAUCGUCCUGACCAUUGUCCUCUGUUUCCAUCUCUUCAUAUUCAUAGGUGACACCAUCAUCAUCUUCACCAUGAUCAUCUGAUUCCACAACCUCCUCAUACUCAUACUCUGCCUCUUCAUCUUCAUGUCUGGCACCAUCAUGCUCUGGUUCCACCGCAGCUUCAUCUUCACGGCCGGCACCGUCAGUCGCCUCCACCAUCACCACCUCCGAGCGAGGAAUCUUUGGAUCCAUUGGCAGUUUAUCGACAUCAUCGCCGUCCACAUCACCGUCGCGGCUGGCAACAGUUGCAGACUCUGCUGGCACCUUGCUCUGAUCCAGAUCGCCACUGCGUGGCUGAUCGAAAUCACCACCGCGUGGUCGCCAGUCUGGAUCCCUCCGGCCGCCGCUGUAAGAGCUCCUGGGCCUGGUUCUGCUUCGGCUCCGGCUCCGGCUUCUACUCCUGCUUCUGCUCCUCCGCUUGCGGUCCAGUCUGCGGUCAACAGAGGGCCGGCGGUCAUCGAUGGGGGCCGGCCGGCGGUCGUCGCUGGAGGCCCGGCGGUCGUUCUGCGAGUAGGAGCGUGACAUGGCGGGUCUCCUCUUCUCGUCGUACGGGUGGCUCCGGCGAACGCCCCUGUCGGCAUCACCGCCAGCACCGCGUCCGCCAUCGCCCUCGUUGUACCUGCGUCUUCCGUCAAAGCUCUGGGUCCUCCGGUCCCAGCCGGACUUGGCCCGGGCUAGCCUGGCGCCGUCGUCCUCGUCCCUCUUGUCGCGGCCCCAGUCGGCGCCGCCGCCUCCUCCUCCGUUCCUCCGCCAUCUGGGGUCGUCUCCGUCGUCAUCCCUCUUCCUGGCGUAGCCGGCGGGGGCGGAGAUCUCGGGGCGGGGGCUGGGGAUGGGGUGCUGCUUGGGGUCGUCCCUGGCGUGGAGAACGUGGUGGUGCUUGGGGCUGGGGUCUUCCCGGGCGUGGAGAACGUGGUCGGGGAGGACGCCCUGCGCGACCAGGUAGUGGGCGGCCAGGCGGCCGGCCUCGAGGAGCACGUCGUUGCGCCAGCGCCGUUCGGCGGCGACGACCAGCGCGGCCGCCGGCGGCGGGAGGGGCUUCUCGUCCAACGCCAGCAGGCGGCGCGGGGGCGGCCGUUCGGGGCUGCUGCGCCGCGGCGGGGCCCGGCGCUGGUGGUGCUGCGGCCGCGGGGAGGGCGGCGGCAGGGGCGGGGACCGUCGGCGGUAUCGUCCUCCGGAUGACGGCGGCGGCGGGGCCGGCGGCUCGCGUCCGCGAAUGCGCGACCUCGGGUGCAUCGGGCCCUAGGAGGGACGGGAAAGCCUCCUCCUUUCCUCCGACGGGGGGCGGCGGAUUCGUGGCGAAAUGCGUUCGGCGAGCGUUCGGUCAGUCCGUCGGCGCGUUUCUCGGUCAGAGCGGCGAGAUCUGCAUCUGCGGCGUCGUCUGCUUGCGUUCUUCGUCGGCGGGCCGUGGCGGGGCGGGUCUCCCGGCGCGGCGGCGCGGCCGGAGGCGGAGGCGGAGGCAGAGCGAGGAGAUUUGAGAGCGAGGGUUUGCUUUGUGAGUGGGGGGUUGCCUCUGCCUAUUUGAGCACACGCACAACCACACCCACACACCCGCUGGUUUUCACUGCGGCCCGUGGGCAGUUGCCCUUUUUUUUUUACUGCGUGGUAAACUGGUAAUAAUAGACCGAUAAUCACCGUCAGAAUUACAUUACAUGGGUUAAUUAGUUUAAUCAUCGGUGUGUUUCUAGUUAACAAUGGCGAUGUGAGGAGUGAUGCCUCGUGUUAGGUUUGAGCCUCUCCCCUCAAUCAUAGAUCCGGAUAUUUGUUGUCGCGGAAUAUUUUCGAUAUCAUUUUCUAUGACUAAUCUUUCUACUUGAAAACCGAUAAGAAACAUAGUUUGAUGAAGGGGAAAAGAUGCUUGGAAAACACGAAACCGUUACCGGAGCACAUUUUCAACUGCCUAACUUUGGCCCCAAGGAUCCAGCGCCCCUGGUUAGGGGUCUAGCGCCGAGGAUCCGGCGCCUCCGGUUAGGGUUCUAGUUCGUCCAUCCAAAUAUUUCGGAUAAAUUGGUAACGUAUCGCCGUUUUCAAUUUUUAUUUAUAAAUUGGUCUUGACGUGACUGUUGCCGGUAGGAAUUAUGGCGCAUGAUAAAUGCUUGGGUAACGCCUCUUAUCCGUGGGAUUGCUGUCGAAGGCAUCCUCGUCGUGAUGCGGAACUGUGUUGGUACUUUCGUGUCGUUUUUUAGGGUGUUGAUCAUGUUGGCAUGACCUGGCCUUGGUUUCGACGCCGCUCUAAAUAAUCGAAUAUUGGUGGCGUCGGUCACGUCACCGGUAGGAACCCGAAGGCAUAUACCAACAAUGUUGUUGAUAAGAGGUAUACAAAUCAUGUCGUGUUACUAAAACCGGUAUUUCUUUCCUUAUCAUUCCACCCACGGUGAUCGAUAUGGUCCUCCGAGGAAGAAAUCGCUUGUACACAUUUCGUAUUUGCCUAGGACGCUCGUAUGACUCUCGUUCUGCCAUGAGUAGUGAUGGUCUUAGGGGGUCUUCUUUCGAAUUCGAAACAAACAUAUGCAUGGAGGCUAGUCCGUUUCUGAUUUUUGGGACCAAGAGGCAACGUGUUAUCGUCUCUAAUUUAGAAAGUGGUGUUUCAUAGAUUCUCUGGUAAUGCCUCUUACGCACGGGAUAGGUACAAAAGGCGCCAUGUCGCGACGCGCGAAUCCCGUUGAUACUUUUGGCAUUGUUUAACGUUGUGUGUUUAUCAUGCUGACCUAACCGAUACAAACCCAGGUGCGGACACCGGUGGUGUCGCCGAUAUAGACGACACAAAAUUCUGUCGAACCCAGUGUUGAUCAGAUUCACAACUACUUGUGAGGUCCUCCGGGGGAAACGGGGUUUGUAUUCACGCGUGCAUAUCUUAUUUGUUCCAACCUUCUUUGUUUAGUAAUUACUGAGAUAUUUGUAUAGAUUUCUUGUUUACUUAUGGCAUCUCCAACUCCGGCCCUUUCGUCUGGACCAUGUUGUCCGGACGUGUUUUGUCAUCAAAUGCAGUAUCCCGUCGGUCCAUGGUACGGUCCAGACGUCCGUUUUCCCGCAAACCGAAGAAAAACUAGGGGCUUUGCUAGAGUCCGGACCGCCGCACGGAGGACUCCGACACUCCUGGCCCACUCAAACCCCCCUGACAGUCCACUUUUUUUAACUCCGCCCCUACUACCCCUUGCUUUGUAUCUAUACAUUCCUCGUCCAAUGUUGUCGUUGUACCUCCCCGGCUGUCGCCCAGGCAUCAUAGGACCUCUACAACCCCCACCAACACGUCUGGCCUCCUUGGACUACGUUACCGUCCACCCUGGAUCCCUCCGCAACUAGGUACCAUCUGCCCCUAGCCGACGACGUCCAUGGUGGACACCACGUCCUAGGUGUUUGGUCAAAUGCCAUUAAGCUUUUUUGUUGAACUUCUUGUUGUUUUCAAGAGUAAGCACGAUGGUGGGUGUUCAGUGAAGAAGGAUGAGUUGUUGUGUGAUGCCUGGUUAGCCUUAUCUAUGGACUUUGUAGGCAGGAAUUCAAGGGGCUUGAUCUUUUGGCAACGCGUGCAUGGCUCCUUUCAUGUACAAAAGAACUUCACGCCCUACAACAUACACAUCAUUCAGGAACACAAAUGUGAAGUCGAUAUCGCAUCGAUGGUACACUAUCCGCAACUCUGUCAUGAAGUUUUGCGGUGCGAUUUAUGAAUGAAUUGUGCCAUUUUUUUUACGAUUACUUUGAGUACUGCGGUAAAAAAGAUGAAGUGAAAUAUUUAGACUGUUGGUUGGAUCCUUUCGAAUCACACUUUUUUCAUUAGCGGUGGUUGUUGUUCUGAUGCGCUAGUAGUAUAACAAUGUUUGCCGAGUUCCGAUGAGGAAAAGAGAUGGCCUUGGGCGCUUGUAUGGACUUCUUUCUGGCGUGUCUUGUGCUCGUUCAGGGCCAAACAGUGCCAAUGUGUCUGAAGAGCGCAUCGAGAGAGACGCUCAAUCUAAUCUGGGGAAGGAUCGAGGCUGUGGAGUAUGGGUCAAACUCAAACAUGAAAGUAGAAGUAGAAGUAGUACGAGGGACAGUUGGGGCGUGACGACGCACAGCACCGCACCUUUGUGCCAAACAAAUUAAUACUAGUACCGCAAGCAUUAAUGGGCUUCCUUAAACAGCAGAUGAUUUCUUUUUCAGGAAAUGGCCGAGGUGGGCCCACCGGCCAAACAAAUGCUACGUGUCGCCACUGGUCAGUCGGUCGUCUGACACGUACCUACCUGGCCCAAACGAUCUGCCGCUGGGCCGCAGCCUUCGCACGGCCCAUGCAAAAUGGAGCCCGCUGGACUGCUGGAGAAGCAAAGCUCAGCAACUUGCUGGCUUGAUGAUUCUCAAAAAAGAAAAACUUACUGGCAGAAUGUAAAAUGGCCUGAGGCCAUCUCAAAAAAGAAAAUAAAAAUGACCAGAGGUAUUUUCUAAGCUCAGCAACUUACUGGCAGAUGCUGAUGUAAAUGGAUAGUAACAGAAAGCAAGGUUUUACUCAGAUUGAGGAUCUCAUGGAGGAGAUAAUACUCUACGUCCUGCUCAUGUAUAUUGUGUUGGGUACUCCCUCCGUCCAUGAAUAAGUAUACAUCUAGCUUUUGUCUUAAGUCAAAGUUUUAAAAUUUUGACCAUGUUUCUAGGAAAAAGUAACAGCAUUUAUGGACCAAAUUUGUACCGCUAGAUUCGUUUUGAAAUGUACUUUGAUAAUAUAUCAAUUUGAUGUCAUAUAUGUUACUAUUAUUUUCUACUAUAAAGUUGACCAAAAUUUUAAAACUUUGACUAGGAAUAAAAGUUAGAUGUACACUUAUUCACGGACGGAGGAAAUAUAUAUAUAUAAAGUACAUGUGAGUACUGAGAGGUUAUAAUGUGUUCUACAACGAGCCCGACCCCUGUAUUAUAUAAUACACCCGGGGUCCUAGGGUUACAGAUCCUAGUCGCUACGUCGUGAGAGGUAGAGUCCCCCACAAGUAGAGUGUUCAUACAGUUCUCCAUGGGUCGUCCAAAGUGGCCUAAGGUGAAACCGAUCUAGGGUCCUCAGUCUGGCCCACCUGGCCGGGAACCGACAUGGUAAGAGACCCCUCGGCCGGGACACCGCCAGGAAUCUUAGAUCCAAAUAUUUGCCGUCUCCAACUAUUUUCGAUAUCAUCUUUCUACUAUGUAUCUCUUUAUAUGAACAUUGAUAAAUGUUGAUAAAACGGAGUUUGAAAAGUGGAACGGAACGCUCGAAUAAAUGAAACCGUUAGAGAAACGCAUUUUCGACCCCCCAGCUAGGGGUCUUGUUCUGAAGCAAAUGUAUCCGCAAGAGCCGGUAUCUUCGUCCACCAGAUGUUUCCGAUGAAUAAGUAACAUAUUUGUUGUUUCUAAUUUAGAUGCCGAUCUUCGGGCGGUCUUUGCCUAGCAUGUAAGAAAUGAUCACCGUAACGUCUCUUAUCUAUGGGAUUGUUGUCGGAGGAGCCUUGUUGUGAUGUAGAACUCAGUUGAUACUUUGGUGUCAUUUAACGGUGUUUAUCACAUUGACAUGCCAUGGUCUUGGUUCCACUAGUACUCUAAGAAAUCGGAUAUUGAUGGCGUCGGUAUCAUGACCGGUAAAACCGUUGUUUCAUAGAUGUCGUCGUGAUGCCAGGAUUUGUGGUGCGGAGACCUCGGGACAUCGAGUCCUUCACGCAUGUUUUAAUUUUUGGCUUCUAAUUUUCAAAAUUUUAUAGUUUUGAACAAAAAGCCCAAAUUAAAUUUUGUUUUCAUAUUCGUGUUUCUCAUGAUGAGGGCUUUCAAAAAAGAUCCAUUUUAAAUAAAAAAUUAAGUUUGAAAUUUUGACAAUUUCUGAAACUUACUACGAGCGACCGAUAAAAUCACGAUUUUUGUGCCUUCGACGGACAUAAAAAAUGUACUGAAAUUUUAUCUAUGAAACUUGGUAAGAGUGAGCGAGAAAAUCGCAAGUUUCAGUUGAAAAAUCAUAAGUUUCAACGAUUGAAACUUAAAACUUACCCUCUCUGUUUCUUUUUAGUCUGCAUAUAAAUUUUUCCGAAGUCAAACUUCUUAAAGUUUAAUCAACUAUAUAAGAAAAAAAAUAUAAAAAUUCAAAAUAUGAAAUCAGUAUCUAUAGAUGCAUCAUGAAAUUAAUUUCCAUGCUAUAUAAAUCUUGUAUCAUAAAUGUUGCUAUUUUUUAGAUAAAUUUGGUCAAAUUUUAUGUAGUUUGACUUCAAACAAAUUGUAUACGCAAAGUAAAAAAAACCAAAAGGGAGUACUAUAUCCUCAUGUGAAAUCCAACUACUUCACAAAUCGCGAGACAAUCAAGCGGUUAAACAGGGCUUGACAAGUGCGCCCCCCUGCGAAUUUGUUUUUCAUGUGAUUAGUAUAGAAGGCGCCUUCUCGUGACAUGGAAAUCUUACAGAUACACCUCUUAUCGUGGUAGCGGUAUAAAAAUGCGUCUUGUCAUGACGCGAGAAUUACCAUUAAAACUUUUGUCGCCAUUUAACGAUGUGUUUAUUAUGAUGACCUAACCGUGUUUUCUUUUCGUGAAUAGACCUAACUGGUUUCUUAUCCGGGCUGCGGAUACCGGUGGCGUCGCCGUUAUAGGUAAUUUUUAUUAUGUUUGAGAUGUUUUUUUCAAAACAAAAAAAGUAAUCUGUAUGCAUUUUUUGUGUUUGCAUGCGGGUGGUCGUAUGAAUUUCUUUGUGGCGUGUCAGGCGCUCGUACCAAUGUGCUGAAGGUCGAUGCUCUCUCUGCCUUUCCAUGUCUGGGAGUGGGAUGGCCGUAUGCAUCGUUUUGAUGCAGAGGCCGGAGAGACCCCUUUUCGAAAAAAAAAAGAAAAAAAAUGUCUAGGAGUGGGAAGGAGGAUCGAGGCUUUGGUAUGGGUGAAACCAUGGACACUUGGGUGGGUGUGACCAUGCCAAACAACACCCCAAGCAUUAAUGGACUUCCUUAAAAAGAUGUAUUUUGCUUCCUUUUUUCUUCCGGUAGGCUGUGGGACCCACCGACCAUCCACUGCCACGUCCCUCCACGGUCAAUCCUCGUCAUCCGCUCCUGGCUGACACGUCCACGUACCUGCUGGGCUGCAAGCAUCGCACGGCCAGUGCAGAGCAGCGCCCUCACCAAAAAGGCAAGUCCGUGCUAGAACAACCCCUAGGAAAAAAAAGGCCGAACUGGAUAAUAGUAUCACAUGCGGAGUAAUACAUGCAUUCGCUGUUGCUUGUUAGUGGUGUAUGUGCUGAGGCAUGCUACGUUGAGACUCCGUUUGGCAGCUCACAUCUGUUUAGACAUGUCGGUGGUAGCAACCGGCAUUUUCAAAUAAGUGAACAAUUUAUAAAGACAUGAAAUUUUUCAUUUUUAAAAUUAUAUACUUUUUAAAAUUCUCAAUUUUAAUAAAAAAACUUAAAUAUAUUUUUGAAAUUUUAAUCUUUUUCGAAAUUUAAACUAUUUUUAAUCCAAAAUCCGAACAUUUUUUUGCAAAUUUAGAAAAAAAAACUGAAAUUCUUUUUUUGAAAUCCAAUCAUUUUUUGAAAUUUAAUUUUUUUUUAUAAAAUUAUGAUUUUAAAAUAUAUUUUGGAAUUCUGAAUUGUUUUUGAAAAUUUUGAAGAAUUUUGGAAACCUAGAUUUUUUUUGAAAAUUUUAACAAUUUUUGUAAAUCAGGGCAUUUUUGAAAAUUUGAACAAAUUUUGUAAAUCUGGGCAUUUUAGAAAAUUUGAACAAAUUUUGAAAACCUGAAUAAUAUUUGGUAUUCUGAACAUUUUCUGAGUUUUUUUUAGAAAUUCUGAACAUUUUUUAGAACAAGUUGUUGCUCGCUUCGCUCAUGCAUGCUGACCAGCGAGCGAUUGAUGGGGUGUUCUCUUGAAGGAAAUAUGCCCUAGAGGCAAUAAUAAAAUUAUUAUUUUAUAUUUCCUUAUAUCAUGAUAAAUGUUUAUUAUUCAUGCUAGAAUUGUAUUAACCGGAAACUUGAUACAUGUGUGGAUACAUAGACAAAACACCGUGUCCCUAAUAAGUCUCUACUAUACUAGCUCGUUAAUCAAAGAUGGUUAAGUUUCCUAACCAUCGACAUGUGUUGUCAUUUGACGAAACGGGAUCACAUCAUUAGGAGAAUAAUGUGAUUAACAAGAUCCAUCUGUUAGCUUAGUAUAUUGAUCGUUCAGUUUUAUUGCCAUUGUUUUCUUCGUGUCAUAUACAUAUUCCUUUGACUAUGAGAUUAUGCAACUCCCGGAUAUGGGAGGAAUACCUUGUGUGCUAUCAAACGUCAUAACGUAACUGAGUGAUUAUAUAAAUGCUCUACAGGUAUCUCCGAAGGUAUUUGUUGGGUUGGCAUAGAUCAAGAUUAGGAUUUGUCACUCCGAGUAUCGGAGAGGUAUCUCUGGGCCCUCUCGGUAAUACGCAUCAUAAUAACUGUUGGGGAAUGUAGCAGAAAUUCAAAAUUUUCCUACGUGUCACCAAGAUCUAUCUAUGGAGAAACCAGCAACGAGGGAAGGAGAGUGCAUCUACAUACCCUUGUAGAUCGCUAAGCGGAAGCGUUCAAGAGAACGGGGUUGAAGGAGUCGUACUCGUCGUGAUCCAAAUCACCGGAGAUCCUAGUGCCGAACGGACGGCACCUCCGCGUUUAACACACGUACAGCCCGGUGGCGUCUCCCAUGCCUUGAUCCAGCAAGGAGAGAGGGAGAGGUUGAGGAAGACUCCAUCCAGCAGCAGCACAACGGCGUGGUGGUGAUGGAGGAGCGUGGUGAUCCAGCAGGUCUUCGCCAAGCACUGCGAGAUAUGAGGAGAAAGAGAGGGAUAGGGCUGCGCCAAGAAAGAAAGGAACUCAUAUCCAGGCAGCCCCCCAAGUGCUCAAGUAUAUAUAGGGGAGAGGGAAGGGGUGCGCCCCACCUAGGGUUCCACCUAGGGGCGGCGGCCAGCCCCAAUCCCUGAAGGAAAUAUGCCCUAGAGGCAAUAAUAAAGUUAUUAUUUAUUUCCUUAUAUCAUGAUAAAUGUUUAUUAUUCAUGCUAGAAUUGUAUUAACCGGAAACAUAAUACAUGUGUGAAUACAUAGACAAACAGAGUGUCACUAGUAUGCCUCUACUUGACUAGCUCGUUAAUCAAAGAUGGUUAUGUUUCCUAACCAUAGACAAAGGAGUUGUUAUUUUAUUAACGGGAUCACAUCAUUAGUUGAAUGAUCUGAUUGACAUGACCCAUUCCAUUAGCUUAGCACCCGAUCGUUUAGUAUGUUGCUAUUGCUUUCUUCAUGACUUAUACAUGUUCCUAUGGCUAUGAGAUUAUGCAACUCCCGUUUGCCAGAGGAACACUUUGGGUGCUACCAAACGUCACAACGUAACUGGGUGAUUAUAAAGGAGCAUUACAGGUGUCUCCAAAGGUAGAUGUUGGGUUGGCGUAUUUCGAGAUUAGGAUUUGUCACUCUGAUUGUCGGAGAGGUAUCUCUGGGCCCUCUCGGUAAUGCACAUCACAUAAGCCUUGCAAGCAUUGUAACUAAGAUGUUAGUUGUGAGAUGAUGUAUUACGGAACGAGUAAAGAGACUUGCCAGUAACGAGAUUGAACUAGGUAUUGGAUACCGACGAUCGAAUCUCGGGCAAGUAACAUACCGAUGACAAAGGGAACAACGUAUGUUGUUAUGCGGUCUGACCGAUAAAGAUCUUCGUAGAAUAUGUAGGAGCCAAUAUGGGCAUCCAGGUCCCGCUAUUGGUUAUUGACCGGAGACGUGUCUCGGUCAUGUCUACAUUGUUCUCGAACCGUAGGGUCCGCACGCUUAACGUUACGAUGACAGUUAUUAUGAGUUUAUGCAUUUUGAUGUACCGAAGGUUGUUCGGAGUCCCGGAUGUGAUCACGGACAUGACGAGGAGUCUCGACAUGGUCGAGACAUAAAGAUUGAUAUAUUGGAAGCCUGUGUUUGGACAUCGGGAGUGUUCCGGGUGAAAUUGGGAUUUUACCGGAUUACCGGGAGGUUACCGGAACCCCCCGGGAGCCAUAUGGGCCUUAUUGGGCUUUAGUGGAAAGGUGAAAGGGGCUGCCCAUAGUGGGCAGCGCGCCUCCCCCCUCCCCUAGUCCUAUUAGGACUAGGAGAGGUGGCCGGCCACCUCUCUCUCUCUUUCCCCCUUGGGAGUCCUAUUAGGAAUAGGAUUGGGGGGGGGGGGGGUCCUACUCCCGGUAGGAGUAGGACUCCUCCUGCGCCUCCAUAGGCUUGGCCGGCCAGCCCUCCCCCUUGGAUCCUUUAUAUACGGGGGCAGGGGGCACCUCUAGACACACAAGUUGAUCCUUGGUGAUCGUUCCUUAGCCGUGUGCGGUGCCCCCUGCCACCAAAUUCCACCUCGAUCAUAUUGUUGCAGUGCUUAGGCGAAGUCCUGCGGCAGUAGUACAUCAAGAUCGUCACCACGCCGUCGUGCCGACGGAACUCUUCCUCGACGCUUUGCUGGAUCGAAGCCCGAGGAUCGUCAUCGAGCUGAACGUGUGCUAAGAACUCGGAGGUGCCGGAGUAACGGUGCUUGGAUCGGUCGGAUCGGGAAGAAGACGUACGACUACUUCCUCUACGUUGUGUCAACGCUUCCGUUGAGAUCUACAAGGGUACGUAGAUCAGACUCUCCCCCUCGUUGCUAUGCAUCACCAUGAUCUUGCGUAUGCGUAGGAAAUUUUUUGAAUUACUACGUUCCCCAACAAUGGCAUCCGAGCCUAGGUUUUAUGGUUUGAUGUUAUUUGCACGAGUAGAACACAAGUGAGUUGUGGGUGAUACAAGUCAUACUGCCUACCAGCAUGUCAUACUUUGGUUCGGCGGUAUUGUUGGACGAGACGACCCGGACCAACCUUACGCGUACGCUUACGCGAGACCGGUUCCCUCGACGUGCUUUGCACAUAGAUGGCUUGCGGGCGACUGUCUCUUCAACUUUAGUUGAACCGAGUAUGGCUACGCCCGGUCCUUGAGAAGGUUAAAAUGGAGUCUAUUUGACAAACUAUCGUUGUGGUUUUGAUGCGUAGGUAAGAUUGGUUCUUGCUAAGCCCGUAGCAGCCACGUAAAAUUUGCAACAACAAAGUAGAGGACGUCUAACUUGUUUUUGCAGGGCAUGUUGUGAUGUGAUAUGGUCAAAACGUGAUGAGAUAUAAGUUGUUGUAUGAGAUGAUCAUGUUUUGUGGAAGUUAUCGGCAACUGGCAAAUGCCUUAUGGUCGUCUCUCUAUUGCAUGAGAUGCAAGCGUCCAAUAAUUGCUUUACUUUAUCGCUAGAAAUAGUUGCAAGAGCAAUUAUUGGCGAGACAACCACGUGACGACACAUUGAUAUAGAUCAAGAUGAUGGAGAUCAUGGUGUCAUGCCGGUGACGAUAUAGAUCAUGACAGUACUUUGGAGAUGGAGAUCAAAGAAGCAAGAUGAUGAUGGCCAUAUCAUGUCAUAUAUUUUGAUUGCAUAUGAUGUUCAUCUUUUAUGCAUCUUAUCUUGCUUUGAUUGACGGUAGCAUUAUAAGAUGAUCUCUCACUAAAUUAUCAAGAAGUGUUCUCCCUGAGUAUGCACCGUUGCCAAAGUUCGUCGUGCCCAGACACCAAGUGAUGAUCGGGUGUGAUAAGCUCUACGUCCAUCUACAACGGGUGCAAGCCAGUUUUGCACAGGCAGAAUACUCAGGUUAAACUUGACGAGCCUAGCAUAUGCAGAUAUGGCCUCGGAACACGGAGACCGAAAGGUCGAGCGUGAAUCAUAUAGUAGAUAUGAUCAACAUAACGAUGUUCACCAUUGAAAACUACUCCAUCUCACGUGAUGAUCGGUUAUGGUUUAGUUGAUUUGGAUCACGUGAUCACUUAGAGGAUUAGAGGGAUAUCUAUCUAAGUGGGAGUUCUUAAGUAAUAUGAUUAAUUGAACUUAAAUUUAUCAUGAACUUAGUCCUGGUAGUAUUUUGCAAAUUAUGUUGUAGAUCAAUAGCUCGCGUUGUUGCUUCCCUGUGUUUAUUUUGAUAUGUUCCUAGAGAAAAUUGUGUUGAAAGAUGUUAGUAGCAAUGAUGCGGAUUGGAUCCGUGAUCUGAGGUUUAUCCUCAUUGCUGCGCAGAAGAAUUAUGUCCUUGAUGCACCGCUAGGUGACAGACCUAUUGCAGGAGCAUAUGCAGACGUUAUGAACGUUUGGCUAGCUCAAUAUGAUGACUACUUGAUAGUUUAAGUGCACCAUGCUUAACGGCUUAGAAUCGGGACUUCAAAGACGUUUUGAACGUCAUGGACCAUAUGAGAUGUUCCAGGAGUUGAAGUUAAUAUUUCAAGCAAAUACCCGAGUUGAGAGAUAUGAAGUCUCCAACAAGUUCUAUAGCUAAAAGAUGGAGGAGAAUCGCUCAACUAGUGAGCAUGUGCUCAGAUUGUCUGGGUACUACAAUCGCUUGAAUCAAGUGGGAGUUAAUCUUCCAGAUAAGAUAGUGAUUGACAGAAUUCUCUAGUCACCAUCACCAAGUUAGUAGAACUUCGUGAUGAACUAUAAUAUGCAAGGGAUAACAGAAACAACUCCCAAGCUCUUCGUGAUGUUGAAAUCAACGAAGGUAGAAAUCAAGAAAAACAUCAAGUGUUGAUGGUGGACAAGAUCACUAGUUUCAAGGAAAGGGUAGAGGGAAGAAGGGGAACUUCAAGAAGAACAUCAAGCAAGUUGCUGCUCAAGUGAAGAAGCCCAAGUCUGGUCCUAAGCCUGAGACUAAGUGCUUAUACUGCAAAGGGACUGGUCACUGGAAGUGGAACUACCCCAAGUGAUUGGCGGAUAAGAAGGAUGGCAAAGUGAACAUAAGUAUAUUUGAUAUACAUGUUAUUGAUGUGUACUUUACUAGUGUUUAUAGCAACCCCUCAGUAUUUGAUGCUAGUUCAGUUGCUAAGAGUAGUAACUCGAAACGGGAGUUGCAGAAUGAACAGAGACUAGUUAAGGGUGAAGUGACGAUGUGUGUUGGAAAUAGUUCUAAGAUUGAUAUGAUCAUCAUCGCGCACUCCCUAUACUUUCGGGAUUAGUGUUGAACCUAAAUAAGUGUUAUUUGGUUUUUGCGUUGAGCAUGAAUAUGAUUUGAUCAUGUUUAUUGCAAUACGGUUAUUCAUUAAAGUCAGAGAAUAAUUGUUGUUCUGUUUACAUGAAUAAAACCUUCGAUGGUCAUACACCCAAUGAAACAAGUUCGUUGGAUCUCGAUCGUAGUAAUACACAUAUUCAUAAUAUUGAAACCAAAAGAUGCAAAGUUAAUAAUGAUAGUGCAACUUAUUUGUGGCACUGCCGUUUAGGUCAUAUUGGUGUAAAGCGCAUGAAGAAACUCCAUGCUGAUGGGAUUUUGGAAUCACUUGAUUAUGAAUCACUUGAUGCUUGCGAACCAUGCCUUAUGGGCAAGAUGACUAAAACACCGUUCUCCGGAACAAUGAAGCAAGCAACAGAUUUGUUGGAAAUCAUACAUACUGAUGUAUGUGGUCCGAUGAAUAUUAAGGCUUACAGCAGGUAUCAUUAUUUUCUGACCUUCACAAGAUGAUUUGAGCAGAUAUGGGGAUAUCUACUUGAUGAAACAUAAGUCUGAAACACUUGAACAGUUCAAAGAAUUUCAGAGUGAAGUGGAAAAUCAUCGUGACAGGAAAAUGAAAGUUUCUACGAUAUGAUCGCAGAGGUAAAAUAUUUGAGUUACGAGUUUGGUCUUCAGUUAAAACAAUGUGAAAUAGUUUUACUACUCACGCCACCUAGAACACCACAAUGCAAUGGUGUGUCCGAACGUCAUAACCGUACUUUAUUAGAUAUGGUGCGAUCUAUGAUGUCUCUUACCGGUCUAUCACUAUCGUAUUGGGGUUAUGCAUUAGAGACAGCUGCAUUCACGUUAAAUAGGGCACCAUCUAAAUCCGUUGAGACGACACCAUAUGAACUAUGGUUUGAUAAGAAACCUAAGCUGUCGUUUCUUAAAGUUUGAGGUUGCAAUGCUUAUGUGAAAAAGUUUCAACCUGAUAAGCUCAAACCCAAAUCGGAGAAAUGUGUCUUCAUAGGAUAUCCAAAGGAAACUAUUGGAUACACCUUCUAUCACAAGACCGAAGGCAAGACUUUUGUUGCUAAAUUUGGAAACUUUCUAGAGAAGGAGUUUUCUCUCGAAAGAAGUGAGUGGGAGGAAAGUAGAACUUGAUGAGGUAACUGUACCUGCUCCCUUAUUGGAAAGUAGUUCAUCACAAAGAUUUGUUCUUGUGACUACUACACCAAUUAGUGAGGAAGCCAAUGAUGAUGAUCAUGUAACUUCAGAUCAAGUUACUACCGAAUCUCGUAGGUAAACAAGAGUGAGAUCUGCACCAGAGUGGCACGGUAAUCCUGUUCUGGAAGUCAUGUUACUAGACCAUGACGAACCUACGAACUAUGAGGGAGCGAUGAUGAGCCCAGAUUCCGCGAAAUGGUUUGAGGCCAUGAAAUCUGAGAUAUGAUCCAUGUAUGAGAACAAAGUUUGGACUUUGGUUGACUUGCCCGAUGAUCGGCAAGCAAUUGAGAAUAAAUGGAUCUUCAAGAGGUAGACGGACGCUGAUAGUAGGGUUACUAUCUACAAAGCUAGAAUUGUCGCAAAAGGUUUUCGACAAGUUCAAGGUGUUGACUACGAUGAGAGUUUAUCACUCGUAUCUAUGCUUGAGUCUGUCCAAAUCAUGUUAGUAAUUGCCGCAUUUUAUGAAAUCUGGCAAAUGGAUAAACAAAACUGCAUUCCUUAAUGGAUUUAUUAAAGAAAGAGUUGUAUAUGAUGCAACCAGAAGGUUUUGUCAAUCCUAAAGGUGCUAACAAAAUGUGCAAGCUCCAGCGAUCUAUCUGUGGACUGGUGCAAGCAUCUCGGAGUUGGAAUAUACGCUUUGAUGAGCGGAUCAAAGCAUAUAGUUUUAUACAGACUUGCGGUGAAGCCUGUAUUUACAAGAAAGUGAGUGGGAGCACUACAACAUUUCUGAUAAGUAUAUGUGAAUGACAUAUUGUUGAUCGGAAAUAAUGUAGAAUUAUUCUGUAAAGCAUAAAGGAGUGUUUGAAAGGAUUUUUUCAAAGAAAGACUUCGGUGAAGCUGCUUACAUAUUGAGCUCCAAGAUCUAUAGAGAUAGAUCAAGACGCUUGAUAAGUUUUUUCAAUGAGUACAUACCUUGACAAGAUUUUGAAGUAGUUCAAAAUGGAGCAGUUAAAGAAAGAGUUCUUGCCUAUAUUACAAGGUGUGAAGUUGAGUAAGACUCAAAGCCCGACCACGGCAGAAGAUAGAAAGAGAAUGAAAGUCAUUCCCUAUGCCUUGGCCAUAGGUUCUAUAAAGUAUGUCAUGCUGUGUAUCAGAUCUAUUGUAUACCCUAUGUUAAUCAAGGGAGUACAAUAGUGAUCUAGGAGUAGAUCAAUGGACAGCGGUCAAAAUUAUCCUUACUGAAAUAAGGAUAUGUUUCUCGAUUAUGGACGUGACAAAAGGUUCGUCGUAAAGGGUUACAUCGAUGCAAGUUUUGACACUGAUCCAGAUGAUUCUAAGUCUCAAUCUGGAUACAUAUUGAAAGUGGGAGCAAUUAGCUAGAGUAGCUCCGUGUAGAGCAUUGUAGACAUAGAACUUGCAAAAUACUUACGGAUCUGAAUGUGAUAGACCCGUUGACUAAAAUUAUCUCACAAGCAAAACAUGAUCACACCUUAGUACUCUUUGGGUGUUAAUCACAUAGAUAUGUGAACUAGAUUACUGACUCUAGUAAACCCUUUGAGUGUUGGUCACAUGACGAUGUGAACUAUGGGUGUUAAUCACAUGGUGAUGUGAACUAUUGCUGUUAAAUCACAUGGCGAUGUGAACUAGAUUAUUGACUCUAGUGCAAGUGGGAGACUGAAGGAAAUAUGCCCUAGAGGCAAUAAUAAAGUUAUUAUUUAUUUCCUUAUAUCAUGAUAAAUGUUUAUUAUUCAUGCUAGAAUUGUAUUAACCGGAAACAUAAUACAUGUGUGAAUACAUAGACAAACAGAGUGUCACUAGUAUGCCUCUACUUGACUAGCUCGUUAAUCAAAGAUGGUUAUGUUUCCUAACCAUAGACAAAGGAGUUGUUAUUUUAUUAACGGGAUCACAUCAUUAGUUGAAUGAUCUGAUUGACAUGACCCAUUCCAUUAGCUUAGCACCCGAUCGUUUAGUAUGUUGCUAUUGCUUUCUUCAUGACUUAUACAUGUUCCUAUGACUAUGAGAUUAUGCAACUCCCGUUUGCCAGAGGAACACUUUGGGUGCUACCAAAUGUCACAACGUAACUGGGUGAUUAUAAAGGAGCAUUACAGGUGUCUCCAAAGAUAGAUGUUGGGUUGGCGUAUUUCGAGAUUAGGAUUUGUCACUCCGAUUGUCGGAGAGGUAUCUCUGGGCCCUCUCGGUAAUGCACAUCACAUAAGCCUUGCAAGCAUUGUAACUAAGAUGUUAGUUGUGAGAUGAUGUAUUACGGAAUGAGUAAAGAGACUUGCCAGUAACGAGAUUGAACUAGGUAUUGGAUACCGACGAUCGAAUCUCGGGCAAGUAACAUACCGAUGACAAAGGGAACAACGUAUGUUGUUAUGCGGUCUGACCGAUAAAGAUCUUCGUACAAUAUGUAGGAGCCAAUCUGGGCAUCCAGGUCCCGCUAUUGGUUAUUGACCGGAGACGUGUCUCGGUCAUGUCUACAUUGUUCUUGAACCAUAGGGUCCGCACGCUUAACGUUACGAUGACAGUUAUUAUGAGUUUAUGCAUUUUGAUGUACCGAAGGUUGUUCGGAGUCCAGGAUGUGAUCACGGACAUGACAAGGAGUCUCGAAAUGGUCGAGACAUAAAGAUUGAUAUAUUGGAAGCCUAUGUUUGGACAUCGGAAGUGUUCCGGGUGAAAUCGGGAUUUUACCGGAUUACCGGGAGGUUACCGGAACCCCCCGGGAGCCAUAUGGGCCUUAUUGGGCUUUAGUGGAAAGGUGAAAGGGGCUGCCCAUAGUGGGCUGCGUGCCUCCCCCCUCCCCUAGUCCUAUUAGGACUAGGAGAGGUGGCCGGCCACCUCUCUCUCUCUUUCCCCCUUGGGAGUCCUAUUAGGAAUAGGAUUGGGGGGGGGGAGUCCUACUCCCGGUAGGAGUAGGACUCCUCCUGCGCCUCCAUAGGCUUGGCCGGCCAGCCCUCCCCCUUGGAUCCUUUAUAUACGGGGGCAGGGGGCACCUCUAGACACACAAGUUGAUCCUUGGUGAUCGUUCCUUAGCCGUGUGCGGUGCCCCCUGACACCAAAUUCCACCUCGAUCAUAUUGUUGCAGUGCUUAGGCGAAGCCCUGCGGCGGUAGUACAUCAAGAUCGUCACCACGCCGUCGUGCUGACGGAACUCUUCCUCGACGCUUUGCUGGAUCGGAGCCCGAGGUUUGUCAUCGAGCUGAACGUGUGCUAAGAACUCGGAGGUGCCGGAGUAACGGUGCUUGGAUCGGUCGGAUCGGGAAGAAGACGUACGACUACUUCCUCUACGUUGUGUCAACGCUUCCGUUGAGAUCUACAAGGGUACGUAGAUCAGACUCUCCCCCUCGUUGCUAUGCAUCACCAUGAUCUUGCGUGUGCGUAGGAUUUUUUUUUGAAAUUACUACGUUCCCCAACAAUCCCAUCUAUGGGUGGCGGCCAAGUGGAGGGGAGAGGGGGAGGCGCACCAGGGUGGGCCUUAGGGCCCACCUGCCCUAGGGUUUGCCCCCUUCCCCUCUUCCUUGCGCCUUGGGCUUUGUGGGAGGCGCACCAGCCCACUCAGGGGCUGGUCCCUUUCCACUCUUGGCCCAUGCAAGCCUCCGGGGCUUGUGGCCCCACUUGGUGGACCCCCGGGACCCUCCCGGUGGUCCCGGUACGUUACCGAUAAAACCCAAAACCUUUCCGGUGACCAAAACAGGACUUCCCAUAUAUAAAUCUUUACCUUCGGACCAUUCCGGAACUCCUCGUGACGUCCGGGAUCUCAUCCGGGACUCCGAACAACAUUCGGUAACCACAUACAAACUUCCUUUAUAACCCUAGCGUCAUCGAACCUUAAGUGUGUAGACCCUACGGGUUCGGGAACCAUGCAGACAUGACCGAGACGUUCUCUGGUCAAUAACCAACAGCAGGAUCUGGAUACCCAUGUUGGCUCCCACAUGCUCCACGAUGAUCUCAUUGGAUGAACCACGAUGUCAAGGACUUAAUCAAUCCUGUAUACAAUUCCCUUUGUCUAUCGGUACGAUACUUGCCCGAGAUUCGAUCGUCGGUAUCCCGAUACCUUGUUCAAUCUCGUUACCGGCAAGUCUCUUUACUCGUUCCGUAACACAUCAUCCCGUGAUCAACUCCUUGGUCACAUUGUGCACAUUAUGAUGAUGUCCUAUCGAGUGGGCCCAGAGAUACCUCUCCGUUUACACGGAGUGACAAAUCCCAGUCUCGAUCCGUGCCAACCCAACAGACACUUUCGGAGAUACCUGUAGUGUACCUUUAUAGCCACCCAGUUACGUUGUGACGUUUGGCACAUCCAAAGCACUCCUACGGUAUCCGGGAGUUGCACAAUCUCAUGGUCUAAGGAAAUGAUACUUGACAUUAGAAAAGCUUUAGCAUACGAACUACAUGAUCUUGUGCUAGGCUUAGGAUUGGGUCUUAUCCAUCACAUCAUUCUCCUAAUGAUGUGAUCCCGUUAUCAAUGACAUCCAAUGUCCAUGGUCAGGAAACUGUAACCAUCUAUUGAUCAACGAGCUAGUCAACUAGAGGCUUACUAGGGACAUGGUGUUGUCUAUGUAUCCACACAUGUAUCUGAGUUUCCUAUCAAUACAAUUCUAGCAUGGAUAAUAAAUGAUUAUCAUGAAUAAGGAAAUAUAAUAAUAAUCAAUUUAUUAUUGCCUCUAGGGCAUAUUUCCAACAGUCUCCCACUUGCACUAGAGUCAAUAAUCCAGUUCACAUCGAUAUGUGAUUAACACUCAAGGUCACAUCCCCAUGUGACUAACACCCAAAGAGUUAACUAGAGUCAAUAAUCUAGUUCACAUUACCAUGUGAUUUACACUCAAUAAGUUCUGGGUUUGAUCAUGUUAUGCUUGUGAGAGAUGUUAUAGUCAACGGGUCUGAAUCUUUCAGAUCCAUGUGUGCUUUACAAAUCUCUAUGUCAUCUCCUAGAUGCAGCUACCACGUUCUAUUUGGAGCUAUUCCAAAUAACUGUUCUACUAUACGAAUCCAGUCUACUACUCAGAAUAAUCUGGAUUAGUGUCAAAGUUUGCAUCGGCGUAACCCUUUACGACGAACUCUUUUACCACCUCCAUAAUCGAGAAAAUUCCUUAGUCCACUAGUUACUAAGGAUAACUUUGACCGCUGUCCUGUGAUCCAUUCUUGGAUCACUCUUGUACCCCUUGACUGACUCAUGGCAAGGCACACUUCAGGGGUGUCGAAGUCCUACGUGGUUGCUAUCUGGACUACCCCCCCCCCACACACACACUUGCUUCCACUUUGUGGGAAAAAGUGUGUCUGAACCGCUCGACAGACUGAUACAUACCCGCAUGGAUGGCACAAUACAUGCGGACCACGCGGUCUGAAUGUAUGUGAGCGGUUUGAGGGUUAACAUUGGAGAUGGCCCUUAAUCCUGAGCUUUGUCGAAUGAGUUUUAGUUUAUUAUUUGGAUAACCAACGAACAUUACCUGGAAGAGGGUGGCAAAUCAAACCUUUUUAUGACAACUUAUCUUAUUCGAUCAUGCCAAAUUUAUUUAGCAAGUAUCCACUUAGUUUAGUUUUUUGCCAAGAUUUGUCGUGCUUGCUGAAAGAAUUUGUCCCCGUGACCACAUAAUUUGCCAUAAAAAGGUUCGAUUUGCCAUGCUCUCCUAGAGAAUGCCAGCACAAUAAUAGUGUUUUUGUUUUUUAAAGCUGUUAUCGGCAAAACCCAGGCUGUGUGAGAUACAACUCAGUGGCUACGACUGCAGUAUGUAGCGUUGAAACAAAAAGAGGAGAAUCAUAAAGGUGGUACGACAAGCAUCCAACAUUAAAAUUUUAGCACCCAUUACCAUUAGGCAUGCCGAUAAAAGUAGGAGCUAGUUUGCUGGAGCAGUUGAAAGGAGGUACACCACUAAGAAGACGUAGAGAAGAGGCCGCCACCUGCAAUGCAAUUACUCCGCACCUUGAAAAGCUCGGUGAGUCACAACCAUUGUCGAAGAUCAUCCACUAUCCAGGCACGUAGCACGCGAGAGAGAACCACGUACCGUGCCAAAGGGCAAUGUUAGGUCGAGAUAGCUCCUACACGUCCUCUAGGUCCCACGACCACCAUCGAAAAUAGAAAGAACAAAGGCAUUAUGCGAGGCUAUAAAAUCGCAGGCGUUGUCGAAGGGCACCGAACACCGAGAUCACACAACCGCCACGAGCGUCCAAGACAUAGAUCAACCAUCUGCGCCAGGAUGACAAAGGUAUUGGAUGACGCCACACACCACUUCUACUACCACCACGCUACACACCGACAACCCAACAAACAAUCCAACCUAGACAUCAAGCAAACAACAAAGAUCAACGGCACCAAAAACAAUGCCCCCAAGUGGAUAAACAACAUGAGACAUCGUCAUUAUCCGAUCCAGAAAAGGAUAUGAGCCUUUCCUGUGGGGCACACGAGUUAGCAAGCCAUGGUAGCUCCUCAAUGACGUCUUCAAUAAGAGAAACGAUGCCCAAAGGUGUCGCUGUCAUCAUUGCCAACGAAAUUAAGACCUGGCUUUUGCUUUAAGCACACCAUCCCGGUAAUCUCUGUGGACACCGCCUGCCUAGUCAGUAGCGUGAGACCUCCCCACCCUCCUUCGAGUUCGUGGCGAGCUUGUGUCUAUUUGAGCACACCCAGAGCUACACCCUCUGGUGUUUACCAUGGCCGUGUUUUUACCGCAAAUUUCGCACGUAGUAAUAAUAAACCGAUAAUCACCGUCAAGUUACAUGGGUUAAUUUGUUUAAUCAUCAAGGUGUUUAUAGUUAACACGAGGAUGGGGGGGGGGGGCGGUGCCCGUUGUUAGGCUGGAAUGUGUGCCCUCCAUCUUUGAUCCAAAUUUUGCCAUCUCCAAAUAUUUUUGAUAUCAUUUUUCUAUGAUUUCCUAUAUGAGAACUCGGUAAGAAAAACUGUUUGAAAAAGGGAACAAGAUGCUCAAAAAACGAAAAACCGUUACUGGCACACAUUUUCAACUGCCUAAGUUUGGCUUUAAGGAUCUGGCGCCCAUGUCUAGGGGUCUUGUUUCGAAGCAAAUGUAUUUGUGAGGCCCGGUCCGGUCAUCCAUCAAGAUAUUUCAGACAUAUUGGUAACAUAUCGCGGUUGCUCAUUUAGAGGCCGAUCUUCAUGCGUCCGUUGCCACUCGAAACUAUGGCAUAUAAUAAAUGCUCAUGUAAUGCCUCUUAACCAUGGGAUUGCUAUCAGAGGUGCCUCGCUUGAUGCAAAACUCUGCUCAUACUUUAGUAUUGUUUGAUGGUGUUUUAUCAUGUUGACAUGGCUUGGUCUUGGUUCCGAUACCGCUCUAAAUAACUGGAUAUUGAUGGCGUUGGUAACAUGACGAGUAGGAAUUCGAAGGUGAAUACCAACAAUGUCACUGAUACAAAAGCGAGACAAAUCAUGUCGUGCUGCGAACCCGAUAUUUCAUUCCUUAUCAUCCUAACCACCACGGUGAUCGAUGAGAUCCUUCAUGGAAGAAAUUGCAUUCGUGCAAAUGGUUGAUCGUCCGGACCUCUUUUUUCUAUUUUAUAAAAGGGCGUUUUGGACCUCUUGUUUUACUGAUGAAUAUUUGCACAUAUUUCUUGUUUACAUAGGACGCUCGUAUCAUAUGAAUGUCUUCCUGGCAUGUAUAGUGCUGGUCCUAGGGGAUUCUUCUUUCGAAGCGAACACGCACGCAGAGAUGAUCCACUCAUAAAUCCUGAUAUUCGGCAAACAUAUGCGCAGGGAUGAUCCGCUCAUAAAUCCUGAUAUUCGACCUUCAAGCUAAGAAACCGGUCUAUAGGUUGGUCGUUUCAUAUCAAACUCUUGUUUCAUGGACGCUCUGCAACGCCUCCUGUCUUUAGCAUCGGUAUAAAAGGCGCUUUGUCAUGAUGCGGGAAUCCCGUUGACACACCUCUUAUCCAUGGGAUUGAUAUAAAAGACGCCUUGUCGUGACGUGAAAAUCCCAUGAAUUCUUCUGGUAUUGUUUAACGUUGUGUUUAUUAUGUUGAGUUGACGUACCUAACCGGUAUGAAACCGGCCGCGGAUGCCGGCGACGUCAUUUAUAUAGGGCGGCACAAAUUCAGCCGUGUUUUAAAACCAUUUCCUUUUCUUUGUUAUCAUCACGCACGCGGCGGUUUUAAAACCAGGUGUGGAUACCGACGAUGUCAUUGAUAUAGGCAACACAAAUUCAGCCGCGUUUUAAAACCAUUUCCUUUUCUUUCCUUAUCAUCACGUACCCAAGUAAUUUUGUAUGGUCCUUGGGGGCGAAAAUCGUAUUCGCAUAAGCUCGCCGGAAACUGUUCGUUUGAAUGAACCUCUUCUUUUGCACGUGAGAUAAAUAUAUCUGCACAAAUUUCUUGUGUUUGCAUGUGGUACUCGUAUGAAUUUGAAUUUGUUUCUGGCGUGUCUGUCAGGGUGCUCGUCUUUUGCACAGCCAGAUAGAGAGCAGGUGAAAACUGCAGUUUGGCUAAGAAAUUUCCCUAAGGAAAUUGCCAUAGCCAUGAACACCGAUUGUAUCUCUAUUGCUAGCUAAUAUACUCACUCUUUCCUCGCAAAAAAGAAAAAAAGGGUGCUGGUCUUUCCGGCCCAAACAGUGACAUGAAGACAAGCGCUAGUGCCAAUGAUGCUGAAGAUCGAGACAGAUGCUCUGCUCUGUUUAGGCCUGGGGAAGGAUCGAGGUUGUGGUGGUAUGGGUGAAACGUGAAAGUAAGUAGUACGAGUAGGAUGGACCGCAUGCAAGCACUCGAAGGCAUCAAUGGGUUUUUUUUUGAAACCGUACACUCGAAGGCAUCAAUGGGCCGCAUGCAAGCACCGCACGGGCCACACAGGACAGAGCCCACCGGAAAAGGCAAGGCCGAUGAGCUGCCUGAGACAGGCCUUUUUUUGAAUGAAAUGAAAGGGGUUUCCCCCCCUGCCCCAAUUUUAUAGAUUGAAGCAGAAAAAGCCGUCACAACCAGUUCCAACAAGGCCUAAACAGAGAAUAAAGCAACAUCCUAGGGGACUACGCUGCCUAGAGCUCGAGAACAGGCCUUCCUGAAAAGAAAAAGGGACCCGAGGCCUUUCUUGGAUGAGUUUUUUCCUUCUUUUCCGAGAGACAUUUUUUGACGAGUUUUGAAAGAGUAAAAUCUGAGUAGCGAGCUCAAAAAACAAAGUGGAAGGAAAAAGGGCGGCACCAAGCUAAUCAAGAUUGCCAAUGCCAGCCCAGCCAUCCAUUUUAUUCCUCCUGGAAUCAUGCAUGCAAAGGUGAAAGCAGGACACCAAAUGAUUGGUUGCACUUUGUUUGGUUACAUCACGCAAAAGGACUCUCGUGCUCCCUCCCCCGUGUAGCCUCCCAAAGUGCACAUCUUUCUCUUGCGGGGGCUUCCAAAGUGUACGUAUAGGUACAGCAGUGUGAACUCCCAAGUAGAGACACGUACAUGUUCACAUCUCAUGAACUCGCCGGCCCACGAGCUUCAUCAGGUGCUUGGCUCGGGUGCCACCCGUGCUUGUCCGACAACUGGCAAAAACAACACAUAUCAAUCUGUACUUCCUACCAAAAGAUGGCUCCAAUAAUAUGCGUGGUAGGCCAACUAUAGAACAAUCCAACAUGAACCGCUUGUUUCUCUUGUAAGAUUCUAGCAUCCUUGUCGAGUCCAUCAUGCGAGCCUCGGCACGGGGUAUGGAAUGAGAUGUUUAGGGCCCAAUAUGUGUUGGUUCUUGGGUGCAGAGAGAGAGAGACAAAGCCAGGGCAUCUCCAACGGCGGUCCGCAAAUUUCCUCCUGCAUCCAUCCUCGGACAGGGGACUUAGUCCACGGACAUAGACACGGGAGGUCGCAAUACAACCGUAGCCGCAUACAUUGCAAACUCUUUUUCGACAAACCGGAUGAAAUUCAUGUAAACUCGGCUGGAUUUUAUAUAAACUUGACGGAUUUCAUACAAACUGGACGAAACGGUUACAUUUUGGACAAAUUUUGAACUAAAAACGUAAGACUAUGUGCACGUACGGUCGCACGCAGCUCCACUCCCACGAUACGGUUACACUAGUCCACGGCUGCCUGCGGCGGAUCCCUUUGUCUUCCCCAUGUCCGGCAGUCCGCUAAUCGGACUGCCAGGUCCCGGAGGCAUAUUCUUCCCCCGUAUCUUCAUUGUGUCCAGCUGCGCUGCUCAUCGGAGUGGCAAAGAGGGUGCUUCUGUGGAGUUCAGACAGGUGCCCACGAUGGUCUAGAUAAAGAAGAACCGGACAGGUCACUGGUGGUGGCCUUUCUAGGACCCAAGCGUCAGCGGUCUCCCGUGUUCUACUUCUCCUCGAUGAUGACGACAGGCGUGGACGUGCUUGCUGCCACCUCGUCGACAUCCGCGUAGCCGGCUUCUCUACCUGCAGGGCGCGGCGCGCGUCGACAACGGAUGGCGCGGUCGCAGGCACUGAAGGCGCGGUACGGCGCGGCGGUGCCUGUGCCGCCAUGCUCCCCGUUGUGUUGGCUGGAGCAACUCACCACUGCUCCGCAAGCUGGCUUGGAGCACCGAGUUGCUGAACCAUGCGCUGGCUUGGGGCGGCAACUUGCUUCGUCGGCCUAGCCGAGGGAGGUGGAGCAGUGAGCUGCCUCGCUCGCAUUCGCCGGGCACGGUGGGCCACCCAUCAGACUUUUAUGAUGGAGAACUGGUCUUCCUGCUCGUUGGAUGCCUCAAAAGAGUGGAGAAAAUAGUGGAAGGAGGAUAUGGGGAGCAGCGAAGUGGUGCGAUUCUUGCCUGGUGUCUGACCUUGUUUAAAUAGAGAACAGAUGGGAGGAGCUUGUCCGGCGUUGCGUUUAAUGCCGACCCGCUCGUGAAUAGACGUUUAGACGAAGUAGGUUUCUUUGCUUCCACGCGGGUUUAAUGCCAACAUUUGAAUGCGGCGAGGAGGCAUGUUCAGCCAGGUGUGCAAUGGUCGGUGCCCUCAGCCGAUACGCCGCUUCAAUGACGGAGGCAAUGAGAGGUCGCGUCCGCCCUAAGCUGCCGUCAAUGUGAAGCGACGCACUCUACAACACCAUGAAUGUGGGCAGCUGGUGACGGGCGGGAAGCGCGCGCGGGAGAAGGGAGGGUUUUUUGAUGGGCAUGGCAGUCAGAAACGGGCGUGAUGGCGGUCCGGGCUCCCGCAAUCUUCCCCCACAUUUGUCUCCGGUUUGCGGGAGGAAACACGUUUGGACGGCGCUGUGGACCGAGACAAUGCCGUCUUGGUUGAAUUCCAUGGUCCGGACAACACGGUCUGAAUGGUUGCGGCAGGUUUGCGGGUUCAUUUUGAAGAUGACCUUAUAUAUGACAGGACACAACCGGUGUACAAGUUGCUAGACCAUGUUUAUAAACAGCCAAUAUAUUUACCGCAACAAUGUGAUGAACUAAUACUGUCUACAAUGAAAGUAACAUAAGUAGUAACAUCAUACAUAUCUAGAUAAAAUAGAUGAUGUGGCAAGUAAUAAAUGAAGAAAGAGAGGAAAGUGGUAACAUAGCUAGUUACUAGUAGUAGUAGUAGUAACAUCACACAUAUCAAGGCAAGAUGUGUCUAUAGCCUAAUAAAUGAAGGGUUGCAUAUUACCACACAAAUGUUACUCCCCACUAUAGAGAUAGUAACAUAGACUAGUAAAUGUCGAUGUUAGUACUUUAUGUUACUAUCCAUUGUGACUAGUCUAAUAAGCAGAAACACAGCGGUCUAUAUAUACUCCCUUCAUUCUAAACUAAAUGUCUCAACUUUGUAUUAACUCAUUCACCAGCCUCAGUGUAGUUCUAUCAGGUGCGCCACCGGCCUGGAUCACACGGACCAAGGGUAAUCUCCCACCCGUGUGUCCCAAUCACACCAAAAGACAUACAUGCCUUUUCUUUUUGCGGGAUAGCAAAAGACAUACUACUUGAUAUAAUUCCUUUAUUUUUUCCCGGAAUUUCAGAAAAGAGAAAGUUCCUUGUUAUUUUUAUUCAUACACUAGACAAGUAGGACAUCAGGCUAAGGUCUUAUGAUGAGCCACGCGCAUAUGAGGACGGAGAUGAGACUAGUUAUUCUUUGUCUACGGAAAAUCUAGAUUCUCACACUGCAAGUCAUUUUUAAAACUAGUGUAGUGUCAAAAGGCGUCUUACGUUACAAGAUGGAGGGGAGUAAUAGAUAGCCUGAAUUGUUCGGUACGAAUUUGACAGUGCCUAAAAAUCUCUCAGUUUUUUUCCUUCUCGGUCGGCCGGCCGCGAUGGUUGAUGAAGGUGCUCGUGUGAGUUUCUUUUCCGGUAUGUCUAGUGCUCGUUCCAGCCCAGUGGCGCGGAGACGAGACGCUACCUGGACAUGUCUCUGAGAAUUAAGAUGGAGACAGAUGCUCUAGACGAGAUGCUAGCUCUACAAGGACGGAGAUAGAUGAGAUGCUCUAUCCACGUCUGGGAGGGAGGAUCGAGGUUGUGGGACCCACUGGCCAUCCAAUGCAACAUCUCUCCACCGGCCAUCGAGGUUGUGAGACUUACUCGACUGACGUGACCAUAAUAGCUCUAACCUUAUAAGAGAUAUGUGGUCGUGCUAUUUAUUGCAUAGUUCCAUCUAUUGUACCACUUAGUUUUUUUGACUUAUUUGAAUAAAAAAAGUGAAUUAAAAAACAUUCAUCAUUUUUAAGAAAGUUUACAACCUUGAAAAAAGUUCACCGAUUUUCUAGAAAAGUUCAUAAAAACGAAAAAAAAUCAUCAAAUUUGAGAAAAGCUCAUCGAUUUUAAAGAAAGUUAAACGAAUUUGAAAAAAGUUUUCUAAAUUACAAAAAAGUUCAUUAAAUUUGCAAAACAAAGUUCACGAAUUAAAAAAAAGUCAUCAAAUUUGAAAAAAGUUCCUUGAUUCUGAAAAGAGUUCAUCAGUUUUUAAAAAAAUCAUCAAUUUAAAAAAAGUUCAUCAAUUUUGAAAAAAAGUUCAUGGAUUCAAAAAAACACAAAAAUUGAAAAGGUUAACCAAAUUAAAAAAAAACUGUCAAAUUUAAAACAAAUUUAACAUAUUUGCAAACAAUCAUCGAACCAGGUCGAAGAAAAAGGAAAAAACAGAAAGCAAAAAAAGAAAAAAAAAGGAAAAAAGAAAGAAUAAAAGACAGAAAAGGUUCUAAGUUACCAGAAACUAUCAACGAGGGAGGUCCAUGGCUCGAAUCGCGACCAACUCAUGUAUUUUUCGCGGAUUAAAACAUAGGAAAAAAACCUACAUGGGUCGGCCCAGCCUGAAGCGCCGAAUAGGAUUUGCCGACGACGACCACGGUUUGCCGCUGGGCCGGCAAACUUCCAGGCACAAAACUGACACCCGAGCCAACCGGCCUAAUCACCUGGUGCCUACCAAAAAAAACUACCUGCUGCCGUCCUUUUCCUACUAGUACGGACUUCCCCAAAAAUAAGUACUAGUAGUAGUACUGAUCGAUGGACCUUUCUUUGAUGAGUUGAAAAAAAAAUUCUCAAUACGCUCAUAAGAAAGUGAAAAAGAAAAAGAACAAUCAAGCUAACUUUUAUUCCUCCUGGCAUGCAUGCAUGCCAAAGGGUAAAAUAAGGAUACACCAAAUGAUUGGUGCACUUUGGUUGGAUCAUACCGCCUGUCUGCCACAUGUUACAUCAAGCAAAUAGACAGGCUGCACUUUCUCUUGUGCUCCCCUUCCCUCGUGUAGCCUCCAAAAGUGCAAGAUAACACUAACACGCAAAAAGAAGAGUCCAUACUCCAUAGACGUGCACAUGUAUGUGUGUGUUAGCUUUGGUGUUAUGCAGUACCUCUAUGUAUGUACACAAAAGAUUUACAAUGCUUAUGGAAAAAAUAAAAAAAAUAGAAAUAUAUGUUUUCAUUUUUGAAAUGUAAUCAUGCAUUUUCGAAAUUUUAAGUAUGUAUACAAAUUCUUUUACGAUGUAAACUAAAAACAUUAUGUUUUCAUUUACAAGACUUAACUUCAGCUCGUCGGGAGUAACUAGUUAACGAGCGCUCCUUCGGGAGCCUCGCAACAAUCAGCGCCACUUGGCGCGCUCUCAGCCAUUCGCCACGUGUCGCGUUCUGGACGCUCCCUUCGGAUUUUGUUUUUUUAUUUUUCCACACGCGUUUUCGGCUUUUUAAGCGGUUUUUUCGGGUUUUUCGACGUUUUGGUUUUCCUCCGGUCUUUCUUAGCUUUUCGAUACAAAAAGAAUUUUUAAAAAAAUUGCGCGAAAAAACGUGUUUUCUUCUAUUUUCAUUUCGCGAAAGUCACGGUUUUUCUUCCGCGAGAGGCAUGGUUAUGGUUUAGCGAGAGUCACGGCCGUGCCUUUCAGAAACAAAAAAAAAACACGUUUUCUGUUUUUUUUCUUUUGCGAGAGUCACGGUUUUGCUUCCGCGUGAGGCACGGUUGUGCUUUUGCGAGAGUCACGGCCGUGCCUCGCGAAAAAGGGAAAAACAAAACGCGUUUUCUGUUUUUUUUUCUUUCGUGAGAGUCACGGUUUUGCUUCCGCGAGAGGCACGGUUGUGCUUUCGCGAAAGUCACGACCGUGCCUCUAGGAAAGGGAAAAACAAAACGUGUUUUCUGUUUUUUUCUUUCGUGAGAGUCACGGUUUUGCUUCCGCCAGAGGCACGGUUGUGCUUUCGCGAAAGUCACGUCCGUGCCUCUAGGAAAGGAAAAAAAAUAUGCAUUUUCUGUUUUUUCUGGCACGUUUGUUGUUGGGGAACGUAGUAAUUUCAAAAAAAUUCCUACGCACACGCAAGAUCAUAGUGAUGCAUAGCAACGAGAGAGGAGAGUGUUGUCCACGUACCCUCGUAGACCGAAAGCGGAAGCGUUAGCAUAACGCGGUUGAUGUAGUCGUACGUCUUCACGAUCCGACCGAUCAAGUACCGAACGCACGACACCUCCGAGUUCUGCACACGUUCAACUCGAUGACGUCCCUCGAACUCCGAUCCAGCCGAGCUUUGAGGGAGAGUUCCGUCAGCACGACGGCGUGGUGACGAUGAUGAUGUUCUACCGACGCAGGGCUUCGCCUAAGCACCGCUACGAUAUGACCGAGGUGGAUUAUGAUGGAGAGGGGCACCGCACACGGCUAAGAGAUCAAGAGAUUAAUUGUUCUGUCUUUGGGGUGCCCCCUAUCCCCGUAUAUAAAGGAGUGGACGAGGAGGAGGGUCGGCCCUCUCUAUGGCGCGCCCUAGGGGAGUCCUACUCCCACCGGGAGUAGGAUUCCCCCUUUCCUAGUAGAACUAGGAGCCCUUCCAAGUAGUAGGAGUAGGAGGGAAGGAAAGGGAAGGGAAAAGGAGAAGGAAGGAAGGGGGCGCCCCCCUCCCUAGUCCAAUUCGGACCAGCCCAUGGGGAGGGGUGCGGCCACCCUUUGAGUCCUUUCUCUCCUUUCCCGUAUGGCCCAUUAAGGCCCAAUAUGAAUUCCCGUAACUCCCCGGUACUCCCGAAAAUACCCGAAUCAUUCGGAACCUUUCCGAUGUCCGAAUAUAGUCGUCCAAUAUAUCGAUCUUUACGUCUCGACCAUUUCGAGACUCCUCGUCAUGUCCCCGAUCUCAUCCGGGACUCCGAACUCCUUCGGUACAUCAAAACACAUAAACUCAUAAUAUAACCGUCAUCUAACUUUAAGCGUGCGGACCCUACGGGUUCGAGAACUAUGUAGACAUGACCGAGACACGUCUCCGGUCAAUAACCAAUAGCGGAACCUGGAUGCUCAUACUAGCUCCUACAUAUUCUACGAAGAUCUUUAUCGGUCAAACCGCAUAACAACAUACGUUGUUCCCUUUGUCAUCGGUAUGUUACUUGCCCAAGAUUCGAUCGUCGGUAUCUCAAUACCUAGUUCAAUCUCGUUACCGGCAAGUCUCUUUACUCGUUCCGUAAUACAUCAUCUCGCAACUAACUCAUUAGUUGCAAUGCUUGCAAGGCUUAGGUGAUGUGCAUUACCGAGAGGGCCCAGAGAUACCUCUUCGACAAUCGGAGUGACAAAUUCUAAUCUCGAAAUACGCCAACCCAACAAGUACCUUCGGGGACACCUGUAGAGCACCUUUAUAAUCACCCAGUUACGUUGUGACGUUUGGUAGCACACAAAGUGUUCCUCCGGUAAACAGGAGUUGCAUAAUCUCAUAGUCAUAGGAACAUGUAUAAGUCAUGAAGAAAGCAAUAGCAACAAACUAAACGAUCAAGUGCCAAGCUAACGGAAUGGGUCAAGUCAAUCACAUCAUUCUCCUAAUGAUGUGAUCCCGUUAAUCAAAUGACAACUCAUGUUUAUGGUUAGGAAACAUAACCAUCUUUGAUCAACGAGCUAGUCAAGUAGAGGCAUACUAGUGACAUACUGUUUGUCUAUGUAUUCACACAUGUAUUAUGUUUCCGGUUAAUACAAUUCUAGCAUGAAUAAUAAACAUUUAUCAUGAUAUAAGGAAAUAAAUAAUAACUUUAUUGUUGCCUCCAGGGCAUAUUUCCUUCAGUCUCCCACUUGCACUAGAGUCAAUAAUCUAGUUCACAUCACCAUGUGAUUUAACAUCAAUAGUUCACAUUACCAUGUGAUUAACACCCAUAGUUCACAUUGACAUAUGACCAACACCCAAAGGGUUUACUAGAGUCAAUAAUCUAGUUCACAUCGCUAUGUGAUUAACACCCAAAGAGUACUAAGGUGUGAUCAUGUUUUGCUUGUGAGAGAAGUUUAGUCAACGGGUCUGCCACAUUCAGAUCCGUAAGUAUUUUGCAAAUUUCUAUGUCAACAAUGCUCUGCACGGAGCUACUCUAGCUAAUUUCUCCCACUUUCAAUAUGUAUCCAGAUUGAGAUUUAGAGUCAUCUGAAUCAGUGUCAAAAUUUUCAUCGACGUAACCCUUUACGACGAACCUUUUUGUCACCUCCAUAAUCGAGAAACAUAUCCUUAUUUCACUAAAGAUAAUUUUGACCAAUGUCCAGUGAUCUACUACUAGAUCACUAUUGUACUCCCUUGCCAAACUCAGGGCAGGGUAUACAAUAGGUCUGGUACACAACAUGACAUACUUUAUAGAACCUAUGGCUGAGGCAUAGGGAAUGACUUUCAUUCUCUCUCUAUCUUCUGCCGUGGUCGGGUUUUGAGUCUUACUCAACUUCACACCUUGUAACACAGGCAAGAACUCCUUCUUUGACUGUUACAUUUUGAACUACUUCAAAAUCUUGUCAAGGUAUGUACUCAUUGAAAAACUUAUCAAGCGUCUUGAUCUAUGUCUAUAGAUCUUGAUGCUCAAUAUGUAAGCAGCUUCACCGAGGUCUUUCUUUGAAAAACUCCUUUCAAACAUUCCUUUAUGCUUUGCAGAAUAAUUCUACAUUAUCUCCAAUCAACAAUAUGUCAUUCACAUAUACUUAUCAGAAAUGUUGUAGUGCUCCCACUCACUUUCUUGUAAAUACAGGCUUCACCGUAAGUCUGUAUAAAACUAUAUGCUUUGAUCAACUUAUCAAAGCGUAUAUUGCAACUCCAAGAUGCUUGCACCAGUCCAUAGAUGGAUCGCUAGAGCUUGCAUAUUUUGUUAGUACCUUUAGGAUUGACAAAACCUUCUUGUUGCAUCAUAUACAACUCUUCUUUAAUAAAUCCAUUAAGGAAUGCAGUUUUGUUUAUCUAUUUGCCAGAUUUCAUAAAGUGCGGCAAUUGCUAACAUGAUUCGGACAGACUUAAGCAUAGAUACGAGUGAGAAACUCUCAUCGUAGUCAACACCUUGAACUUGUCGAAAACCUUUUUGCGACAAUUCUAGCUUUGUAGAUAGUAACACUACUAUCAGCGUCCGUCUUCCUCUUGAAGAUCCAUUUAAUCUCAAUUGCUCAUCGAUCAAUGGGCAAGUCAAUCAAAGUCCAUACUUUGUUCUCAUACAUGGAUCUCAUCUCAGAUUUCAUGGCCUCAAGCCAUUUCGCGGAAUCUGGGCUCAUCAUCGCUUCCUCAUAGUUUGUAGGCUCGUCAUGGUCAAGUAACAUGACCUCCAGAACAGGAUUACCGUACCACUCUGGUGCGGAUCUCACUCUGGUUUACCUACGAGGUUCGGUAGUAACUUGAUCUGAAGUUACAUGAUCAUCAUCAUUAGCUUCCUCACUAAUUGGUGUAGUAGUCACAGGAACAGAUUUCUGUGAUGAACUACUUUCCAAUAAGGGAGCAGGUACAGUUACCUCAUCAAGUUCUACUUUCCUCCCACUCACUUCUUUCGAGAGAAACUCCUUCUUUAGAAAGGAUCCAUUCUCAGCAAUGAAUAUCUUGCCUUCGGAUCUGUGAUAGAAGGUGUACCCAACAUUUUCUUUUGGGUAUCCUAUGAAGAUGCACUUCUCCGAUUUGGGUUUGAGCUUAUCAGGUUGACACUUUUUCACAUAAGCAUUGCAACCUCAAACUUUAAGAAAUGACAGCUUAGGUUUCUUGCCAAACCAUAGUUCAUACGAUGUCGUCUCAAACGGAUUUAGAUGGCGCCCUAUUUAACGUGAGUGUAGCUGUCUCUAAUGCAUAACCCCAAAACGAUAGCGGUAAAUCAGUAAGGGACGUCAUAGAUCGCACCAUAUCUAAUAAAGCACGGUUACGACGUUCGGACACACCAUUACACUGUGGUGUUCCAGGUGGCGUGAGUAGUGAAACUAUUUCACAUUGUUUUAACUGAAGGCCAAACUCGUUACUCAAAUAUUUUACUUCUACGAUCAUAUCGUAGAAACUUUUAUUUUUGUUACGAUGAUUCUCCACUUCACUCUGAAAUUCUUUGAACUUUUCAAAUGUUUCAGACUUGUGUUUCAUCAAGUAGAUAUACCCAUAUCUGCUCAAAUCAUCUGUGAAGGUCAGAAAAUAAUGAUACCCACCGCGAGCCUCAACAUUCAUCGGACUGCAUACAUCAAUAUGUAUUAUUUCCAAUAAGUCAGUUUCUUGCUCCAUUGUUCCGGAGAACGGAGUCUUAGUCAUCUUGACCAUGAGGCACGGUUCGCAAGCAUCAACUGAUUCAUAAUCAAGUGAUUCCAAAAGCCCAUCAGCAUGGAUUUUCUUCAUGCGCUUUACACCAAUAUGACCUAAACGGCAGUGCCACAAAUAAGUUGCACUAGCAUUAUUAACUUUUCAUCUUUUUGGCUUCAAUAUUAUGAGAAUGUGUAUCACCACAAUCGAGAUCCAACAAACCAUUUUCAUUGAGUGUAUGACCAUAGAAGGUUUUAUUCAUGUAAACAGAACAACAAUUUAUUCUCUUACUUAAAUGAAUAACCGUAUUGCAAUGAACAUGAUCAAAUCAUAUUCAUGCUCAACGCAAACACCAAAUAACACUUAUUUAGGUUCAACACUAAUCCCGAAAGUAUAGGGAGUGUGCGAUGAUGAUCAUAUCAAUCUUGGAACCACUUCCAACACACAUCGUCACUUCACCCUUAACUAGUCUCUGUUCAUUCUGCAACUCCCGCUUCGAGUUACUACUCUUAGCAACUGAACCAGUAUCAAAUACCGAGGGGUUGCUACGAACACUAGUAAAAUACACAUCAAUAAUAUGUAUAUCAAAUAUACCUUUGUUCACUUUGCCAUCCUUCUUAUCCGCCAAAUACUUGGGGCAGUUCUGCUUCCAGUGACCAGUCCCUUUGCAGUAGAAGCACUUAGUCUCAGGCUUAGGACCAGACUUGGGCUUCUUCACUUGAGCAGCAACUUGCUUGCCGUUCUUCUUGAAGUUCCCUUUCUUUCCCUUUGCCCUUUUCUUGAAACUAGUGGUCUUGUUAAUCAUCAACACUUGAUGCUCUUUCUUGAUUUCUACCUUCAUCGAUUUCAUCAUCAUGAAAAGCUCUGGAAUCGUUUUCAUCAUCCCUUGCAUACUAUAGUUCAUCAUGAAGUUCUACUAACUUGGUGAUGGUGACUAGAGAAUUCUGUCAAUCACUAUUUUAUCUGGAAGAUUAACUCCCACUUGAUUCAAGCGAUUGUAGUACCCAGACAAUCUAAACACAUGCUCACUGCUUGAGCUAUUCUCCUCCAUCUUUUAGCUAUAGAACUUGUUGGAGACUUCAUAUCUCUCAACUCGGGUAUUUGCUUGAAAUAUUAACUUCAACUCCUGGAACAUCCAUAUGAUCCAUGACGUUCAAAACGUCUUUGAAGUCCCGAUUCUACGUUGUUAAGCAUGGUGCACUAAACUAUCAAGUAGUCAUCAUACUGAGCUAGCCAAACGUUCAUGACGUCUGCAUCUGCUCCUGCAAUAGGUCUGUCACCUAGCGGUGCAUUAAGAACAUAAUUCUUCUGUGCAUCAAUGAGGAUAAACCUCAGAUCACGGAUCCAAUCCGCAUCAUUGCUACUAACAUCUUUCAACUUAGUUUUCUCUAGGAACAUAUCAAAAAUAAAAUAGGGGAGCUAAACGCGAGCUAUUGAUCUAUAACAUAGAUAUGCUAAUACUACCAGGACUAAGUUCAUGAUAAAUUUAAGUUCAAUUAAUCAUAUUACUUAAGAACUCCCACUUAGAAAGACAUCCCUCUAAUCUUCUAAGUGAUCACGUGAUCCAAAUCAACUAAACCAUAACCGAUCAUCACGUGAAAUGGAGUAGUUUUCAAUGGUGAACAUCACUAUGUUGAUCAUAUCUACUAUAUGAUUCACGCUCGACAUGACGAUGUUCACCAUUGAAAACUACUCCAUCUCACGUGAUGAUCGGUUAUGAUUUAGUUGAUUUGGAUCACGUAAUCACUUAGAGGAUUAGAGGGAUGUCUAUCUAAGUGGGAGUUCCUAAGUAAUUUGAUUAACUGAACUUAAACUUAUCAUGAACUUAGUACCUGAUAGUAUCUUGCUUGUUUAUGUUGCUUGUAGAUAGAUGGCUCGUGCUAUUGUUCCGUUGAAUUUUAAUGCGUUCCUUGAGAAAGCAAAGUUGAAAGAUGAUGGUAGCAAUUACACGGAUUGGGUCCGUAACCUGAGGAUUAUCCUCAUUGCUGCACAGAAGAAUUACGUCCUGGAAGCACCGCUGGGUGACAGGCCUGCUGCUGGAGCAACGCCAGAUGUUAUGAACGUCUGGCAGAGCAAAGCUGAUGACUACUCGAUAGUUCAGUGUGCCAUGCUUUACGGCUUAGAAUCGGGACUUCAACGACGUUUUGAACGUCAUGGAGCAUAUGAGAUGUUCCAGGAGUUGAAGUUAAUAUUUCAAGCAAAUGCCCGAAUUGAGAGAUAUGAAGUCUCCAAUAAGUUCUAUAGCUGUAAGAUGGAGGAGAACAGUUCUGUUAGUGAGCAUAUACUCAAGAUGUCUGGGUAUAAUAAUCACUUGAUUCAGAUGGGAGUUAAUCUUCCAGAUGACUGCGUCAUUGACAGAAUUCUCCAAUCACUGCCACCAAGCUACAAGAGCUUCGUGAUGAACUAUAAUAUGCAAGGGAUGAACAAGACUAUUCCCGAGCUCUUCGCAAUGCUAAAAGUUGCGGAGGUAGAAAUCAAGAAGGAGCAUCAAGUGUUGAUGGUUAACAAAACCACUAGUUUCAAGAAGAAGGGCAAAGGGAAGAAGAAGGGAAACUUCAAAAAGAACAGUAAGCAAGUUGCUGCUCAAGAGAAGAAACCCAAGUCUGGACCUAAGCCUGAAACUGAGUGCUUCUACUGCAAGCAGACUGGUCACUGGAAGCGGAACUGCCCCAAGUAUUUGGCGGAUAAGAAGGAUGGCAAAGUGAGCAAAGGUAUAUGUGAUAUACAUGUUAUUGAUGUGUACCUUACUAGAGCUCGCAGUAGCACCUGGGUAUUUGAUACUGGUUCUGUUGCUAAUAUUUGCAACUCGAAACAGGGACUACGGAAUAAGCGGACACUAGCAAAGGACGAGGUGACGAUGCGCGUGGGAAACGGUUCCAAAGUCGAUGUGAUCGCGGUCGGCACGCUACCUCUACAUCUACCUUCGGGAUUAAUAUUAGACCUAAAUAAUUGUUAUUUGGUGCCAGCGUUGAGCAUGAACAUUAUAUCUGGAUCUUGUUUAAUGCGAGACGGUUAUUCAUUUAAAUCAGAGAAUAAUGGUUGUUCUAUUUAUAUGAAUAAUAUCUUUUAUGGCCAUGCACCUUUGAAGAGUGGUCUAUUCUUGUUGAAUCUCGAAGAUAGUAAUACACAUAUUCAUAAUGUAGAAGCCAAAAGAUGCAGAGUUGAUAAUGAUAGUCCAACUUAUUUGUGGCACUGCCGUUUAGGUCAUAUCGGUGUAAAGCGCAUGAAGAAACUCCAUACUGAUGGGCUUUUGGAACCACUUGAUUAUGAAUCACUUGGUACUUGCGAACCGUGCCUCAUAGGCAAGAUGACUAAAACACCGUUCUCUGGUACUAUGGAGAGAGCAACAGAUUUAUUGGAAAUCAUACAUACCGAUGUAUGUGGUCCGAUGAAUAUUGAGGCUCGUGGCGGAUAUCGUUAUUUUCUCACCUUCACAGAUGAUUUAAGCAGAUAUGGGUAUAUCUACUUAAUGAAACAUAAGUCUGAAACAUUUGAAAAGUUCAAGGAAUUUCAGAGUGAAGUUGAAAAUCAUCGUAACAAGAAAAUAAAGUUUCUACGAUCUGAUCGUGGAGGAGAAUAUUUGAGUUACGAGUUUGGUGUACAUUUGAAAAAUUGUGGAAUAGUUUCGCAACUCACGCCACCCGGAACACCACAGCGUAAUGGUGUGUCCGAACGUCGUAAUCGUACUUUACUAGAUAUGGUGCGAUCUAUGAUGUCUCUUACUGAUUUACCGCUAUCGUUUUGGGGUUAUGCUUUAGAGACGACCGCAUUCACGUUAAAUAGGGCACCAUCAAAAUCCGUUGAGACGACGCCUUAUGAACUAUGGUUUGGCAAGAAACCAAAGUUGUCGUUUCUUAAAGUUUGGGGCUGCGAUGCUUAUGUGAAAAAGCUUCAACCUGAUAAGCUCGAACCCAAAGCGGAGAAAUGUGUCUUCAUAGGAUACCCAAAGGAAACUGUUGGGAAUACCUUCUAUCACAGAUCCGAAGGCAAGACAUUCGUUGCUAAGAAUGGAUCAUUUCUAGAGAAGGAGUUUCUCUCAAAAGAAGUGAGUGGGAGGAAAGUGGAACUUCACGAGGUAACUGUACCCGCUCCCUUAUUGGAAAAUAGUACAUCGCAGAAAACUGUUUCUGCAACACCUAUACCAAUUAGUGAGGAAGCUAAUGAUGAUGAUCAUGAAACUUCACGACAAGAUACUACUGAACCACGUAGAUCAACCAGAGUGAGAUCCGCACCAGAGUGGUACGGUAAUCCAGUUCUGGAAGUCAUGCUACUAGAUCAUGAUAAACCUACAAACUAUGAAUAAGCGAUGGUGAGCCCAGAUUCCGCAAAGUGGCUUGAGGCCAUGAAAUCUGAGAUGGGAUCCAUGUAUGAGAACAAAGUAUGGACUUUGGUUGACUUGCCCGAUGAUCGGCAAGCAAUUGAGAAUAAAUGGAUUUUCAAGAAAAAGACUGACGCUGACGGUAAUGUUACUGUCUAUAAAGCUCGACUUGUCGCAAAAGGUUUUCGACAAGUUCAAGGGGUUGACUACGAUGAGACCUUCUCACCCGUAGCGAUGCUUAAAUCCGUCAGGAUCAUGUUAGCAAUUGCCGCAUUUUAUGAUUAUGAAAUAUGGCAGAUGGAUGUCAAAACUGCAUUCCUGAAUGGAUUUCUGGAAGAAGAGUUGUAUAUGAUGCAACCAGAAGGUUUUGUUGACCCAAAGGGAGCUAACAAAGUAUGCAAACUCCAGCGAUCCAUUUAUGGACUGGUGCAAGCAUCUCGGAGUUGGAAUAAACGCUUUGAUAGUGUGAUCAAAGCAUUUGGCUUUAUACAGACUUUUGGAGAAGCCUGUAUUUACAAGAAAGUGAGUGGGAGCUCUGUAGCAUUUCUGAUAUUAUAUGUGGAUGACAUAUUGCUGAUUGGAAAUGAUAUAGAAUUUCUGGAUAGCAUAAAGGGAUACUUGAAUAAAAGUUUUUCGAUGAAAGACCUCAGGGAAGCUGCUUACAUAUUAGGCAUAAAGAUCUAUAGAGAUAGAUCAAGACGCUUAAUUGGACUUUCACAAAGCACAUACCUUGACAAGAUUUUGAAGAAGUUCAAAAUGGAUCAAGCAAAGAAAGGGUUCUUGCCUGUGUUACAAGGUGUGAAGUUGAGUCAGACUCAAUGCCCGACCAUUGCAGAAGAUAGAGAGAAAAUGAAAGAUGUUCCCUAUGCUUCAGCCAUAGGCUCUAUCAUGUAUGCAAUGCUGUGUACCAGACCUGAUGUGUGCCUUGCUAUAAGUUUAGCAGGGAGGUACCAAAGUAAUCCAGGAGUGGAUCACUGGACAGCGGUCAAGAACAUCCUGAAAUACCUGAAAAGGACUAGGGAUAUGUUUCUCGUAUAUGGAGGUGACAAAGAGCUCACCGUAAGAGGUUACGUUGAUGCAAGCUUUGACACUGAUCCGGACGAUUCUAAAUCGCAAACCGGAUAUGUGUUUACUUUAAACGGUGGAGCUGUCAGUUGGUGCAGUUCUAAACAAAGCGUCGUAGCGGGAUCUACAUGUGAAGCGGAGUACAUAGCUGCUUCGGAAGCAGCAAACGAAGGAGUCUGGAUGAAGGAGUUCAUAUCCGAUCUAGGUGUCAUACCUAGUGCAUCGGGUCCAAUGAAAAUCUUUUGUGACAAUACUGGUGCAAUUGCUUUGGCAAAGGAAUCCAGAUUUCACAAAAGGACCAAACACAUCAAGAGACGCUUCAACUCCAUCCGCGAUUUAGUCCAGGUGGGAGACAUAGAGAUUUGCAAGAUACAUACGGAUCUGAAUGUUGCAGACCCGUUGACUAAGCCUCUUCCACGAGCAAAACAUGAUCAGCACCAAGGCUCCAUGGGUGUUAAAAUCAUUACUGUGUAAUCUAGAUUAUUGACUCUAGUGCAAGUGGGAGACUGAAGGAAAUAUGCCCUAGAGGCAAUAAUAAAGUUAUUAUUUAUUUCCUUAUAUCAUGAUAAAUGUUUAUUAUUCAUGCUAGAAUUGUAUUAACCGGAAACAUAAUACAUGUGUGAAUACAUAGACCAACAGAGUGUCACUAGUAUGCCUCUACUUGACUAGCUCGUUAAUCAAAGAUGGUUAUGUUUCCUAACCAUGAACAAAGAGUUGUUAUUUGAUUAACGAGGUCACAUCAUUAGUUGAAUGAUCUGAUUGACAUGACCCAUUCCAUUAGCUUAGCACCCGAUCGUUUAGUAUGUUGCUAUUGCUUUCUUCAUGACUUAUACAUGUUCCUAUAACAAUGAGAUUAUGCAACUCCCGUUUACCGGAGGAACACUUUGGGUACUACCAAACGUCACAACGUAACUGGGUGAUUAUAAAGGAGUACUACAGGUGUCUCCAAUGGUAGAUGUUGGGUUGGCAUAUUUCGAGAUUAGGGUUUGUCACUCCGAUUGUCGGAGAGGUAUCUCUGGGCCCUCUCGGUAAUACACAUCACAUAAGCCUUGCAAGCAUAAUAACUAAGAUGUUAGUUAUGAGAUGAUGUAUUACAGAACGAGUAAAGAGACUUGCCAGUAACGAGAUUGAACUAGGUAUUGGAUACCGACGAUCGAAUCUCGAGCAAGUAACAUACCGAUGACAAAGGGAACAACGUAUGUUGUUAUGCGGUCUGACCGAUAAAGAUCUUCGUAGAAUAUGUAGGAGCCAAUAUGGGCAUCCAGGUCCCGCUAUUGGUUAUUGACCAGAGACGUGUCUCGGUCAUGUCUACAUUGUUCUCGAACCGUAGGGUCCGCACGCUUAACGUUACGAUGACAGUUAUUAUGAGUUUAUGCAUUUUGAUGUACCGAAGGUUGUUCGGAGUCCCGGAUGUGAUCACGGACAUGACGAGGAGUCUCGAAAUGGUCGAAACUUAAGAUUGAUAUAUUGGAAGGCUAUGUUUGGACAUCGGAAGUGUUCCGGGUGAAAUCGGGAUUUUACCGGAAUACCGGGAGGGUUACCGGAACCCCCCGGGAGCCAAAUGGGCCUACAUGGGCCUUAGUGGAAAGGUGAGAAGGCUGCCCACAAGUGCUGCGCAUCUCCCCCCCUUCCCUAGUCCUAUUAGGACUAGGAGAAGGGGCCGGCCCCCUCUUUCUCUCUUCUCUUUGGAGAAAUCCUAGUUGGAAUAUGAUUGGAGGGGGGGAGUCCUACUCCCGGUAGGAGUAGGACUCCUCCUGGCGCACCAAGGGGCCGGCCGCACCUCUCCCCCUUUGCCCCUUUAUAUAUGGGGGCAGGGGGCACCCCAUAGACACACAAGUUGAUCAUUGUUGAUCGUUCCUUAGCCGUGUGCGGUGCCCCCUGCCACCAAAUUCCACCUCGGUCAUAUCGUUGUAGAGCUUAGGCGAAGCCCUGCGUCGGUAGUACAUCAAGAUCGUCACCACGCCGUCGUGCUGAUGAAACUCUUCCUCGAAGCUUUGCUGGAUCGGAGCCCGAGGAUCGUCAUUGAGCGGAACGUGUGCCAAGAACUCGGAGGUGCCGGAGUAACGGUGCUUGGAUCGGUCGGAUCGGGAAGAAGACGUACGACUACUUCCUCUACGUUGUGUCAACGCUUCCAUUGCGAUCUACAAGGCUACGUAGAUCAGACUCUCCCCCUCGUUGCUAUGCAUCACCAUGAUCUUGCGUGUGCGUAGGAAAAUUUUCGAAAUUACUACGUUACCCAACAACACUUGGUUCAACUAAAGUUGGAGAGACAGUCUUCCGCAAGCCAUCUAUGUGCAAAGCAAGUCGAGGGAACCGGUCUCGCGUAAGAGUACGCGUAAGGUUGGUCCGGAUCGUCUCGUCCAACAAUACCGCCGAACCAAAGUAUGACAUGCUGGUAGGCAGUAUGACUUGUAUCGCCCACAACUCACUUGUGUUCUACUCGUACAAAUAACAUCAAACCAUAAAACCUAGGCUCGGAUGCCACUGUUGGGGAACGUAGUAAUUUCAAAAUUUUCCUACGCACACGCAAGAUCAUGGUGAUGCAUAGCAACGAGAGGGGAGAGUGUUGUCUACGUACCAACGCAGACCGACUGCGGAAGCGAUCACACAACGUAGAGGAAGUAGUCGUACGUCUUCUUCCCGAUCCGACCGAUCCAAGUACCGUUACUCCGGCACCUCCGAGUUCUUAGCACACGUUCAGCUCGAUGAUGAUCCUCGGGCUCCGAUCCAGCAAAGCGUCGAGGAAGAGUUCCGUCAGCACGACGGCGUGGUGACGAUCUUGAUGUACUACCGACGCAGGGCUUCGCCUAAGCUCUACAACGAUAUGACCGAGGUGGAAUUUGGUGGCAGGGGGCACCGCACACGGCUAAGGAACGAUCAACAAUGAUCAACUUGUGUGUCUAUGGGGUGCCCCCUGCCCCCGUAUAUAAAGGAGCAAGGGGAGGGGUUCGGCCGGCCAAGGGAGAGGGGCGCAGGAGGAGUCCUACUCCUACCGGGAGUAGGACUCCCCCCAAUCCUAUUCCUAAUAGGAAUCCUCAAGGGGGAAAGAGAGAAGGGGUGGCCGGCCACCUUCCCUAGUCCUAUUAGGACUAGGAAAGGGGGGAGGUGCGCAGCCCUCUAAGGCAGCCCCUUUCACUUUUCCACUAAGGCCCAAUAGGCCCAUUUGCCUCCCGGGGGGUUCCGGUAACCCUCCCGGUAUUCCGGUAAAAUCCCAAUUUCACCCGGAACACUUCCGAUGUCCAAACAUAGCCUUCCAAUAUAUCAAUCUUUACGUCUCGACCAUUUCGAGACUCCUCGUCAUGUCCGUGAUCACAUCCGGGACUCCGAACAACCUUCGGUACAUCAAAAUGCAUAAACUCAUAAUAACUGUCAUCGUAACGUUAAGCGUGCGGACCCUACGGUUCGAGAACAAUGUAGACAUGACCGAGACACAUCUCCGGUCAAUAACCAAUAGCGGGACCUGGAUGCCCAUAUUGGCUCCUACAUAUUCUACGAAGAUCUUUAUCGGUCAGACCGCAUAACAACAUACGUUGUUCCCUUUGUCAUCGGUAUGUUACUUGCCCGAGAUUCGAUCGUCGGUAUCCAAUACCUAGUUCAAUCUCGUUACUGGCAAGUCUCUUUACUCGUUCCGUAAUACAUCAUCUCAUAACUAACAUCUUAGUUAUUAUGCUUGCAAGGCUUAUGUGAUGUGUAUUACCGAGAGGGCCCAGAGAUACCUCUCCGACAAUCGGAGUGACAAACCCUAAUCUCGAAAUACGCCAACCCAACAUCCACCAUUGGAGACACCUGUAGUACUCCUUUAUAAUCACCCAGUUACGUUGUGACGUUUGGUAGUACCCAAAGUGUUCCUCCGGUAAACGGGAGUUGCAUAAUCUCAUAGUUAUAGGAACAUGUAUAAGUCAUGAAGAAAGCAGUAGCAACAUACUAAACGAUCGGGUGCUAAGCUAAUGGAAUGGGUCAUGUCAAUCAGAUCAUUCAACUAAUGAUGUGACCUCGUUAAUCAAAUAACAACUCUUUGUUCAUGGUUAGGAAACAUAACCAUCUUUGAUUAACGAGCUAGUCAAGUAGAGGCAUACUAGUGACACUCUGUUUGUCUAUGUAUUCACACAUGUAUUAUGUUUCCGGUUAAUACAAUUCUAGCAAGAAUAAUAAACAUUUAUCAUGAUAUAAGGAAAUAAAUAAUAACUUUAUUAUUGCCUCUAGGGCAUAUUUCCUUCAUGCACAACAUCAACGCCUAAAACCCAGGCUCUGAUGCCACUGUUGGGGAACGUAGUAAUUUCAAAAAAUUUCCUACGCACACGCAAGAUCAUGGUGAUGUAUAGCAACGAGAGAGGAGAGUGUUGUCCACGUACCCUCGUAGACCGAAAGCGGAAGCGUUAGCACAACGCGGUUGAUGUAGUCGUACGUCUUCACGAUCCGACCGAUCAAGUACUGAACACACGACACCUCCGAGUUCUGCACACGUUCAACUCGAUGACGUCCCUCGAACUCCGAUCCAGCCGAGCUUUGAGGGAGAGUUCCGUCAGCACGACGGCGUGGUGAUGAUGAUGAUGUUCUACCGACGCAGGGCUUCGCCUAAGCACCGCUACGAUAUGACCGAGGUGGAUUAUGAUGGAGAGGGGCACCGCACACGGCUAAGAGAUCAAGAGAUCAAUUGUUCUGUCUUUGGGGUGCCCCCUAUCCCCAUAUAUAAAGGAGUGGACAAGGGGGAGGGCCGGCCCUCUCUAUGGCGCGCCCUAGGGGAGUCCUACUCCCACCGGGAGUAGGAUCCCCCCUUUCCUAGUAGAACUAGGAGCCCUUCCAAGUAGUAGGAGUAGGAGGGAAGGAAAGGGAAGGGAAAAGGAGAAGGAAGGAAGGCCCCCCCUCCCUAGUCCAAUUCGGACCAGCCCAUGGGGAGGGGUGCGGCCACCCUUUGAGUCCUUUCUCUCCUUUCCCGUAUGGCCCAUUAAGGCCCAAUACGAAUUCCCGUAACUCCCCAGUACUCCCGAAAAUACCCGAAUCAUUCGGAACCUUUCCGAUGUCCGAAUAUAGUCGUACAAUAUAUCGAUCUUUAUGUCUCGACCAUUUCGAGACUCCUCGUCAUGUCCCCGAUCUCAUCCGGGACUCUGAACUCCUUCGGUAUAUCAAAACACAUAAACUCAUAAUAUAACCGUCAUCGAACUUUAAGCGUGCGGACCCUACGGGUUCAAGAACUAUGUAGACAUGACCGAGACACGUCUCCGGUCAAUAACCAAUAGCGGAACCUGGAUGCUCAUACUGGCUCCUACAUAUUCUACGAAGAUCUUUAUCGGUCAAACCGCAUAACAACAUAUGUUGUUCCCUUUGUCAUCGGUAUGUUACUUGCCCAAGAUUCGAUCGUCGGUAUCUAAAUCCCUAGUUCAAUCUCGUUACCGGCAAGUCUCUUUACUUGUUCCGUAAUACAUCAUCUCGCAACUAACUCAUUAGUUGCAAUGCUUGCAAGGCUUAGGUGAUGUGCAUUACCGAGAGGGCCCAGAGAUACCUCUCCGACAAUCGGAGUGACAAAUCCUAAUCUCGAAAUACGCCAACCCAACAAGUACCUUCAGAGACACCUGUAGAGCACCUUUAUAGUCACCCAGUUACGUUGUGACGUUUGGUAGCACACAAAGUGUUCCUCCGAUAAACGGAAGUUGCAUAAUCUCAUAGUCAUAGGAACAUGUAUAAGUCAUGAAGAAAGCAAUAGCAACAAACUAAACGAUCUAGUGCUAAGCUAACGGAAUGGGUCAAGUCAAUCACAUCAUUCUCCUAACAAUGUGAUCCCGUUAAUCAAAUAAAAACUCAUGUCUAUGGUUAGGAAACAUAACCAUGUUUGAUCGACGAGCUAGUCAAGUAGAGGCAUACUAGUGACAUACUGUUUGUCUAUGUAUUCACACAUGUAUUAUGUUUCCGGUUAAUACAAUUCUAGCAUGAAUAAUAAACAUUUAUCAUGAUAUAAGGAAAUAAAUAAUAACUUUAUUAUUGCCUCUAGGGCAUAUUUCCUUCAGUUGUGCCUUCGCGAGAGUCACGGUCGUGCCUCUCGGAAACGAAAAAAAAACGCGUUUUCUGUUUUUUUCCUCCCACGAGAGUCACGGUUUUGCUUUCACGAGAGGCACGAUUGUGAUUUCGCGAGAAGCAUGGGCGUGGCUCUUUCGGAAAGGGAAAAAACCGUGUUCUCGGUUCGGUUUUUUCGCCCGGUUUUUUUCGUCCGGUUUUUUUCGUGAAAAAAAGUUCGUCAAAACCUAUCAACAUGGGAUCUAGUUUUGAAGAUCUUGACGCGAGGAAUCCAAUGGUGAAAACGGUUCGAGAUUUGGACGCACGAUUUAAGUGAUAAAACGUUUCGAAUAAACGGAUUUACGAAAAAAGGGAAAACUCUCAGAUUGCGACAAGUGGCGCGCUGCAUGUGCGCCACUUGUCGCGACCUGGGAAAGUGGAGUGUUCUUUGCAACGAGUACUCCUUAAUUAGUGAUUUCACGGCUCGCCUCAUGCGAGAGGUUAGCGGGGUCCGGCUAGUACUGUAACUGCCUAUAGAUUUUUUUCUCUCUCAUUGUUUUCCUUUUAAGAUUUCAGUAUUUCAUUGGUUUUUCUUCUGAGGUUUGUCAGGUUUCUGUGAUCUUCUUUAUUUCUUUCUUCAUUUUCUUCAGUUUUCUCGAAUAUUUUCCGUAUCAUUUUUUCAUCACAUGCCUACGCUUUUCAUACACAUUAUACAUUUUUUGUAUCAAUUAGAUACAUUUUUUACGUGUUUAACAUUUUCCAAAUACUUAAUUACCUUUUUCUAAAUAUAUGAUGCAAUGUUUAAUUUUUGAUACACAUGUAUAUCUUUUGUGCACAUCAUAAAAAUAAAUUUAUACAUGUUUAAGAUUUUUCAUACACAUCAUACAUGUUUUUGAAAGAUAUUAAAUACAUAUUUUUGAACAUUAUUUUGAAUAUGCAUUAAAAAAUUUCAAAUAUACCUUGAAUAUUUUUAAUUAUGCAAAACAAAUUAUCCAUGCUGCUGGGCUUCAAUCUUCCUGGCAUGAACUGACACGAGAGCCCACCGUAACAAACCGGCCCCAACUACUAGUAUGACUUGAGGCCGUCUUUUAUAAGUAAGUCCAGAUGAGUUAAGAGACGUUUUAUGAUUCUUUUUAAAUUUGUAAAAAAAUGGACUCGUGAACUUUUUCAAAAUCAUGAACAUCCAGAAAUUCAUGAAAAAUUUCAAAUUCAUCAACCUUUUUUUUCGAAACUCAUGAACUUUUUAAAAUUUAUUAAUUUUUUUCAAACUUACAAAAACAUUUAAUUAGUGAUUUUUUUGAAUAUUUUGAAAAUUCCUGAGUUUGUGAACAUUUUUCAAAUUCCGUGAACCAUUUUCGUAUUUGUGAACUUUUGAGCAUUUUCUUGAGUUUGUGAUUUUUCUAAAAUUCGUAAAUAUUUCCAAUCUUUCAUGAGAUUUUUCUGAAUUGGCCUUUUCAAUUCAUGAAUAUUCCUCAAGUUCGUGAACUUUUUUCAAAUACAUAUUUUUUGCAAUUUUUUGAAUUCCUGAACAUUUCUGUGAACUCAUUAAUGUUUGUCAGGUUCACGAUUUUUUAUGUAACAUGCAAAUUCAUUUGAAUUUACAGAUUUUGUUAAUUCGUUUUGAGAAAUUCAGUGAUCAACGGUUGACUGGACAACUGGGCAACCUUCCACUCAUCACCUGGUCGAAUGAAAAGAGGAGCAAGCGGGCGCGACCUGUUGAGAGACCACGCGUUGUUGGAUCGACCAACACGAGCGUGCGCGUGACCGUUGCUUUCGCUAGGAGGCGGAAGACAAUUGGUAGAAGUUCACUAUUCAGUCUAACACUCUCAAGAGAGAACAAAAGAAAAGGAAAGCAAAGACCAGAAAGGACCCACGAAGUUUCAGGAGGAGGCCAGAAGAGAUAUGAGAGAGCCACAAUCUCACGCCCCCUGAGCUUGUGGCUCUCUCGUAUCUCUUCUGGCCACCUCCCAAACCUUUGUGGGUCCUUUCUGGUAUGGAAAAUAUUCCCCUGAGCUUGUGGGCCCGAUGCAGCUCCAUUUGAGCUAAUUCCAAGCCUAUAAAUUCGUAAAUAUUCCUAAACCAUUAGAGAGUCACCUGAAGAAAAUUUUCCGCCACCGUAAGUCUCUGUUCUUCCGCGAUUCCAUUUGGAGGCCUUUUCUGGUACUCUACCAGAGGGGGCAUCGAUCACGGAGGGCUUCUACGUCAACCUUGCUGCCCUUCCGAUGAUGUGUGAGUAGUUCACCACAUACCUAUUCUUCUCUCUCUUUGAUCUUCAAUAACAUGUUCUCCUCGAUCUUCUUGGAGUUCUAUCCGAUGUAAUCUUCUUUUGCGGUGUGCUUGUUGGGAUCCGAUGAAUUGUGGUUUUAUGACAGCUAGGAAGAAGAGAGGUGGAGACGGGAUGGGGCCAAACCAUCCCGCGGCAAGCAAACGAGCAAGAUGUGGUCCACGACGAAUCUCUGGUAGUUGCUCCUUUCUCUUUACGACCCCUUACUCUCUGAUUUUUAGUUCAUAGCAUAAUAUCAGUUUUUAGCUAGACACCAUCUUCGCAGAUACAAGUUCCAAAAUCAGAGUAUUUGCACAUAUUUAGCCUUGCCAUUUUCAGAACUGAUAUAUUAGUAGGUUACUAGCCCAAAACAUAGCUAUAAUGAUGAACCUUUCAGCUUGAUGUCUUGCAUAUCCUUUUUUGAAUGUUUUCUUUUGCAUAUAUAAAUAAACAUCAUGUGUAGGUUAGUUUGAUGUGUUAUGCUUAUGCCCAUCCUAAUUAAUUUCCUAUUUGAAGUUGUAUGUCUUGUGCCUUUAUGAAAAUGUUUUUUUAUCCUGGACUUGAUGUUGCAAGUCUUCCUCGCGUGUUCAUUUUUUUUACAUUUUUGCUCUCUUUAGGUGAAAAGGACAGUAGAUCAAUCCACACCAGCAAGGGGACGAAAAUGAGUGGUAGUACCCUCCGCUUGGCCCUUGGAGAUUUAUCCAAGUGUUAAGUUUGUGUGCUAUUUUCAUGAAUAUCGAGCAUAACACAUAUAUUCUGCCUUUGGAUUCCUGAAUGGAGUUUUCAUGAAUAUCCAAGUGUUGACCAACAAUGGAGUUUUUGAGAAUCAGAUGGACACGGAGAGGAACUGAGGCAAUUGUGAUGCUCUAGCUAUACUUUCCAGUAUUGAAGGUGUUGAUAACAGUGCAGUAUCUGUGUUAGGCAACAGGUUGGAUGGUUUAUCACCGCCUGCAGAGCGAAAGGAGACGGACAUGGUUUCCCAGCAUUUUUGUAUCACAAAAAGGACUACCUGCCCAGAAAAAAGGUGAUUUUCCGACACAACCUCUAGACCUGGGAGGUGUGAAAAUUGUGGGAUCGAGGAGCACCAUAGGAACAAUUGUAUUAAGGCUGCAAAAUUCAGGUUGGCAGGGGAUAGCUGACAGUUUGUUAACUGGUGUAGUUGCUAGUAGUGAUGAGUUUUUGUUUAGAUAUAGCUUGUGGGGGUAACGAGAUAUGAUGGGGUGCAGCUUCAUCUUCUUGGAUAAUACUUGUAGAAUUUGGAUUUAUACAACAAUUCAAUGAGUUAUGCUAUUCUCUAAUAGUAACACUAUGUUCUCGUUGUGUUGUGCCGUUAUGUACUGACAGUUUGAAAUCCAUGUGUAGCACUAAUUACUUAAGAAGUGGGACACACAAUUUGAAAUCCAUAUAAGCUGACAAGUGACAACUAAUUUAUUUUUCUUGAUUUAAUGGAGCAUAUGUGGUGGGCAAUCCGUAGUCAGUUACUGAACUAUAGCUAAGGUCUGUGUGUUCAGACAUGGGGUAAAUUUCAGUUAUAUGUGGCAAAAAAUUUCCGUUGAAAUCAUGUGGCGUCUUCUUCAUGGUUUCAUACCAGGCUUGGGUUUUAAAAUUUGAAUGUCCUCCAUGGGAAAUGUGAACUUUCUUCUAUGCAAAGGACUGAAAGUUGAGUUUGUGGUCACUCGAAGCCAUGGCUCCCGCCGACACCUACAUCAUCAGUUCAGUGAUUUCGGUGGAGAGUACAAAUUCAAUUCAAGUCAGGGUCCAGCGAGGAGGUAAGUAACUUUCUCAUUAGUUGGCUUCUAGGGUAUGCUUUGUGUGUGGGCGGGGGGGGGGGGGCAUUGCCCCCCAUGACGCUCCGCCGCUAGAUGUGUCGCCUUGUUGUGCGUUCAAGUUCAUCGAGUUCUGCCAGUGGGCUCUCGGGCCAUAUGUCACGUGGCAAGCCGCGCUGUCUUUGUCCGGGCCGUCAAGUGCCUUUUUUUGUGCUGAGUAACCCACUUAGACUUAGGUCUCAACGAAGUGUUUGCUGAGUCCCCGCCAGUUGACUCUCAACAAAAUGGCCUUACUUGAAGGGCUCAGUCCGAGUACCCUUAGCCAAGAUUUGAACUCGGCAAAUUCUCUGUCGAGUUAGAAUCGGCUUUUGCCGAGUUUUUCAGGCACUCGGAGAACCUGGAAAUUGCUGUUGGGGAACGUAGUAAUUUCAAAAAUUUCCUAUGCACACGCAAGAUCAUGGUGAUGCAUAGCAACGAGGGGGAGAGUCUGAUCUACGUACCCUUGUAGAUCGCAACGGAAGCGUUGACACAACGUAGAGGAAGUAGUCGUACGUCUUCUUCCCGAUCCGACCGAUCAAAGCACCGUUACUCCGGCACCUCCGAGUUCUUAGCACACGUACAGCUCGACGACGAUCCCUGGGCUCCGAUCCAGCAAAGCUUCGGGGAGGAGUUCCGUCAGCACGACGGCGUGAUGACGAUCUUGAUGUUCUACCGAUGCAGGCUUCGCCUAAGCACUACAACGAUAUGAUCGAGGUGGAAUAUGAUGGCAGGGGGCACCGCACACGGCUAAGGAACGAUCACGUGGAUCAACUUGUGUGUCUAGAGGUGCCCCCCUGCCCCCGUAUAUAAAGGAGCAAGGGGGAGGAGGCCGGCCAUAGGAGAGGCGCGCCAGGUGUGGAGUCCUACUAGGACUCCAAGUCCUAGUAGGAGUCCACCAAGAGGGGAGGAAGGGAGAAGGAAGUGGAGAAGUAGGAAAGGUGGCCGGCCCCCUUUUCCCUAGUCCAAUUCGGACUAGAGGGGAGGGGGGGGGGGGCGCAGCUGCCUUUUUCCUCUUCCCACUAAAGCCCAUCAAGGCCCAUUACUUCUCCCGUAACUACCCGGUACUCCGAAAAAUACCCGAAUCACUCGGAACCUUUUCGAUGUCCGAAUAUAGUCAUCCAAUAUAUCGACCUUUACGUCUCGACCAUUUCGAGACUCCUCGUCAUGUCCCCGAUUUCAUCCGGGACUCCGAACUCCUUCGGUACAUCAAAACUCAUAAACUCAUAAUAUAACUGUCAUCGAAACCUUAAGCGUGCGGACCCUACGGUUCGAGAACAAUGUAGACAUGACCGAGACACGUCUCCAGUCAAUAACCAAUAGCGGGACCUGGAUGCCCAUAUUGGCUCCUACAUAUUCUACGAAGAUCUUUUAUCGGUCAGACCGCAUAACAACAUAUGUUGUUCCCUUUGUCAUCGGUAUGUUACUUGCCCGAGAUUCGAUCGUCGGUAUCCAAUACCUAGUUCAAUCUCGUUACCGGCAAGUCUCUUUACUCGUUCCGUAAUACAUCAUCCCACAACUAACAUAUUAGUUGCAGUGCUUGCAAGGCUUAUGUGAUGUGCAUUACCGAGAGGGCCCAGAGAUACCUCUCCGACAAUCGGAGUGACAAAUCCUAAUCUCGAAAUACGCCAACCCAACAUCUACCUUUGGAGACACCUGUAGUGUUGGGGAACGUAGUAAUUUCAAAAAAUUUCCUACGCACACGCAAGAUCAUGGUGAUGCAUAGCAACGAGAGGGGAGAGUGUUGUCUACGUACCAACGGGGACCGACUGCGGAAGCGAUCACACAACAUAGAGGAAGUAGUCGUACGUCUUCCCGAUCCGACCGAUCCAAGCACCGUUACUCCGGCACCUCCGAGUUCUUAGCACACGUUCAGCUCAAUGACGAUCCUCGGGCUCCGAUCCAGCAAAGCGUCGAGGAAGAGUUCCGUCAGCACGACGGCGUGGUGACGAUCUUGAUGUACUACCGACGCAGGGCUUCGCCUAAGCACUACAACGGUAUGAUCGAGGUGGAAUAUGGUGGCAGGGGGCACCGCACACGGCUAAGGAACGAUCUCAAGGAUCAACUUGUGUGUCUAGAGGUGCCCCCUGCCCCCGUAUAUAAAGGAUGAAGGGGGGAAGGUUGGUCGGCCAAGCUAGGAGGCGCAGGAGGAGUCCUACUCCUACCGGGAGUAGGACUCCCCCCAAUCCUAUUCCUAAUAGGAUUCCCCAAAGGGGAAGAGAAAGAGAGAGGUGGCCGGCCCCUCUCCUAGUCCUAAUAGGACUAGGGAGAGGGGGGGAGGCGCAGCCCUAUGUGGGCUGCCCUCUCAACUUUCCACUAAGGCCCAUGUUGGCCCAUUUGGCUCCCGGGGGGUUCCGGUAACCCUCCCGGUAAUCCGGUAAAAUCUCGAUUUCACCCGGAACACUUCCGAUGUCCAAACAUAGGCUUCCAAUAUAUCAAUCUUUACGUCUCGACCAUUUCGAGACUCCUCGUCAUGGCCGUGAUCACAUCCGGGACUCCGAACAACCUUCAGUACAUCAAAAUGCAUAAACUCAUAAUAACUGUCAUCGUAACGUUAAGCGUGCGGACCCUACGGUUCGAGAACAAUGUAGACAUGACCGAGACACGUCUCUGGUCAAUAACCAAUAGCGGGACCUGGAUGCCCAUAUUGGCUCCUACAUAUUCUACGAAGAUCUUUAUCGGUCAGACCGCAUAACAACAUACGUUGUUCCCUUUGUCAUCGGUAUGUUACUUGCUCGAGAUUCGAUCGUCGGUAUCCAAUACCUAGUUCAAUCUCGUUACUGGCAAGUCUCUUUACUCGUUCCGUAAUACAUCAUCUCAUAACUAACAUCUUAGUUAUUAUGCUUGCAAGGCUUAUGUGAUGUGUAUUACCGAGAGGGCCCAGAGAUACCUCUCCGACAAUCGGAGUGACAAACCCUAAUCUCGAAAUAUGCCAACCCAACAUCUACCAUUGGAGACACCUGUAGUACUCCUUUAUAAUCACCCAGUUACGUUGUGACGUUUGGUAGUACCUCUAGGGCAUAUUUCCUUCAGUCUCCCACUUGCACUAGAGUCAAUAACCUAGUUCACAUCGCCAUGUGAUUUAACAGCAAUAGUUCACAUCACCAUGUGAUUAACACCCAUAGUUCACAUCGUCAUGUGACCAACACUCAAAGGGUUUACUAGAGUCAGUAAUCUAGUUCACAUAUCUAUGUGAUUAACACCCAAAGAGUACUAAGGUGUGAUCAUGUUUUGUUUGUGAGAUAAUUUUAGUCAACGGGUCUGUCACAUUCAGAUCCGUAAGUAUUUUGCAAGUUCUAUGUCUACAAUGCCCUACACGGAGCUACUCUAGCUAAUUGCUCCCACUUUCAAUAUGUAUCCAGAUUGAGACUUAGAAUCAUCUGGAUCAGUGUCAAAACUUGCAUCGACGUAACCCUUUACGACGAACCUUUUGUCACGUCCAUAAUCGAGAAACAUAUCCUUAUUUCACUAAGGAUAAUUCUGACCGCUGUCCAGUGAUCUACUCCUAGAUCACUAUUGUACUCCCUUGCCAAAUCAGUGCAGGGUAUACAAUAGAUCUGGUAUACAGCAUGACAUACUUUAUAGAACCUAUGGCCAAGGCAUAGGGAAUGACUUUCAUUCUCUUUCUAUCUUCUGCCGUGGUCGGGCUUUGAGUCUUACUCAACUUCAUACCUUGUAAUACAGGCAAGAACUCUUUCUUUGACUGCUCCAUUUUGAACUACUUCAAAAUCUUGUCAAGGUAUGUACUCAUUGAAAAAACUUAUCAAGCGUCUUGAUCUAUCUCUAUAGAUCUUGAAGCUCAAUAUGUAAGCAACUUCACCGAAGUCUUUCUUUGAAAAACUCUUUUCAAACACUCCUUUAUGCUUUACAGAAGAAUUCUACAUUAUUUCCGAUCAACAAUAUGAAGGAAAUAUGCCCUAGAGGCAAUAAUAAAGUUAUUAUUUAUUUCCUUAUAUCAUGAUAAAUGUUUAUUAUUCAUGCUAGAAUUGUAUUAACCAGAAACAUAAUACAUGUGUGAAUACAUAGACAAACAGAGUGUCACUAGUAUGCCUCUACUUGACUAGCUCGUUAAUCAAAGAUGGUUAUGUUUCCUAACCAUGAACAAAGAGUUGUUAUUUGAUUAACGAGGUCACAUCAUUAGUUGAAUGAUCUGAUUGACAUGACCCAUUCCAUUAGCUUAGCACCCGAUCGUUUAGUAUGUUGCUAUUGCUUUCUUCAUGACUUAUACAUGUUCCUAUAACUAUGAGAUUAUGCAACUCCCGUUUACCGGAGGAACACUUUGGGUACUACCAAACGUCACAACGUAACUGGGUGAUUAUAAAGGAGUACUACAGGUGUCUCCAAUGGUAGGUGUUGGGUUGGCGUAUUUCGAGAUUAGGGUUUGUCACUCCGAUUAUCGGAGAGGUAUCUCUGGGCCCUCUCGGUAAUGCACAUCACAUAAGCCUUGCAAGCACCGCAACUAAUAUGUUAGUUGUGAGAUGAUGUAUUACGGAACGAGUAAAGAGACUUGCCAGUAACGAGAUUGAACUAGGUAUUGGAUACCGACGAUCGAAUCUCGGGCAAGUAACAUACCGAUGACAAAGGGAACAACGUAUGUUGUUAUGCGGUCUGACCGAUAAAGAUCUUCGUAGAAUAUGUAGGAGCCAAUAUGGGCAUCCAGGUCCCGCUAUUGGUUAUUGACCGGAGACGUGUCUCGGUCAUGUCUACAUUGUUCUCGAACCGUAGGGUCCGCACGCUUAACGUUACGAUGACAGUUAUUAUGAGUUUAUGCAUUUUGAUGUACCGAAGGUUGUUCGGAGUCCCGGAUGAGAUCACGGAUAUGACGAGGAGUCUCGAAAUGGUCGAGACGUAAAGAUUGAUGUAUUGGAAGCCUAUGUUUGGACAUAGGAAGUGUUUCGGGUGAAAUCGGGAUUUUACCGGAAUACCGGGAGGGUUACCGGAACCCCCCGGGAGACUAAUGGGCCUAUUGGGCCUUAGUGGAAAAAGAGAAAAGGGGCAGCCCAUAGCUGGCCGGCGCCCCCCCCUUUCCCCAAGUCCUAGUAGGACUAGGAUAAGGGGCCGGCCCCCCUUCUCUCUCCUUUUCCCCCGAGAGUCCUAAUUGGAAUAGGAUUGGAAGGGGGAGUCCUACUCCCGGUAGGAGUAGGACUCCCCCUGCGCCUCCCUCUCCUUGGCCGGCCGGCCCCCCUCCUUCAACCUUUAUAUACGGGGGCAGGGGACACCCCAAGACACACAAGUUGAUCCUUGAGAUCGUUCCUUAGCCGUGUGCGGUGCCCCCUGCCACCAAAUUCCACCUCGAUCAUACCGUUACAGUGCUUAGGCGAAGCCCUGCGUCGGUAGUACAUCAAGAUCGUCACCACGCCGUCGUGCUGACGAAACUCUUCCUCGACGCUUUGCUGGAUCGGAGCCCGAGGAUCGUCAUCAAGCUGAACGUGUGCCAAGAACUCGGAGGUGCCGGAGUAACGGUGCUUGGAUCGGUCGGAUCGGAAAGAAGACGUACGACUACUUCCUCUAUGUUGUGUGAUUGCUUCCGCAGUCGGUCUGCGUUGGUACGUAGACAACACUCUCCCCUCUCGUUGCUAUGCAUCACCAUGAUCUUGCGUGUGCGUAGGAAAAUUUUCGAAAUUACUGCGUUCCCCAACACAAUAUGUCAUUCACAUAUACUUUAUCAGAAAUUCUGUAGUGCUCCCACUCACUUUCUUGUAAAUACAGGCUUCACCGCAAGUCUGUAUAAAACUAUAUGCUUUGAUCAACUUAUCAAAGCGUGUAUGCCAACUCUGAGAUGCUUGCACCAGUCCACAGAUGGAUCGCUGGAGCUUGCACAUUUUGUUAGCACCUUUCGGAUUGACAAAACCUUCGGUUGCAUCAUAUACAACUCUUCUUUAAUAAAUCCAUUAAGGAAUGCAGUUUUGUUUAUCCAUUUGCCAGAUUUCAUAAAAUGCGGCAAUUACUAACAUGAUUCGGACAGACUCAAGCAUAGAUACGAGUGAGAAGCUCUCAUCGUAGUCAACACCUUGAACUUGUCAAAAACUUUUUGCGACAAUUCUAGCUUUGUAGAUAGUAACACUACUAUCAGCGUCCAUCUUCCUCUUGAAGAUCCAUUUAUUCUCAAUUGCUUGCCGAUCAUCGGGCAAGUCAACCAAAGUCCAAACUUUGUUCUCAUACAUGGAUCAUAUCUCAGAUUUCAUGGCCUCAAACUAUUUCGCGGAAUCUGGGCUCAUCAUUGCUUCCUCAUAGUUCGUAGGUUCGUCAUGGUCAAGUAACAUGACCUCCAGAACAGGAUUACCGUACCACUUUGGUGCGGAUCUCACUCUGGUUUACCUACGAGAUUCGGUAGUAACUUGAUCUGAAGUUACAUGAUCAUCAUCAUUAGCUUCCUCACUAAUUGGUGUAGUAGUCACAAGAACAGAUUUUUGUGAUGAACUACUUUCCAAUAAGGUAGAAGGAACGAUUACCUUAUCAAGUUUUCUACUUUCCUCCCACUCACUUCUUUCAAGAGAAACUCCUUCUCUAGAAAGGAUCCAUUAUAAGCAACGAAAGUCUUGCUUUAGGAUCUGUGAUAGAAGGUGUACCCAACAGUCUCCUUUGGGUAUCCUAUGAAGACAUAUUUCUCCGAUUUGGGUUUGAGCUUAUCAGGAUGAAACUUUUUCUCAUAAGCAUCGCAACCCCAAACUUCAAGAAACGACAACUUUGGUUUCUUGCCAAACCAUAGUUCAUAAGGCAUCGUCUUGACGGAUAUAGAUGGUGCCCCUUUUUUUAACGUGAAUGCAGCUGUCUCUAAUGCAUAACCCCAAAACGAUAGUGGUAAAUCGGUAAGAGACAUCAUAGAUCGCACUAUAUCUAAUAAAGUACGGUUAUGACGAUCGGACACACCAUUACACUAUGGUGUUCAUGUGGCGUGAGUAGUGAAACUAUUUCACAUUGUUUGUAACUGAAGGGCAAACUCGUAACUCAAAUACUCUUCUCGACGAUCAGAUCAUAGAAACUUUAUUUUCUUGUUACGAUGAUUUUUCACUUCACUCUGAAAUUCUUUGAACUUUCAAAUGUUUCAGACUUAUGUUUCAUCAAGUAGAUAUACUCAUAUCUGCUCAAAUCAUCUGUGAAGGUCAGAAAAUAAUGAUACCCGCUGCAAGCCUUAAAUAUUCAUCGGACCACAUACAUCAGUAUGUAUGAUUUCCAACAAAUCUGUUGCUUGCUCCAUUGUUCCGGAGAACGGUUUUUUAGUCAUCUUGCCCAAAAGGCAUGGUUCGCAAGCAUCAACUGAUUCAUAAUCAAGUGAUUCCAAAAGCCCAUCAGCAUGGAGUUUCUUCAUGCGCUUUAUACCAAUAUCACCUAAACGGCAGUGCCACAAAUAACUUGCACUAUCAUUAUUAACUUUGCAUCUUUUGGUUUCAAUAUUAUGAAUAUGUGUAUCACUACGAUCGAGAUCCAACGAACUUGUUUCAUUGGGUGUAUGACCAUCGAAGGUUUUAUUCAUGUAAACAGAACAACAAUUAUUCUCUUACUUUAAUGAAUAACCGAAUUACAAUAAACAUGAUCAAAUCAUAUUCAUGCUCAAUGCAAACACCAAAUAACACUUAUUUAGGUUCAACACUAAUCCCGAAAUUUUAGGGAGUGUGCGAUGAUGAUCAUAUCAAUCUUGGAACCACUUCCAACAUACAUCGUCACUUCACCCUUAACUAGUCUCUGUUCAUUCUGCAACUCCCGUUUCGAGUUACUACUCUUAGCAACUGAACUAGCAUCAAAUACUGAGGGGUUGCUAUAAACACUAGUAAAGCACACAUCAAUAACAUGUAUAUCAAAUAUACUUAUGUUCACUUUGCCAUCCUUCUUAUCCGCCAAUCACUUGGGGUAGUUCCGCUUCCAGUGACCAGUCCCUUUGCAGUAGAAGCACUUAGUCUCAGGCUUAGGAUCAGACUUGGGCUUCUUCACUUGAGCAGCAACUUGCUUGCCGUUCUUCUUGAAGUUCCCCUUCUUCCCUUUGCCCUUUUCUUGAAACUAGUGGUCUUGUCAACCAUCAACACUUGAUGUUUUUCUUGAUUUCUACCUUCGUUGAUUUCAACAUCACAAAGAGCUUGGGAGUUGUUUCCGUUAUCCCUUGCAUAUUAUAGUUCAUCACGAAGUUCUACUAACUUGGUGAUGGUGACUAGAGAAUUCUGUCAAUCACUAUCUUAUCUGGAAGAUUAACUCCCACUUGAUUCAAGCGAUAGUAGUACCCAGACAAUCUGAGCACACGCUCACUAGUUGAGCGAUUCUCCUCCAUCUUUUAGCUAUAGAACUUGUUGGAGACUUCAUAUCUCUCAACUCGGGUAUUUACUUGAAAUAUUAACUUCAACUCCUGGAACAUCUCAUAUGGUCCAUGACUGUAACGCCCCACAUGUAACCUUCCCCAAUUGUACUCCGACUCAUGCCGUUUCCGGCAUUAAGUUAUAUUUAAUUUUCGGGUUCGGGUCUUUGUAUCUGUGUGUUGUUUUGUUUUUCGUGCAUCUCAUAUCUUGUCAUCACGUGCAUUGCAUUUGCAUACAUGUUCGUCUCAUGCAUUCAAGCAUUUUCCCCGUUGUCCGUUUUGCAUUCCGGCGCUUCGUUCUCCUCCGGUGGCCAUUUCUAGCUUUCUUUCGUUUGUGGGGAUUAAACAUUUCCGGAUUGGACCGAGACUUGCCAUGCGGCCUUGGUUUACUACCGGUAGACCGCCUGUCAAGUUUCGGGUCAUUUGGACUUCGUUUGAUACUCCAACGGUUAACCGAGGGACCGAAAAGGCCUCGUGUGUGAGCAGCCCAACACCCCUCCAUUUUGGCCCAAAACCCACCAAACUCAGCUCCAUUGUCUCGGUCGUUCGAUCACGAUCAUGUGGGCGAAAACCGCACCUCAUUUGGACUCUCCUAGCUCCCUCUAUGCCUAUUUAAAGGCCCCCAUUUUUCGGAUCCCGUCUUCCUCCCCGUCCUCCUCGAAAAAAAAACCUCAGAUCUCCCCUCCACCGCACCNNNNNNNNNNNNNNNNNNNNNNNNNNNNNNNNNNNNNNNNNNNNNNNNNNNNNNNNNNNNNNNNNNNNNNNNNNNNNNNNNNNNNNNNNNNNNNNNNNNNNNNNNNNNNNNNNNNNNNNNNNNNNNNNNNNNNNNNNNNNNNNNNNNNNNNNNNNNNNNNNNNNNNNNNNNNNNNNNNNNNNNNNNNNNNNNNNNNNNNNNNNNNNNNNNNNNNNNNNNNNNNNNNNNNNNNNNNNNNNNNNNNNNNNNNNNNNNNNNNNNNNNNNNNNNNNNNNNNNNNNNNNNNNNNNNNNNNNNNNNNNNNNNNNNNNNNNNNNNNNNNNNNNNNNNNNNNNNNNNNNNNNNNNNNNNNNNNNNNNNNNNNNNNNNNNNNNNNNNNNNNNNNNNNNNNNNNNNNNNNNNNNNNNNNNNNNNCCCGGCCGGCCUCGUCCCCGGCCCCCCUCGCCGCCGACCCCGCCGGCCGCCGCCUCGGCAUCCGCGCCACCGGCCGUGAACAGUAACUCCGGCGCCUCGGUUUCCGUGCCCGAUCCAGAUCUGGAUCUGGGAUAUUUUCGGUUGACUUUCUCCUCCCGAAACCCUAAUUUUCUUGCUACUUUGACCGCUCAUAUCUCCUCAUCCGUAGCUCCGUUUUGGGUGUAUGAUAUGUCAAAAUCUUCGUCUCGACGAGUACAUCAUUUCAUUCCAUUGCAUCAUUUGCAUUUGAGGUCAUCUUGUUGCCAAAAAUGCUGUUGGAAGGAGGCAUGUUGAGUUAAAUUGCAGAUCCAUUAGUUCAACAUGCACUUUUGUCAUUUUUGCCAUAUUUAAUCCGUGCAUGAUAUGCCUGUGCCCCUUUGGGAUGAAUUGUUAAGCAUGUUGUCUUCUUUCCAUAGGUGCCUUCCAUGUAUUUUUAGGAUGUGUGUGUUGUCUUGUGCAAGCUUGCGAAGAGGGCUACCUGAGAUUACAGAUUUCAGGGACUUGGUGAUUUUCACAAAGUCUGAGCCAUUUUAGUUCACGAUGCUAUAUGUCCGGCUUGUUUCCUAGUGAUCCGUGCCUCUUUUGAGGAUGAUCUGUAAGAGUGAUUUGUUAUGAUUGUUGUGCUUAAUCCAUCCAUGUAUUUACUUGUUAUGUUGGAGCACCCUAGGUUGACUCAAUCGAGCUCAACUUUUGGAAAGUUGCUGUUUUGGGCAGAUCGUAAACUCUUUUGCGAUUUUGCCGGAGUUAUUGCUAGUGAUCCAUGCAUGCUAUGCCAUUGUUCUUGCCAUGUCUAGCUAGCAUUUUGUGCCUUCUUAAUGGAUAUAUUCUUGCCUUGCCAUGACUUGCACCGUAGUGAGAGCAUCGAGCUCGUUUACACAGCUCCGUGAGUUAUUAUUUCAGCAUGUCCCAGUUUUCACUAAGUCUGAAAACUGAUUGUGUUUCAUCAAUGUUCGUGUGCUCGGUAGAGUAUUUUUGUGAACCCUUUUGGCCCCAGGUCAUUUUGGGUGUUUUGUUAAGCUUGUUGAGUAGCUCCAUGCCAUGCUCUUACUUGCCAUGUUCAGGUUUUCCUUCAUGUUGUUUUUCUGCUCCGAAGAGAGCAUCGUGGUCUGAAAUUUCAGACUAGCGUUAAUUUCGCUAUGUCUGAAAUAUGUUUUGCUUAAUCAGUUUUGCCAUGCUUGUUUGAAGCCCUUAAUGGAUGAAUUUGUCUAUGCCUCAGUCAUGAUGAUUUGUUAAGCUUGAUGAGUACAUCACUGCCAUGUAAUUUGUUUUCAUGUUGGGUGGCUGUAGCAUGGUCAUUUUGUUGCAUUUAGGAGCCUACUUGCUGUAAAUCGCAGAUCGGUUCGUUUAGUAAAACGCUUGCCAUUUCUAAACCGUAGCUCCGAUUGCCAUGAUCUUUAUAUCGUUUUCAGGGGAUUUCUUCCCCUCUAUCCAGUGGCACACUUGGAUUUCCAAGUUGAGGCCAGGUUCAUGCAUUUCCUGUUACAUGUUGCAUUUUGCAUCCCGCAUCGCAUCCCGCAUAGCAUAUCAUCUUUGCAUCUUAUUGGUUGCCUUUGCACGGGAUUGAUUGUAUCCUUGUUGCUUGUUUGUGUUGUUGGGUAGAGCCGGGAGACGAGUUCGCUAAUGAGGAGCCCGUUGAGUUUGCUUUUGAGGAUCCAGUCAAUUCUGACAACUGUGCAGGCAAGAUGAUCACACCCUUGAAAUCACUUCUAUCUUUGCUAUGCUGGUAUGCUCGCUCUUUUGCUUUGCCAAUGCUAGGAUGCCUACCACUUGCUUGUCAGCCUCCCAAUUGCCAUGAUUGAGCCUCUAACCCACCUUUGUCCUAGCAAACCAUUGAUUGGCUAUGUUACCGCUUUGCUCAGCCCUUCUUAUAGCGUUGUUAGUUGCAGGUGAAGAUUGGAGCCGUUCCUUGUUGGAACAUUUAUUUACGUGUUGGGAUAUCAUUAUAUUGCUAUGUUAUCUUUACUCAUCUAUAUACUUGGUUAAGGGUGGAAGGCUCGGCCUCUCGCCUAGUGUUUUGUUCCACUCUUGCCGCCCUAGUUUCCGUCAUAUCGGUGUUAUGUUCCCGGUUUGUUGCGUCCCUUACGCGGUUGGGCUAUAAUGGGAACCCCUUGAUAGUUCGCCUUGAUGAAAGCUUUUCCAGCAAUGCCCAACAUUGGUUUUACCAUUUGCCACCUACCUUUUUCUUUCCCUUGGGUUUCCGGAGCCCGAGGGUCAUCUUUAUUUUAGCCCCCACGGGCCAGUGCUCCUCUGAGUGUUGGUCCGAACCAGGCAGCCUGCGGGGCCACCUCGGGGAAACUCGAGGGUUGGUUUUACUCGUAGCUUGACCUAUCCGAGCGUGCCCUGAGAAAGAGAUAUGUGCAGCUCCUAUCGGGAUUUGUCGGCACAUUAGGGCGGCGUUGCUGGACUAGUUUUGACCUGUCGAAUCAUCUUGUUGUACCGGGAUACCAAGUCUGAUCGGUGGGUCCUGGGUGGAGGUCUAUUCCUUCGUUGACCGUGAGAGCUUGUUAUGGGCUAAGUUGGGACCCCCCUGCAGGGAUUGAUCUUUCGAAAGCCGUGCCCGCGGUUAUGGGCAUAUGGGAAUUUGUUAAUGUCCGGUUGUAGACAACUUGAACUUAAUUAAUUAAAAUGAAUCAACUGCGUGUGUUGCCGUGAUGGCCUCUUCUCGGCGGAGUCCGGGAAGUGGACACGACGUUGGAGUUAUGCUUGCGUAGUCUACUCUAUUUAGUUUCCGCUCGUGCUUUGCCUUCUCUUCUCGCUCUCCUUUGCGAAUAAGUUAGCCACCAUAUAUGCUAGUCGCUUGCUGCAGCCCCACUACAUUACCCCUUCCUUACCUAUUAAGCUUUGAAAGUGCGUUAUAUCGACUAGAGGGGGGGUGAAUAGGCGAUUUUUAUGAAAGUCUUCAAAACGUGGAAGUUAUGAAGACAACCAGUGAAGAUAUGCCUAUCACUAUGCAGCGGAAGUUAGAUUACACAAGCAAGCUAAGGUCAAGUAUUCAAUAGAGUGAAAGCACAGCAACAAUAGCUUCAGUGUAAUUAGGAUCAGGUAGGAAGAAGUUAUGAAGCCAAUCAAAUCAUACAGUUAUGUUGUGAAGACAAAAGAUAGAGCAAGCAUGCAAUGGCUUCUCAAUGAAUAACAGUAAGUUGAAGGGAAGUGAAGAUGAAACCAGUGACACGUUGAAGACAAUGAUUUGUUGGACCAGUUCCAGUUGCUGUGACAACUGUACGUCUGGUUGGAGCGGCUAGGUAUUCAAACCAAAGGACACACAGUCCCGGACACCCAGUCAAGGACACUUAGUCCAAGACACCCAGUCCUCACCGUAUUCUCCUUGAGCUAAGGUCACACAGACCUCGCCCAAUCACUCAGGUAAGUCUUCAAGGUAGACUCCCGAACCUUCACAGACUUCGUUCACCGGCAAUCCACAAUUACUCUUGGAUGCUCAGAACGCGACGCCUAACCGUCUGGAGGAUGCACAGUCCUCAAGUGUAAUAAGUCUUCAGAUCACACAGACAAGAAGACUUAAGUGAUGCCCAAUUUACUCUGGCUCUGGGUGGUUAGGGCUUUUCUCCUCGCUAGGGAUUUUCUCUCCAAGGCUUCGAGGUGGGUUGCUCUCAAACGACAAAAGCCGUGCACUGAAAUCUGAGCAGCCAACCGUUUAUGGUUGUGGGGGUGGGCUAUAUAUAGCCACUUGGCAACCCUGACCUGAUUUGUCCGAAAUGACCCUGGGUCACUAAGGAACUGACACGUGUACUAACGGUCGGAUUUUGAACUCUCGCGGCAACUUUACUUGGGCUGCAAGUAAAGCUGACUUGUCUGACUCUGGACAAGAUUUUUCUCUCAUUGUCUUCACUUGAAGACAUAGGAUUUGAAUUAGGCAUCACUUCAGUCAUCCUGACUGGUUUUCUUGGACCCCACUUAACAGUACGGUGGUUCCUAUGACACAACAUGAAUAAAGUAAAGCUACGAAAGAUCUAAGUCUUUGAGUUCCAAAAGCUUCAUGGGGAGUCUUCAUAUGUCAUUGUCUUCGACAUGAAUGUCUUCAUGAACCACCAUUGUCUUCAAUAUCUUCAUACAUUUUUGGGGGUCAUCUCUGGUAGCUAAACCGAAUCAAUGAGGGACUUCUACCUGUGUUAUCCUGCAAUUCUCACAAACACAUUAGUCCCGCAACUAGGUUUGUCGUCAAUACUCCAAAACCAACUAGGGGUGGCACUAGAUGCACUUACAAUCUCCCCCUUUUUGGUGAUUGAUGACAAACUAGUUGAAGUUUUCAACGGGGAAUAUAAUUUGUGAAAUUGUAAAGGAAUUGUCUUCAUAAGCAGCAAUGGCUCCCCCUGAAGAUGUGCAUGUUAAGUGAUUUGCUUCUGGAAUGCAAAUGCACACAACAGGUUGUAUUUGUGGGAAUCCGCUUCAACUUAUGAUGACAAUCCAUCAUGCACGUAAAGAUAUAUGAAGAUAAUGAUAUGCAUAAUGAAAAAUGGACGUCUGCGAAAUGAUAAGAGUGCGGAAAUUAUCGUCGUACAUGCGGAAUUUAUCUUCGCAAGAACACAGUAGCAGACGACCAUCAAGUUUAAGUGUUACAACUCAAAGAACCAAAAGUAGCAAAACGAGAGUUGUAAACACGAAGCAAAAUGCAAAAUAUAAAGCACCCGCCCAUAUUAUUGACCCGCUUGAAGACUAUAAACAUCAUAUGCUUCUCCCCCUUUUGUCAGUGAUGACCAAAAAGGUUUGAAGACAUAGAGUUUUCUAUGCGUUCCCAGGCGCAGCAGGGUCGGUGGAGGCGUUUGGUGGUGCAGGUGAGCUUGGUGCAGUGACGACGCGCGCUGAAGACAUCGGUGGUGAUGUAGCGUCGUCUUCUUCUUCAAUGAUCUUGGCAGAUACUGUGGCAGCAGAAGAAGAAAAAUCCGAAUCUUCAAGAGAUGGUGUGCUUCGCAUCACAGCUCUUCUGGGAGGUGUGGUAUCAAACUUGAAAUGCUCUUUGAAGCCAUCCUCAUGAAGAUCAGCUUCUGGGCACAUCAUGGUGAGACCUUUCCAGGUGCGGCGACAGGUUUCGUGUGCGACGAAUGCAUUCUUGGUUGCCAGAUUGCGGAUGCGAUUGACGUCUUUCAUGAUGCACUUCAUCUGCCUCUUGAGCCAGUCGUGAUGCCUAUCUUGCUUUUGAUGCAGAGCCACAAGAAGUUCACGAUCAGUGAGUGUACGAGCUCGUUUCUUGGGUCUCUGCCCAGCUUCGCUGUCAGUGGCUUCAGUGGAUGCAGGGGCACGUGUGGUGCCAGCCAUUGGAUAGACUCUGGAAAUGGCUUCAACACCUUCAUCAUGUGGAGUGAAGCUUUGGUGUUCUGCAUUCUGAAGACUUAGUGGCUGUUUGGCAGGCUCAGGAUAAAUGGCUUCAGCUGAGGUGUCCACAUCUGGUAAGAAGAUCCUGUGGUUGCGGGCUGAGGGCUGAUAGGAGAUUGCAGAGUGAAGCUUAAUCAGCCUCAUCACCCAGGGAGCAUAGAUCUUCAAUCCAAACAAUUCUGUGGCUGACGCUGCAAGUUGACGGAUGAAGAGAUCCUGUGCGUUGAAGCAUUUGCCAUGCAUAAUACAGAAGAUGAGAGUCUUCAUGGCACCUUCAAGCUUGGCAUACCGAGAGUGUCCCUUAAUGGGCCAGAGAGUCCGCCUUAUGAUAUGAUAUAUGGUUCUGGGCAGGUACUCUAAGUCUUCAACGAAGAACUCAGUUGGAUAAGGUGCAUCAUGUGCCAAUGGCUUCAUCAUGGAGAGCAUCUGACUCAUAUUUGGUUCUGGACGCUUAAAUAUGCUCUCAGUUGCUUCAGCAUGGAGUUGGCAUCCUUCUUCAAAGAAUUCGCCAGGAGUGGGAAGGCCAGUAAGCUCAAUGAUGUCGAAAGCUUUGGCUUCAUGAUGGACAUCUCCUGUCAUCCACUCCAGGACCCAUGUCUUCGGAUCUCGGUUGUAGCCUUUUAUAUGCAGAGUGGCAUAGAAUUGAAGCAUAAGCUCUUCGUUCCAGUGCUCUUCGUCAGUGAUGAAUGGCAGUAGACCCACUUGCCUGAAGCAAUCAAUGGCUUCUUCCAAACCAGGCAGACCAGCAACAGCUUCAACCUCAAGGCGCUGGUGGGGAAAGAUGCGGCCUUGGUUGUAUAGAAUGCAUGAAUAGUAGCUGCGCUGUUGAUGGCUCCAGAACCUAUCUGAUGCAAUCUGUGCCCUUGAAUAAGGGUUCGCGGAGCUGUUGAAGAAAGUGUUGUCUGCCCUGAAGUUGUUGAUGUUGAAGGAACCAGGAGCUGAAGCAGGACCUGGGAACCUUGGCAGUCGUGGAAUUGGCUUCUGAACCUGAGGCCUGUGCGCAAUGUGAUAGUUGAAUUGCGGGCCGGCAGCAGACUCUGGUGCAGAAGGUUCAGGGUCAGCAGUUUCAGUAUGAUCUGAAGCUAUUGUCGGAGAGGGCUCCACAUUGGCUUCAGCAUUGUGUGUGGCAGCCUCAAUGUUUUCAUCCUCAGCACGUGCAGUGAGAGGAACGGACUCAGGCACGUUCUCCUGGAGAACGGCCUCUUGUUGGGGUGGUGGAGUUGGAGCUUGGGGUUCCUGUGGUGCUUUCUCAUUGUCUUCGGCUGGUGCAGCCGGAAUGUCGUCAGCAGCUUGAGCCCUUGGUCCUCUGCGAAGCCUACGGAAUGCAGGCGAUGCUGGUGGAGUUGCAGUGGUCUGGGGCUCAUCCUCUUCCUCCUGUGGGCGAUCUUCCCACGAUGCAUCUUGUGUGAUUGGCGUCAAGGGACGACCAAUGCUGAGCAAUUCACUCGAUUCGAGCUGAGGAAGGACUGCAUCAUCUUGUACAUUGUCUUCGAGACCAAUGUCUUCAGCAGCGGUGGGGUCGGCUGCUGGAAUGUCUUCAUCACGCUGAGCCUCGGUGAGAGCAGGCUCAUGGACGGUCAGCUGACGAUCUUCAUUAGGACGGUGAACGGAAAGGGGUUCAACCAUCAAGGGCUCUGUGGGAGCAGCCCGAGACUUCUUGGACUUGCGCUUCUUGGCGGUGGGAUCUGAAGGAGAGGCUUCAAAGUGUUUCCUCUUCCUUGCUUUGGCUUCGGCUAUCCUUGUCUUCUUAAGCUCUGAAGCGGGUGAGCGCUUUGGCUUCGAGCUAGGCUUGGCGGUGGGGAAGACAAUUGGAAUAGCUUCUUGGCGUGGGGCCUCUUCUUCAGCCACGGUGGGCGUCUUCUUUUUCUUGGCGGCCAUCCGGGGGUCGAUGCCGGGACGCCCAAGUGCCUUUCGCUUUUCGGCCUCGUUGUAGGCCUGUACGCAGAGAUCAGCCAAAUGCUUCAUGCGCUCGCGGGAUCCCUGAGCCUCUGCACGUUUCUGCAUGAAGUUUUCCUUCAGUUCAUGCAGCAUGACCUUGAAGUCUUUGAUCUCCUGGACGCUGAGCGUGGCCAUGUUUUGCUUAAACUAAGCCUUCUCAAAAUCUAUCUUUUGCUUCAGUUCCACGAUGCGCUGGGCAAUAGCGAGUUCUGAAGCGAUAGCUCCUUGGAAGGCCACGCUGAGGCCAAUGGGCAGCUGCAGAUCGUCAAAGCUGAUGUUGGGCGUGUCAAACCACUCAUCUAUGAAGCUGUGGAUGAUCUUUGCAUCGAACAGAGGCAGAUCGUUGAAGAUUUCAGCCUCCUCCUUGCUCUUGAUGAGCUGCUCAAGAGCGUCAUCACCAAGAUCUUCGUCACUGGACAGAUCAAUGUCUUCGCAGCGAAGAACGGCAGCGACAAUUAGCUCUUUGCUGGUGUGUGGCUGUGGUUUCUUUGCAUCUUGAGGCUUGGAGACUCUUGAUAAGCCUUCAGACUGCACACUGGCUUCAGGAGGUGCAGUGGCCAAUGGCUUCGCUUUGGAGAUCUUGGGGGAGGCGACUGGCUUGGAAGCUUUUGGCUUCUUCUUCAUCUGCUUUGGCUCUGGGGCAGCAGGAGCAUCAUCAGACUCAGUGUCUGCUGGAGGGUCGUUCACGGUAGUCCCUUGGACUAUAAUGUGAGUGAUGAGGCCGUCGAGAUUGGCAAAUGGCCCGAUGACAUUGGGAUUAGCGUCGCGUGUGCCAUCUGCUCUUGGUUUGGAGGGACCAGGGUUGAAGUCCAAUCCAAACUCCUUCUUGUUUUGCUUCGCAGAGUUCUGGGCAAAUUGGAAGUUGCGCUUGAAAAGAGUGUCAUCGCGACACCAGAGAAGGGACGAUGGAUGUGCAUCAGCUGGCUGAUGUCCCCUAACCAUGCAUGGAAAGAAACCUUGAGCUAUGGCUUCGUCUCUGGUUCGGGGUACAAGAUUCUUGUACAAGGCAUCUCCCCAUGGCCGCUUGAUGGCGCACUUCUCUGCAUAUUCUUUGGUGACGAAGCGGUAUAGGAACCACUGCUCCGCCCAGUACCUGCGAAUCCAUUGGAUUCGUGUCUUGCGCUGAGCAUAGGUUUCUUCAGGAUCUGUUUGGUACGUUUCUGCCAAAUCUGCAGGCAGAUCCUUUGAUGUGUCACCCCGUCUCUGUCUGCCUCCCUUCCUUGAUGGUUUCUCGGAUGCCAUGAAGCUUAACUUGGAAGGCUUCAAAAGCUUCAAAGGCUUCAAAGCUUUCAAAGGCUUCAAAGGCUUCCUUUUGCUUGACCAACAUGAACUUGCUUCAGGUGAAUUGAUGUGACGCUGUAGGAAUUCUGCAAAUGAAUGCAGACUAUGAGAACCAAAAGAUUCUCCCACGGACAUGUACCUGUGACAGCAUUAAGGUGCGAGGGAAGGGGAAGAGGUCAUAUGCAUUCUCAGAAGAUUUUGAAGAUAAAUUCGUUUAGAAGACAUUGACCUCAUUAUGCGAAGACAUUCACUUAGAGAAAAGAAGUUGGUUCCAGAUUUGUACGAACCCAUAGAUAAGUACAAGUGAGGAAUCUAACUACUUCAGGAUGCACAAGUGAAGAUUCUAGGCAGUUUAUGAGAUGCAGACUGAGAGAGAUGUUACUUGUGAUAGCAGUAAACUUCUUAUGGAAGAGAAUGACUGAGCUAUAGGAUCAAAAGAGGCAGUAAAAAGGGGUUUUAAUUACCACACUUGGAACUGCUAGACGAAGUGGGAUUUGAGGCCGAGCAGUUCGAUCCUCCGUGCCCUAACUUGGCGACGGAAGACACCUACGGCGACGGCGGAGAGGUUGAGGUCCGCGGUCGGCGUGAAAACGGCGUCGGAGAGGUUGCGGCAGUGAAGCGCUUCGUCGCCGGCGUCGUCUAGGGCUAGCGGUGGCGCUAGGGUUCGUGCGAGCGAGGGUGGAAGAAGAAAUAGUGACCGCUGUGAAUCGUGUACUUAUAGGAACAGAGGCGGCAUUGCGCUAUUACUUAGGUGCCCCGGGCGGUUCGCAUCUGAACAGCACGUGGCCAUCAUGCGGAAUCUCGGGGGCAGUUCCACAUCCCACGUUCGCCUGGACUGUCGGGCGGUCGUUCCUACUUCUCCGGAGCAUUGAAAACGGUUUUAAAGUUUGUCUCUUUGUCUUCAACUGACUAGGGUGCAGUGAAGACAUUCGACAGUUUCAAUAGAAUGCAUACGACUUGGAGAGAUAGAGUUUGAGGUAGGAAGCAUGGAGAGGUUAGGGUCCGAUCACGUUCACUUAGUUCAAAAGAUUCAAACAAGAAGACAUAGCUAUAAGUGAAUGCUGUAGAGGACAGAACACCAGUGCAUAUGUAAUCAACAUAGUGAAGAUAAUCAUGAAGACAUGUUGGGAUUGAAGCCAAACUAAAUGUGAAGACAUUGCGAGGUAACGCCAUGAAUGAAACACUUCAAAUAGAAUGGUUGGUGGUGGCGUUACCCACCGUAUAGGAAGUAUUAGACCCAGACACGGCGCACAAUUAUCGUGGCGCUCCGAAGUCUAUUUCCGCAUUAAUGUAUUCACACUUAGAGUGUAUGUCUUCAUUGAUUGAAGAUAUACGUUACUUCGUGUGUUGCACACCUAAGUCGUCAAUAUGCAUAAGUGUUAGGAUGUGUGCCUGAUCACAGGACAUUUGAGGAUUCCAAGAUAUUUAGCUCACACCGUAACUUGCAAAACCUCUUCUCAUCCAAGGGCUUGGUGAAGAUAUCUGCCAAUUGAUCUUCAGUGUUGACGUGUAUGAUAUCAAUAUCUUCCUUUGCCACAUGGUCUCUGAGAAAAUGAUGACGAAUUUCAAUGUGCUUUGUCUUCGAGUGCUGAACUGGGUUGUUGGCGAUCUUGAUGGCGCUUUCGUUGUCGCAGUAAAGUGGCACUUGCUUUAGAUGAAUGCCGUAAUCCUUGAGGGUUUGCUUCAUCCAUAGAAUCUGAGCGCAGCAGGAUCCAGCAGCAAUGUAUUCAGAUUCAGCAGUGGAGAGAGAUACACAGUUCUGCUUCUUUGAAGACCAACAGACAAGAGACCGGCCCAGGAAAUGACAUGUGCCUGAUGUGGACUUCCGAUCAACCUUGUCACCAGCGUAAUCAGCGUCCGAAAAUCCAACCAGAUCAAACUCUGAGCCCUUUGGAUACCAUAACCCUAGAGUUGGUGUGUGAGCCAAAUAUCGAAGAAUUCGCUUCACUGCUAAGUGAUGCGACUCCUUUGGUGCCGCUUGAAACCGAGCACACAUGCAAACACUAAGCAUAAUAUCUGGCCUAGAUGCACAUAAAUAAAGCAAAGAACCAAUUAUGGAGCGGUAUACCUUUUGAUCGAACUCUUUACCAUUGUCGUCAGGACCCAGAUGAUGUUUGGCUGGCAUUGGAGUCGUGAAGCCUUUGCAAUCUUGCAUACCGAACUUCUUCAGGCAGUCUUUGAGGUAUUUCUCUUGAGAUAUGAAGAUGCCAUUGCGUUGUUGCCUUAUCUGAAGACCGAGGAAGAAUUUCAGCUCCCCCAUCAUAGACAUCUGAUAUUGCUCUUGCAUCAUAUAUCCGAACUCCUCACUGUACUUCUGAUUGGUGCAGCCGAAGAUAAUGUCAUCCACGUAUAUUUGGCACACAAACAGUUCACCAUCAUAUGUCUUCGUGAAGAGAGUGGGAUCCAGGGAACCGGGUAUGAAGCCUUUGCUCUUCAGGAAGUAUUUGAGUGUGUCAUACCAGGCCCGAGGGGCUUGUUUGAGGCCAUAUAGUGCCUUUUUGAGCUUGUAUACCAUGUCAGGAUGUUUUGGAUCUUCAAACCCUGGUGGUUGUGCAACAUACACUUCUUCUUCAAUCUUGCCAUUGAGAAAGGCACUUUUCACAUCCAUUUGAUACAGAAUUAUGUUGUGAUGAUUUGCAUAGGCCAGCAGUAUACGGAUGGCUUCAAGUCUGGCUACAGGAGCAAAUGUUUCAUCGAAGUCAAUGCCUUCCACUUGAGUGUAUCCUUGAGCAACGAGACGAGCCUUGUUUCUGACGACUUGGCCAUGCUCAUCUUGCUUGUUGCGGUAUAUCCAUUUGGUGCCUAUUAUGUUAUGCUUCCGUGGAUCAGGACGCUUAACCAACUCCCAUACAUCAUUCAGCUCAAAUUGUUGAAGCUCUUCUUGCAUAGCUUGAAUCCAUUCAGGUUCCAUAAAGGCUUCGUCAACUUUCUUGGGUUCUGAGAUUGAGACAAAUGCGAAGUGCCCACAGAAGUUUGCCAGUUGAGUUGCCCUUGAACGAGUCAGUGGACCAGGUGCAUUGAUGCUAUCAAUUAUUCUGUCAAUUUGCACUUCAUUGGCAACACGAGGAUGUAGGGGUCGAAGACUUUGCUCUUGCUGAUCUACAUUAUCAUGGGGAGGUAUGUCUUCAGUCUGAGCAUUAUCUUCAAGUGGAUCAGGUGCUGAGAUGAUAAGUUCUUCUUCAGGACGAGCUUCAGAAGGUAUAAUUUCUCCAGUUCCCAUUAGUUUGAUUGCUUCACUAGCUGGAACUUCAUCUAGCACAUUUGGCAGUUGUUCUCUUUGAGAUCCAUUGGUUUCAUCAAACCGCACAUCCACUGUUUCAACCACUUUGUAGUGAAAAAGAUUGAAGACUCUGUAGGAGUGCGAAUCCUUUCCAUAUCCAAGCAUGAAGCCCUCAUGUGCUUUUGGUGCAAACUUAGAGGUAUGGUGUGGGUCCUUGAUCCAGCAUCUUGCACCAAAUACUCUGAAGUAACUGACGUUUGGCUUCUUGCCAGUUAGGAGUUCAUAGGGUGUCUUGUUCAGCAGCUUGUGAAGAUAUACACGGUUGAUAAUAUGGCAUGCAGUGUCAAUGGCUUCAGUCCAGAAUUUUCUUGGUGUCUUGUACUCAUCUAACAUUGUUCUGGCCAUCUCAAUGAGUGUUCUGUUUUUGCGUUCGACGAUGCCAUUCUGUUGUGGCGUGUAUGGAGCUGAGAAUUCAUGAGUGAUGCCCAAUGUAUCAAGAUAUGUGUCAAGGCCAGUGUUCUUGAAUUCUGUGCCAUUGUCACUUCUGAUGUGCUUUAUCUUGGCGCCAUAAUUGUUCAUAGCUCGAUUGGUGAAGCGUCUGAAGACAUCCUGCACUUCAGUCUUGUAAAGGAUUAUGUGCACCCAUGUAUAUCUAGAAUAAUCAUCAACAAUAACGAAGCCAUAGAGGCAAGCAGUAGUGUUAAAAGUUGAGUAGUGAGUGGGACCGAAGAGAUCCAUAUGAAGCAGUUCGAAGGGUUGAGUAGUGGUCAUGAUUGUCUUCGAAGGAUGUUUUGCCCUCGUCAUCUUUCCAGCUUCACAGGCACCGCAUAAGUGAUCUUUCUUGAACUUGACGCCCUCGAUGCCUAUGACAUGCUUCUUCUUCGCAAGGGUGUGGAGGUUCCUCAUGCCAGCAUGCCCAAGUCUUCGAUGCCAAAGCCAGCAUUCUGAAGCCUUUGCGAGAAGACAAACUGCAAGCUGUGGCCCUGCUGAGAAAUCUACCACGUACAAAUCAUCUUUUCGAUACCCUUCAAACACUAGAGACUUGUCAGAUUCCAUUAGUACCAAACAACGAUAUUUUCCAAAGAUCACAAUCAUGUUCAAAUCGCAAAGCAUUGAGACAGACAUUAAGUUGAAGCCAAGGGAUUCAACAAACAUGACUUUAUCCAUGUGUUGAUCCUUUGAGAUUGCAACUCUACCUAGACCCAGUACCUUACUUUUACCAGUGUCAGCGAAUGUGAUGUGGCUCUUGUCGGAUGGACGUAAGGUUGAGUCCAUAAAGAGACUUCUUUUGCCAGUCAUGUGAUUUGUACACCCGCUGUCAAUAAUCCAUACUGAAGACUCCGAAGUUACUGGUGUCGUACCCUACAGUGCAGUUAGGGGGAUAGGCUUCACCAAGAGUGUUGUGAAGCAAGAACAUUUGACGAACCAGUGGAUUAUGAAAACUGAGAUCCAGGUUAGGACAAGCAGGGAGAGUAGCAUGCGAUUCAGAUAUAAAAUACAUAGUGAUGCCAUUUGGGCAUUUGAUCUUGCGCCCCACAAGUUUUUUAAGGUCCCCAGCAGUAGCAUCAGAAGGUUUUGGUUUUGAGCUGGAGACCUUUCCCUGCAAAAGAGAGUUAAGCUUUCUUAACCACCCACAUCUUCAAGGGUGGCUUAGAAGCAAUAAGUCUAAGUGCAGCAUCUGAGAAUUUUAGCUUUGGAGCCCUAGCAAACAGUCUAGCAGGUGGAAAAUAGUACUCAUAAGAAUAGGCAGAAUAGUUCUUGGUCAUAUGAACAUGACGGUUUGACGAACCGCUGUCAUAUUCAUAUGCCUGAGUAUGGUUUCCCUGCAAAAGAUUUGCGUUAGUGUGACUCAAGUGAGUCCUCUGUCUGUAUGAAGCCUUUGGACCGUAUGAAGCCUUUGGUCUGGGGUUUGUCUUCUUCAAGUGAGGUGUCAUGAAGACAUUCACAGGAAGAUUUUCCAGACACGUUUUUGGAACCCAGAUCCUCUUCAUAGGCGAUCCAUUCCUGCGGUUAGUACCAAUGUAUCUGGCAAACACUUCACCAUUCUGAUUCUUAAAUAGUUUAUAGUUUGCAUCAAAGGAUUCAUCAAUAAUAAUGGGGUUGGCACACGUGAAGCCAGACAGAUUGGAUGGAUCUGCUGAGGAUUCCUUUGCAGCAACCCAUGUGGUUUUGGGGUACUGCUCAGGUUUCCAGUAAGAGCCAUCUGCAUUCAUUCUCCUUGUGAACCCAACACCCUCCUUCCUAGGGUUUCGGUUCAGAAUCUGCUUCUUGAGGACAUCACAUAAUGUCUGAUGCCCUUUGAGACUUUUGUACACCCCUGUUUCAAGCAAUGUCUUCAACCUAGCAUUUUCGUCAGCAAUAGCAGUGGUAUCCUCCGCAGAGGGGUUAGUUACCACUUCAACAGUUGAAGAUAUUUCAACGGCAGUAGCAGUGGAACAUUCAGCAACAGAAACUGCAUUAUCACGCUCAAUGCAUUUAAGGCAUGGUGGUUCAAAUCCUUCUGGAGCGGAACUGAUCUAUUCGGCUCGAAGUGACUCGUUUUCUUUUUGAAGAUCUUCAUGAUCCGCUCUCAACUUCUCAAGAUCUUGCUUCCUUUGAAGAUAAUCAUAGGAGAGCUUUUCAUGAGUAGUUGAGAGAGUCUCAAGACGAUCUUCAAGUUCCUGAUACUUAACGUGAAGAUUUUUUAUGUCUUCAAUUAAGGAUUCAGAACGAGUCAUUUCAGCACCCAACAGGUCAUCGCUUCUUUCUAACAGCUUUUGAAUGUGUUCCAUAUCCUUUUGUUGUUCAGUUGCAAUUUUAGCAAGAGUUUUGUAGCUAGGUUUCGAAUCACAAUCAGAGUCAUCGUCACUGGAUGUUUGAUAGUGAGUAGUGCGUUUGGUUACCUUGGCACCACGGGCCAUGAAGCAGUAGGUGGGAGUGGAGUCGUCCUCGUCAUUAGCGUCGGUGCUGGUGAUGAAGUCAUUGUCUUCAGUGUUGAAGAUGGACUUGGCAACAUAGGCAGUAGCCAGACUCGCAAUGCCAGAAUCAGAUUCCUCCUCAGACUCCACCUCUGCCUCCUCAGACGCAGACUCCUCCUCUGAAUCCAUUUCCUUGCCAACAAAUGCACGAGCCUUGCCAGAUGACCUCUUCUUGUGUGAUGAAGACUUUGAGGAAGACUUGGACGAAGACUUUGAGUAUUUCUUCGUCUUCUUAUCGUCAGAGUCAUAUUCCUUGCUCUUCUUCUUCUUUCUGUUCUCAUUUUGCCACUGUGGACACUCAGAGAUGAAGUGUCCAAUUUUCUUGCACUUGUGACAUGUUUUCUUCUUGUAGUCAUGCGCAGACGCUUCAUCAUUCCUUGAGCUUGAUCGUGAAGACUUUCUGAAGCCUUUCUUCUUGGUGAAUUUCUGGAACUUCUUCACAAGCAUAGCAAGUUCCCUUCCAAUGUCUUCAGGAUCAUCAGAACUGCUGUCAGAUUCUUCUUCAGAUGAUGACACAGCUUUUGCCUUCAAUGCACGAGUUCGCCCAUAGUUUGGACCGUAGAUAUCUCUUUUCUCAGAAAGCUGAAACUCAUGUGUGUUGAGCCUCUCAAGUAUGUCAGACGGAUCGAGUGUCUUGAAGUCUGGACGUUCUUGAAUCAUCAGGGCUAGGAUGUCAAAUGAACUGUCAAGUGAUCUCAGCAGCGUCUUGACAAUUUCAUGUUUGGUGAUCUCAGUGGCGCCGAGGGCUUGAAGCUCAUUUGUGAUGUCAGUGAGCCGGUCAAAUGUGUGCUGGACAUUCUCAUUGUCAUUUCGCUUGAAGCGGUUGAAGAGAUUGCGAAGAACACUGAUUCUCUGAUCUCUCUGGGUUGAGACGCCUUCAUUGACCUUUGAGAGCCAGUCCCAGACCAGCUUGGAUGUCUUCAAGGCACUCACACGGCCGUACUGUCCCUUGGUCAGAUGACCACAGAUAAUAUUCUUGGCAGUAGAGUCCAGUUGAGUGAACUUCUUGACAUCAGCAGCAGUGACACCUUCUCCAGCCUUGGGAACGCCGUUCUCGACGACAUACCAUAGGUCGACGUCAAUGGCUUCAAGAUGCAUGCGCAUCUUAUUCUUCCAGUAGGGAUAUUCAGUUCCAUCAAAGACGGGGCACGCAGCGGAGACUUUGAUUAUCCCUGCAGUCGACAUAGCUAAAACUCCAGGUGGUUAAACCGAAUCACACAGAACAAGGGAGCACCUUGCUCUGAUACCAAUUGAAAGUGCGUUAUAUCGACUAGAGGGGGGGUGAAUAGGCGAUUUUUAUGAAAGUCUUCAAAACGUGGAAGUUAUGAAGACAACCAGUGAAGAUAUGCCUAUCACUAUGCAGCGGAAGUUAGAUUACACAAGCAAGCUAAGGUCAAGUAUUCAAUAGAGUGAAAGCACAGCAACAAUAGCUUCAGUGUAAUUAGGAUCAGGUAGGAAGAAGUUAUGAAGCCAAUCAAAUCAUACAGUUAUGUUGUGAAGACAAAAGAUAGAGCAAGCAUGCAAUGGCUUCUCAAUGAAUAACAGUAAGUUGAAGGGAAGUGAAGAUGAAACCAGUGACACGUUGAAGACAAUGAUUUGUUGGACCAGUUCCAGUUGCUGUGACAACUGUACGUCUGGUUGGAGCGGCUAGGUAUUCAAACCAAAGGACACACAGUCCCGGACACCCAGUCAAGGACACUUAGUCCAAGACACCCAGUCCUCACCGUAUUCUCCUUGAGCUAAGGUCACACAGACCUCGCCCAAUCACUCAGGUAAGUCUUCAAGGUAGACUCCCGAACCUUCACAGACUUCGUUCACCGGCAAUCCACAAUUACUCUUGGAUGCUCAGAACGCGACGCCUAACCGUCUGGAGGAUGCACAGUCCUCAAGUGUAAUAAGUCUUCAGAUCACACAGACAAGAAGACUUAAGUGAUGCCCAAUUUACUCUGGCUCUGGGUGGUUAGGGCUUUUCUCCUCGCUAGGGAUUUUCUCUCCAAGGCUUCGAGGUGGGUUGCUCUCAAACGACAAAAGUCGUGCACUGAAAUCUGAGCAGCCAACCGUUUAUGGUUGUGGGGGUGGGCUAUAUAUAGCCACUUGGCAACCCUGACCUGAUUUGUCCGAAAUGACCCUGGGUCACUAAGGAACUGACACGUGUACUAACGGUCGGAUUUUGAACUCUCGCGGCAACUUUACUUGGGCUGCAAGUAAAGCUGACUUGUCUGACUCUGGACAAGAUUUUUCUCUCAUUGUCUUCACUUGAAGACAUAGGAUUUGAAUUAGGCAUCACUUCAGUCAUCCUGACUGGUUUUCUUGGACCCCACUUAACAGUACGGUGGUUCCUAUGACACAACAUGAAUAAAGUAAAGCUACGAAAGAUCUAAGUCUUCGAGUUCCAAAAGCUUCAUGGGGAGUCUUCAUAUGUCAUUGUCUUCGACAUGAAUGUCUUCAUGAACCACCAUUGUCUUCAAUAUCUUCAUACAUUUUUGGGGGUCAUCUCUGGUAGCUAAACCGAAUCAAUGAGGGACUUCUACCUGUGUUAUCCUGCAAUUCUCACAAACACAUUAGUCCCGCAACUAGGUUUGUCGUCAAUACUCCAAAACCAACUAGGGGUGGCACUAGAUGCACUUACAAGCUUAAAUAGUCUUGAUCGCGAGGGUGCGAGAUUGCUGAGUCCUUGUGGCUCACAGAUUACUAUAUCACCAGAUGUAGGGACCGAUGAUACUCCUACGGAUGGCGCGCUCGAGCUGAAGUGGGAGUACGACGAGGACUCUCAGCGAUACUAUGUUUCUUUUCCGGAUGAUCAGUAGUGGUGCCUACUCGGGGUUCGAUUCAGGGAUUAGUCGCAUGUUGGGGGUCUUUUCUAUUUUGGCGCCGUAGUCGGGCCAUGAGUGUUUGUAUGAUGGAUGCUAUUUAUGUACCUUGAUGUGACGUGGCGAGUGUAAGCCAACUAUUAUAUUUAUUUCCCCCUUUAUAUUAUAUAUGUACAUGGGUUGUGUGAAGAUUGCCUCACUUGCGACAUAUGCCUUCAAUGCGAUUAUGCCUCUAAGUCGUGCCUCGACACGUGGGAGAUAUAGUCGCAUCGAGGGUGUUACAAGUUGGUAAUCAGAGCCUUCCCCGACCUUAGGAGCCCCAUUGCUUGAUCGUUUCUAGCAGCCGAGUUGUGUCUAGAAAAAUGUUUUGAGUCCUUAGGAAUUAUAUAUCGGAGAGCUUAGGAAUUCUUUUACUUCCCAGUCUCCUCAUCGCUCUGGUAAGGCAUCCUGACGUAGAGUUUUGACUCUUCUCUUCUCAAAUUUCACUAAAAAAAAUUUUUUAGGUUCACGCGAGUAUCUUAGUUUUGUUCCGAUGGCUUAUGAUGAGAAUACUGUCUUGGUGCCUCCUGUCAGGGGUUUAGUGGAAGUGUCCCGGGGAGUUGAGCUCUGAGGUGUUGUCAUCAUAAUUCUAUCGUUGCAAUUCUGGUAUACUUGAGAUAUGUGCGCGACAUCGAAAAUCUCCUUUAUGCAGUUCGUUG